rnacentral:lncRNA from 1 species
UUUUUUUUUCACAACAUGGAAAGCCAUUUCUUGAGAGCAGCAGCCUUUGGUUUGGUUUUGGCUUUUGCGUUUGUGAUUGGAGGAAAUUAUGCACAAGAGCCAACUACAAUUGUUCCAGCAAUCAUGACGUUUGGAGACUCUGCAGUUGAUGUGGGCAACAAUGACUACCUCCCUACCAUUUUCAAGGCUAAUUACCCUCCGGAAGGGACUUUGUGAACCAUCAGCCUACUGGGACGUUUUGUAAUGGCAAUCUGGCCACUGACAUCACUGGUAAGUUUAAAAUUUAGCUUCCAACAAAAGUGCUUUUGUUAUUAACAAUAUUAAACAGGAAUUAAUUGCUUCUUAAUUAGCAUAAUGGGCAACUUAAUGUUGAUCUGCAUAAGAUUUAGUUAAAAGAACUGAAAUUUUAAAUUGUUAGUGAAAUUAAUGACUGUUUUUUUGCAUAGCCAGUUCAAGUGGGGAACAUGAUUAGUUUACUUAUGUAGCUUAACUGUUUUGCUGCUAUUUUCUUUAUGCAGCUCAGAAUUUAAGUGCUUUGGAUUAAUAAUAAGGUCACUUUAGCUGCAUUUGGGAUUAAUUUCUGUUAGAGGGAGCAUGUUAACUGAUGAUAUGAUAUGGUACUUGAUGUGUUAAGUAACAGUUGUCGAUACUCGGUAGUAAUUGAUACAUGAUUUGAUGUAAUAAGUACGCAUCAACUUUAAAUGAGCUCCAAAUAGCGUCACCUCAUUACGAAGAAAUUUUUUAUUGUGACCAGAAUACAAGUCGUACACCAAAUCUCUGCUCAUUAGGAGUGAUAUGCACGCACCCCAUAGCAUUUACAACACCAUAUCUCGCCUCAUUUACAGGAAUUUCCCAACGUUGGACAUCCCCAAAAUCACGAAAUGAAGAUGGAGACCUCGAUUGAUACGGAAUCAGCGCCCUAACGUCCAUUGACUCUUCCUCCAUUAUUGCCUCCUAAUUCAAAUCUGGAAUCACAGGUCCUCGAUUUUCAAAUGUCUUAGCAUAAAUAAGCCUUAAUUUCUUUACCUUCCAGUUAUAGAGUUAGACUCUGAAAGGCAAUUCUCGUGAUUGGCUCAAAAAAAAUUCUGAGCAUUUUUUCUCACCACCAUAAACUAUAUAGUGUAUGCUCAUCAUAUACCUCGUCAUUUGUUACAUGUUUUCAUCUAACUCUCGUUAGCUUUCACAUUAAAUAUUACUUUUUAAAUUUUGAAAAAAUUAAUCAAAAUUAAGUAAAAAAACACGUGAUAAAUAAUGAUGUGUAUGAUGAGCACGUAGUUAGAAAAGUGAUGAUAUACUUCGGAACAUCGUAUCCGAAACGACUUCCCAUAUCUAUUUUUAUGAAGACAACUUUCCAGAACAGUUUUGAUUGGAUACAGAGCCUAUCACAUUCUCUAAUCAACCACACAUCAUUUCUAAGGCGACUGUACAUGUCACAUAUAUAAAAUGAGAUGCUACGGAACCAAUGUCUUGUGUCCCAAGAUGUCGCGGACAAUGAAGCAACUCUUCCUCUUGGUGGUUUCGCUCUUAAUAUUUUGCUCCUAGUUCAUGCCCAAGAUCAAUCAGGUAUGAAUUCUAAAUACAAAAUUAUAAAAAAGUUAAGGAUUUUUAUCGCAAAUGAUCUUUGAAAUUGACCUACUCCAUUAAGAUGAUUCUUGAAAUUGAAAAUCGAUCAAUGUAGUUCCUGAAAAUAAAUGUCACAAAUCAAUGUGAUCCUUCCUUUACAAUUUCAUAAAAAUUUAUGUUAUUUGCUGAUGUGGUAAAUAACUCGAUCCCACAAAUAAAAAAUAUGGCCAUGUGAAUUAAAAAUAUUUAAAUAAUAAAAAUCAAUUUUUAUUUCUAUAAUUAAAAAGGGAAUUUUGCACAAAUAUCAUCUGAACUUGAAAGCAUGUGCACAAAUACCACCUAAACUUUCAAUUGUGUAUUUUUACCACCUAUACUUUAUUAAUUGUUGGAAUCUACCAUCUACCAUUACUUUCCAUCCACUUGGCCGUUAAAGCAUGUCACUUGUGGAGGUACUUUCAUCAAUUAACUUCAUAGGGCUGAAGAAUAAAAUAGCUCCUAAAUAAAAUUGUCCAAGUCAACAACAUGACGCCAAAAUUGGACGCAUAAGUCAAACCCCCAAUUUUGUAAAAAUUACUAGAUUUUUGCCUAAAUUCAAGUAUGCUAUAGUUAUGAUUGCAUAGCCCUAAAACAUUUUAAUGGCAAUCCAACUGAUGAACAACAUCAGGCCUCCAACUAGUUUUGCAUGCCGCCAAAACACCAAAUAGUCAUCAUUUUCUCACCACACCAAUUAUUUUAUACUCUAUAAGGAAAGCAGCAACCAUAAUUUUGGUUCACAGGUCCCUAAUCUGCACAAUUGGAGGCCUGAUGUUGUUCAUCAGUUGGCUUGCCAUUAAAAUGUUUUAGGACUAUGCAAUCAUAACUAUAUCAUAUAGAGAAAUUAUAUUUACACAUCCCAAAUUACUUCUCCCACACCUUUUGACUUUUUUAAUAUUUUCUACACACCACUAACAUUAAAAAAUUAAAAGGUGUGGGAGAAAUAAUUUGGGGUGUGUGAAUAUAAUCUCCCUAGCAUAUAUACUCAACGAAUUUAAGCAAAAAAACAGUAAUUUUUACCAAGUUGGGGGUUUGACUUAUACGUCCAAUUUUGGCACUUGACUUGGACAAUUUCAUUUAGGAGCUUUUAUACUAACCAGCCUUAUGGAGUUAAUUGAUGAAAAUACCCCCACAAGUGACAUACUUUAAUUGUAGAAUGGAUGAAAAGUAACUGUAGGUGGUAGAUUCCAACAAUUAAUAAAAUUCAAGUGGUAAAAAUACACAAUUGAAAGUUCAUGUGGUAUUUGCGCACAUGCUUUCAAGUUCAAGCAGUAUUUGUGCAAAAUUCCCAAUUAAAAACUAAAAAAAAAUUUAAAUAAAAAUAAUGAGGGGAAGAGAAAUAUGAACCGUUGUUCAUCUUUCCUCUUUGACUCCCCUUCCCGUUGAUCUGCUACAGUGACCCUGUCCCUCUUCUCCAUCAUCGAUCUGCUCUAACAUAAACGUUCUUCCAAUAGAUUUGUAAGUAUUUGUGUUUGAACUCAAAAUAUACCCAUUUUUACUUAUUUGGGCAAUUUGGAUAAAAUAUGGCAUUUGGAGGAUUAAUAUGCAAGCAAGCUAACUUGGAAAGAUAUUUAGAUGCAAGUGGAGGGGUUUGACACUAUAAUAUUGUUCUUCCAAUUUGUUUUGGUGGUGGAGAUUUGUCAAGCUUUGUUUAAUCAAGAUACAUGCAUCCUUGCAAAUAGGUUGGAAGGCAACAUACGGGUGUGGAUGCAAAGAACAUGUGAAAGAAGCCAACUUGCUUCUUUUAAUUGUUAGUUUAUUACAAGUGGGAAAACAUGUGAUGAAAGUAUGUGGUGGAAAUGCUAGUUCCCCUUUUAAUAUUAUUUCUCCAUGUAAGUUGGCAAAAGCAAUACAAACUGCCCAAGAUUUUUUCGGGCAAGUACAAAAACCUCAGCACAGGGUUUCCUCCAGACCUCUAUAUAAAGGAGCAGAUGCACAAGGAUUAAAGACACUCAAAACAACCAAUCAAAACUCUACUCAAAUUAGCUCAUCAGCUUCCUUGUAGACAUUUAUUUUUAGCCAAACAUCCUUUGCUUUUCUUGUUUAUUAGCUCUGCUACUCACUUGUAGUAUCGAUCUGAUUUGUAGCUUUUAUGCAUUCAUUUCCAGUCAUAUAAAUUACAAGCAAUCUGCAAUAUUAGUCACUUUCCUCUGUCAUUUAUAUUUCCAAGCAACCUUGUCAUUUACAUAUUGUUCUAUCUCUCCAUAUAAGUAAAGUCCUUAUUUUUAAGGCAAACAAAGAACCUUGAUUUGAGCAACUCCCACUCAAAUGGCACAAUCUCUUGAUUUGAAGUCAAAAGGCGCAACCUCAAUCAUUCAAAUCCCGUCUACUAGCGGCAUCUAGUAGUGGCACGCCCGCACCCACCAAUCUCGUAUGUGAAGUAAAUCCCCGGCUUGCCCACAAGGCCUAUGGCGGAUUUAGGGAGCAAACAUAUUUUGGCACGCUUGGUGGGACCCUUUAUAUAGAGUUAGAUUAUGAACAAUCCUUAUGUUCAUGAUUUUUCUCAAUAUGCUUUUUCGGAGUAUGAGGAGGAUGACAGUGUUGAAGAGCGCCCAAGCUAUGGCUAUCACAUAGAGCUAACCUAUGAGUUGCCAACUUAUGGGUACAUAGCUGAAGAGUACUCAAGUCCCAUGGAACAUGAUUGUCGGCCAACUAAUGGCCAUCAAAUAAAUAAUAAUCUUGAAGAUUGGCCAACUUAUGGCUAUGAUGAAGGUUAUUGUUCUUUUGAAAACAAUUGCAUUCAUGAAUACUAUGAUAGGCCAACAAAUGACUUUGAGUAUCAAAAUGCUUCCAAUGAGUACAUAGAGCCAAUAUAUGAGAUGCCAACUCAUGAUCAUCCGGAUGAAAAGCUCUACAAAGAGGAUGUGGGCAAUUAGAGAAGGUGUCCAAACUCCAUGUGGCAAGCAUCGAAUAUGGUAAAGAGGUGACUAAGUGUUUUAAAAGGGUGGAGGAAAGCUAUACAACUUUUGGAGAAACUUUGAGAAAGUUGAUAGAUCAAAUGUGUCAAAUCCCCUCUACAAAGCACACUUACUCUAAUACAACCAAGGAAGAACAGAUCAUACACAUUGAUGAAGGCCAAACAAUGGCCCCACCAAAUGAAAAAUCUAUGAAAAUAGAUAUGGUUAAGAAGACCAAGCCGACAUAUCGAAACCGAUAACGGCUAAGAUGGAGCUUGUGGCUAUUGUAGGCCAAACACCAACGCUCGGGGGGGCACGAGCCCACACUUCAUGUGGAGCCCGAAGAAGAAGAAAAUAGCUCUUAUUCUUCCCCGCCAACACGAGCAUGUUGUCCGCAUCAAGAUCUCAAGGAGGACAAAGCUUGGGAUCAAACAUGAAUGGCCACCUCCUAUGGUUCCUAAGCUAUAUGGCAUGGCCAAUUUAAAUGGUGGGUAUGAUCUCUCUACACUCAAUUUUAAAAAGAGAAAAAGAUUUGAGUGUUGAGAGAAAAAUAACACUUGAGCAGCCAAGGGGCUUCGGGCUAGUUUGGUAUUGCUGUGCUUUGAAAAAAAAGCUGCUGUGAGAAUAAGCGGCUGUGCUGUGAGAAUAAGCGGCUGUGAAAUAAAGCCAGUAGAGUGUUUGGUAAACUUUUUUGUGAAAGUGCUUUUGGAAAAAAAAGCAGGAUGAUAGUGUGUCUUUUCAUUAAAGGAGCACUGUAGCUCCGUGUGCUUUGAAAAAACUGGCUUUUUUUCAAAGCAGCAAAUAACAGCUUCAGCUUUUCCUUUGAUUUUCAGCUUAUUCUCACAGCAGCUUUCAAAAUAAGCCUUUUUUUUCAGUUUACCAAACACAAAAAUAACCCUCAGCUUUUUUUCACAGCAGCUUUUUUUAAAAUCAUCUCAAUCCCAAACGGGGCCUUCAUCCAAUUUGCCCGAAUGACUUUCUUUUGUGUUAUUCUUUUGUGCAUUUUCUCCUGUACCCUUCUCCUCCUUUUCCUUUUCUUUCCUUUUCUUUUUUUUUUCUUUCUUUCUUUCUUCCUUUCUUUUCCUUCCUUCCUCUUUUUCUCUCUCUGUCUUAUCUUGUCUUUUCAUUUUGCCCGAAAGGGCUAUAUAUAUAUAUAUAUGGUAUUAUAGUAUUUUAUAAUAGUUUUGCCCGAAAGGGCUAUAUAUAUAGUAUUAUAUAAUAUAUGUUAGAUUUUAUAAAAGUAUUGCCCAAAAGGGCUUUUUAUAUAUAUGUAUAUAUAUUAUAUUAUAUUAUAUAUUAUAAUAUUUAAGUAAAUAAAAGAGGAAAAGAUAAAAAUAGGGUUGCUUUUUUCAAUUUGCCCGAAAGGGUCUUCCUCUCUCUUUUGUCGCUUUUGUUUUGCUCGAAAGGUGCCUUUUUCCCCUUACUUUUAAUUUUUUUAUUAUUUCUUUCUCUCUCCUUCUUUUCUUCUCUUUCUUCUUUCUUUCUCCUUCUCUUUUCUCCUUCUCUUUCUUCCUGUCUCUCCCUCAAUUUUUAUCUGCCAAAAAGUUAAUAUAUAUAUAUAUAUAUAUAUAGUAUUGCCCGAAAGGGCUUUUUAUAUUAUAUAUAUGUAAUUGUUUUGCCCGAAAGGGCUAAUAUUCUAUAUAUAUAUACACACACACACAUAUGUAUAUGUAAUGAAUUAUAUUAUAUUAUAUCAUAUGAAAAGAGGCAAAAAGAAAAAGAAGAAUAAAAAGGGUAGUUGCCCAAAGUUUCUCUCUUCUCCAUCUGUUUCUAUGUUCUUCAGUUUGCCCGACUUCGGGCAUUUGUCCAGUUUAUUAUCUAUGUAACCAGUGAGGUUGCUCCCAUGUUUUUUGGUAUCCACAAGAAGGAAUACAAGCCAAACAGAAACAUUUUUUCCAAUGCUAGUUGCACUACCAAUUGCCUCGCUCCUCUUGCCAAAGUUUAUCAACGACAGAAGAACCAAAGAGGUAGACGUGCCUCUUUCUUCGACAUUAAUCCUGGCAGCAUUGGGGUUGUAAGUUUCACAAACUUUGCUCAAAUUUGUAAAACUUGGGGGGCACUGUUUGCACUCAAAAUAUACCCAUUUUUACUUAUUUGGGCAAUUUGGGUAAAAUAUGGCAUUUGGAGGAUUAAUAUGCAAGAAAGCUAACUUGGAAAGAUAUUUGGCUGCAAAUAGAUGGGUUUGGCACUAUAAUAUUGUUUUCCCAUUUGUUUGGAUGGUGGAGGUUUGUCAAGCCUUUGUUUAAUCAAGAUACAUGCAUGUAUUGCAAGUGGAUGGGAGAGCUUUCGGAUAAGGAACAAAUUAAAGAAGCUCAAAAGGCGCAACCUUAAUCAUUCAAAUCCCGUCUACUAGAGGCAUCUAGUAGUGACACGCCCACACCCACCAAUCUCGUAUGUGAAGUAAAUCCCUCCGUAAGGCCCAUGGCGGAUUUAGGGAGCGAACAAUUUGAAUUAUCAGAUGAAGCUCGCAGCUCCUCCAUGAUUAGAAAAGCGCGCUUCUUUUCCCCUUCCUUGUUCUGCACGUGCGUCUGUACAUGCUUCAAUUUCGCAGUGAGCUCAAUCAUGCGGUCUUGAAUCUCCAAGAACGCAGCUCUAUUGGCUUCGUCAACCAUUUUUUCCAAGAUUGAAUCUUUUUGAGUUAUUGGCCUCAAUUCUGGAAGAAGAGGUGGCCGGGAAACAAAAUCUAGGUCCCAUGCACUCCCAUUGGCCAUGAAAACGGAAAAGCGUAGGACAAAGACCCAUGAGACCUACCCCUUAAUUAUCCCCACAAAAAUCCGAAAAAUAGUUGAAAAAACAAAUUAUGGGUGGGGAAGAAGAAUAUGAACAGUACUGUUCUUUUUCUGUUUUUUUUUUUAAGUUUUAAUUAUACAAAUAAAAAAAGUUUAUUAUUUAAAUAUUUUUAAUUAACAUGGCAAUAUUUAAUUGAUUUGUGAGACUCAAUUAUAUGUCACAUCAACAUAUAAAAGAAUUUUUGAUGGAAUUGUUACAGAAUGAACGCAUUGAUUUAUGACAUUUAUUUUCAGGACUACAUUAAUCGAUUUUCAAUUUUCAUGGACUAUCUUGAUUAAUUUCUGAGACCAUUUGUGAUCAAAGUUAAUAAACAAUGAAGAACUCUUUUCUUAUAUUUAUAAUAUAUCUGUGCCAGGCUUCAUUAGCAUAGAUUGUGGCCUACGGGAAGAUUCCAGGUAUAAUGAUAGUCCGUCAGGCAUUACCUAUAUUUCAGAUGAAAAUUUCGUAGCCACUGGUGAACGGAAGUCGGUGAUGCCUGAAUACAUAAACAUGUAUUUCCAGUCGUACAACUCUCUUAGAAGCUUCCCUGAAGGAAUCCGAAACUGCUACAAAAUAAAUGUUACAAGUAAAACCAAGUAUUUGAUCAGGGCAAGUUUUUUUUAUGGGAAUUAUGAUGAACAAAAUGAAGUACCCGAAUUUGAGAUACAUCUUGGACCUCACUUGUGGGAUACAGUGAACUGGUUGAGGAAUUCGUUGGAAGCAGGAUCUAUCGAGCUCAUACAUGUCCCUCUGCGAAACUAUGUACAUGUUUGUCUGGUGAAGACUUGCUCCGGGGUUCCAUUUAUAUCGGCUUUAGAGCUCAGGCCUUUAACCGAUGCCUCGUACAAAACAGUAAACGGGUCCUUAUCACUUCUCAUGCGGUAUGACACUGGUCUAACAGGUGACCUUUGGGCAUACAGGUGACCUUAUAACUUCUCACAAAAUGACUCAGUGUUAAUAGUUGUAGAACCAUUUAUAAGUAGCAAUUCAUAUUCUGUCAAGUUUUCGAGGUAGAAUAUUUAACAUUCAUCAACAUUGUAUGCACUUAUUGAUGCAAUACCUUUAUUUGUAUAGGUAUCCAUAUGAUAUUCAUGAUCGAAUCUGGAAUUACUUUGCGAAGCACAGCCCUUGGACAAAUUUAAAUACCUCAUCAACCAUCAAUUCAAUAUUCGAGUAUCAACCACCAUCUGUCGUGAUGGGCACAGCUGCAACGCCAAAUAGUUCAAAUGAUUCAUUGAAUAUUUUCUGGGAGCCUUACAGUAGAGUACAUCAUGUUUACUUGCCCUUUGCAGAAGUUGAAAAGCUCCAACCCAACCAGUCUAGACAGCUCAACAUUACUACAAACGGAGAGCUGUGUUAUGGGACACUUGCUCCUGAUUAUUUGUCCACAACGACAAUAUUCUGUACUGCUGAAUCCUUGAGUUGAUCAGGAGUACCAAAUAAAUUGUCAAUUUUUUAAGACUGGAAACUCUACCCUUCCACCCAUCCUCAAUGCCAUCGAGGUUUAUAUGGUGAAAAAAUUCAAAAUGUCAGAUACCAACCAAGAAGAUGGUGAGUCAUAUUGUUUUCUUACACAAGCUUAAAUUCAUUGCUAUAUGUGAGUUUUUAUAAGAUCUUCUGUUUGCUUAUGAAAAUAUUAGUUGAGGCUAUCACAAACAUCAAGUCAACCUAUAAUAUUGAAAAGAACUGGCAAGGAGAUCCUUGUAACCCUCAAGUUUACUCAUGGGAUGGUCUAAACUGUAGCUAUCAUGGAAAUGAUCCCCCAAGAAUUAUAUCCUUGUAAGCAUAAAUAUCUUCACACCAAAUUGCAGAUUAAUUUUCAGUAAUAAUUUUAUUGAUGUUAUGGAUUUUGCAAUCAGGAACUUGUCUUCCAGUGGAUUAGAAGGGGAGAUUUCUCCUUCUCUGUCAAAUCUAACAAUGAUACAGACAUUGUAAGUGUAUCUAAAUAAUCUGUAAUUUUGUGUGAAAACAUAACUCAGUAAUAAUACGGCAAAUGAUCAAUUAUAACGAAAAAGAAAUGACACGAAUCAUUCUGGAAGAAUUUCAGUCAUCAUAAUCAGUAGUGUUAAAUGAAUUGAGCUGCUCAUUGCAGGGAUUUAUCAAACAACAACUUAAGAGGAUCAAUUCUAGAAACUUUGUCACAACUGCCGACGUUAAAUGUCUUGUAAGUUAUUUUGUUAUAUAUGUGUGUGUGUGUGUAUUUUGUUAUUGUCUUAUCGCUUAUUUACGCAUUUGAAACUCAAUACAAGUCUAGCACCAUGUAAUUGAAAUUGUGUCACUUAACUUCCUAAAACUCAACUUCCUUUUCACUUUCCCACAUGCUGUCAAAGUCUGUUAGAAAACCCAUUAAAAUUGGUGACAUGAAACAAAUAGGACCCAAAUUCAUAUUAACCUUUUUUAACAUUCCGAAUAACUACCCAACCGAUUGAAAAUGUCACAUUUGUUAAGUCCCAGUUAAUUUUUCCAUUAAAUAUACAUGUGGCCAUACUGGGUCCAAUCUAUUGAAAAUGUUAUAUCCGUCAAGCCCCAAUUAAUUUUUCCAUGAAUCCUAAUCUUGUUAUAUAUGUGUCCUCAUUUAGAAAGCAUGGUAUAACUAUAUAUGUACUGCUUAAUCUACCUUUGCAGAAAUUUGGAGAAUAACAACCUCACAGGCUCAAUUCCGAUGGUACUCAUUGACAGAUGGAAGGAUGGUUUACUAUCAUUAAGGUGCGCCACUUUUUUUUUUAUAGCAGAACGAGGAGAUUUGUUGAAGGAAAUAGAAAAAAUUGUUGAAUUGUAAUCUUGUCUUAACCCAAAGAUAAUGGAUCUAGCCGAUGCACAAAGAAAGAUCCAUGCAUAUGCUAGAGAAUUCUAGCAAAGUCCAAGUUGGUGGAAGAGUCUAGAAGAAUGAUGAGGAUUUCACCAACAUACAAGAUUAAUGUAAAUAAUUAUAGUAUAGGAAGGUAGUGGAAUUAUCUAAAUAUAUCUAGCAUGAUGUUUCCAUGCUUCUCCAAGGUUCCAUCCAUGCCUAUAAAAGGAGAAGGCAUCCGCACCAUUUGUACCAACUAAGAGAGCAAGAAGUGAGAAAAGAAUGAAGAAGUAUAAGAGUGUUUGAGUGUUUCCUCUUGUACUAGUUUGUCAAUGAAUAAAAAUUUUGUGUAAAAACUUUGAGUGUUCUUUCUUUCUCUUGCCUAUCAAUUUCGCUGCAUUACAUUCUUCUUUGUGAGAUAAACGUCUCCAAAGUAAAGAAGUCUUUUUAAGCCCCAACAAAAACUACAUAUUAAAAUAGAAAAAAUAAAUACCCGGACAGCAGUAAGUUAUAUACAAAAGUACUUUUUUUUGUUUGAACAAAAGUACUUUGAUGGCUUAAUUGUAGAGAGAGAGAGAGAGAGAGAGAGAGAGAGAGAGAGAGAGAGAGAGAGAGAGAAUAUAAAAAUAUAAACAUGUGCGUGGAUGAUUUUGAGCUCAGACCGACUAAAACAUAAUCCACCAGUCUUUUUUUUUUUUUUUUUAACUUCUUUCUUCCUAGAAAUUUAAAAUGAUGUGGCAUUCCUCAGAAACUUGAUUUUUAGAUAUAAGAACAUGUGUUACAAUUUUUAUUUGGGAAUUAUAUUAUCUUUUACCAUAAUUGAUUAAACAAUAGAAUAUCACUUUCGUAUGUCAGUUUGUGCGAAAAUCCAAACCUAUCCAGAAAUGUUUCUUGCAACAAGAAGAAGAACAGGAAGGGUAAUUUUUUUGUUCCGAUGGUAAUUGUUUCGGUUGGUGCACUAGUGUCAGUCCUCUUACUCAGUGCAGCAGCUAUCUGGUGUCCGGCUGCUUCUAAAAGGAAAAGGCAACUUGGUAAGAUUCCAUAUUUGUUAGUGUUAUCUUCUUCUGCAAUAAAUAAUCACAGACAGAAGGUUUUGAUUGUAUAAGAUGCUUAUGAAAAAUGUUAUGAUUGUAGGAAAUAGCACAGAUGCAAAUGUAACCAUUCAGCAUGGGUCAUUUGAGCCUAAAGGGAGACAGUUUACGUACUCUGAUAUAGUACAGAUUACAAAGGGGUUCAAGAGGGUUCUUGGAAAAGGCGGCUUUGGUACAGUAUAUCACGGCCACAUAGACGAGGUGGCUGUCAAGAUGCUUUCAUCGCCAUCAGUUCAAGGGUUUCAGCAAUUUCUCACAGAGGCAUGUUUGUCAUAUUAAAUAAACUGAUCUCACUGUUUUUCAGAUCAAUAUUAAUCUUAUCAAAUUACAUGUAGCGUUUCUGACCUACUAAAUUACAGGUUAAUCCUCUUAUGAGAGUUCAUCAUAGAAAUUUGACAAGUCUUGUUGGAUAUUGUUGGAAUUUAGAUUGAAUUUAGAUUGUUAUUAGUUAUCUUGCGGGCCAAGGAUUAGUUACUUGCCCAUUAAGUAUUUGAGUUUGUCUAGGAUUUGAUUUAGGGUUUUAGUCUAGGGUUUGCUUUAGUUUUUCUCUAUAUAAGGAUCUCUUUGUAUUUGGUAUUUUCAUCAAUCAAUGAACAUGUUUUCUCCGGUAUAAUAUUCAACUGAUAUUGCAAUGAUGAAACCAGCAUAGGGCUGAUCUACGAGUACAUGGCCAAUGGAAACCCUACGAGAACAUCUUUCAGGUUUGGCUGCGAAUGAAAUUACUCAGUACUAAAUUUGCCAUUCAUUUCUUAAUUAACUAGUGCUUUUAAAUUCUUUGGUAGUCCUUAAUUUGAUAAUUCUAUUUUCCUAGACCACCUGACUUUAUAAAAUAAGACCAGAGUCGGCUCUGAGGGUGUGCAACAGGUGCCACCGCACAGGGCCCCCGAUUCGGAAGGGCCCCUAAAUUUUCAUUACAUGUAUACAAAUGCAUAUAAAAUAAUUAGAUGCAUAAAACAAUCUUAUUUGUAGUUCCAGCGCAAGCGGUUUAGCUCUUCUUUCUUAUAGCCCAUGUGUUGGAUUUGAAUCCUAAUGAUAUUGUUUUGUUAUAUUUUAAGCUUUUGCAAAUUUGUAAACAGUAGAUAAUAAAAAGGCAUCCAACGUGUAUCAAACUCAGAACCUUUGAAGGUAAGGAAAAACACCUGGCUGAUCAAACAACUUAUUUUUGUUGCGGUAACUUGUAAUAUUUUAGUUUUAUAGAUGAAAAAAUUAAAAAAAAAAUAAUAAUAAAGAAAUAUAACAUUAAAAAAAAUGAAGGGCCUCUAUCUAAGUUUUGCACAUGGCCCCUCAAUACUCAGGGCCGGCCCUGAAUAAGACAGUUAUAUUUUUUUAUGGAGCAGGUAGCAGAUCAAAUAUCUUGAGUUAGGGAGGUAGACUUCAAAUAGCAAUAGAAGCUGCACAAGGUCUGUAUAACUAACCAAUCAUAUUAUUUAGGCACACAAAAAUGAUACACCUAAUAUAGGUGCAUCCACUUACAGUGGUACGUAUAGGGCUGAACUCUAUUAGAGAGUAUGUCAGCAACUCUUUGAGACCUUGAGUUUUAGGAGCUUAAAUACCAAUCAUUAUUGAUAACGAAAUGGAAUCUACUUUUUGAGAAGUUGUGUCUGAAUUAAAAACAGGACUGGAGUAUCUGCACCAUGGCUGCAAGCCGCCUAUAAUCAACAAGGAUGUGAAAUCAACAAACAUCUUGCUGAAUGAAAACUUCGAAACCGAACUCUCUGAUUUUGGCAUAUCCAGAUGUUUCCCUACAGAGGAUGGAACACAUAACAACAACUGUCGCUGGCACUCCCGGGUACCUUGACCCUGAGUAAGAGUUUUUUCAUUUUUUUGAGGCAUCGUCUUUAUGUCCUUAUUAUAUAUGCAAACAAACUUAAAUUAUAUAAUUAACAAGAAGAAUGAAGAAAGAAACUAUAAAUCAUUUUGGAAAACAUUUUACAUUGGAUGAUAUGAUUUGAGGUAUAUGGUUUGGCUUGCAGGUAUUACGCAUCAAACAGAUUGAAUAAAGAAAGUGAUAUUUAUAGCUUUGGGGUUGGAGAUUAUCACAAGUCGACCUGUUUUUUCUAGGACGCAUGAGCGGAGUUACAUUAGUGAAUGGUUCAGUUUCAUGCUUCAAAAAGGAGACAUUUACAGUCUUGUUGAUCCGAGGUUAGAAGGAAAAUUCAAUACUAACUCAGUCUGGAAAGCUGUGGAAAUAGCAAAUGCAUGCGUAUCUCCAACUGCCAUCAAAAGGCUAAGCAUGAGUCAGGUAGUGGUGGAUCUAAAGGAGUGCUUGGCAACAGAACUCGCUCGAGCAAACCCGAGGCAUGAAACUGAAUUAAGAAAUUCCAUUGCUAUGCUAUACCCCUCGGUUGUUGACUUUUGUAUUUUAGGUAGGAUCCCUAAUUGAUAUGUAAUCCCAUGUAAUCACUUGUAAUUAGUUUUAUUUCCUUUUAUGUUAGGGUUGUACACCUAUAAAUUCCUCUUAUUGAGAAGAAUAUAUCAUCAUUCAAAGCAUUCUCUUCUUGGCAUCAGAGCCAGGUCGAAAAAAAGAAAAAAAUACCCCAUAGCUGCGAUAGCACUGUUGCGGCUCAGCCGUGUGUGGUGCGUCGACCUCGAUCAGCGAGCGACUGUUGUCGUUGCUACCCUCUCUGAAUUCGAAAUGAACAGCGAGCGACGCCGUCGUUGCUGAUCCGAAUUCAUCGAAUCGUUUGACUCUUUGUUGUGUGACACGACAUACCAAUUGGCCUAUUUGCUUUUGAUUUGAUCUGAAGUCGUGAAAAAUUGCACAGACUGCAACCCGAUUGAAUUGUGUUGCUGCGCCGUACCCGACUCGUGGUCCGACGACCCACGAACCUGCUCCCAUCCGACUUGCUGAUCUACCGAUCCACCACAACAUUGUUGCACCUCUGUCUCGCACCUUGAACUGCAAUAUGUCCUUGCUGCUAUUAUCCUUGUUGGAGCCUUGAACCACCAUACCACUGCUGCUGUUUCAAAGUGAGAAGAAAACAAAAUAGAAAAGGUGAAAGGAAAAAGAAAAAGGGGAAUCAAAUGGAAGAGAUUUGCUUCUUGGGCUUGGUUUGCUUGGAAAUUUGGGCUUUAUCAAUCACCGAGUGACGUAUUGAUUGAAGUUGCUUGGGAAUGGCAGUCUGGACUUGUGAUUCUGCUAAUACAGGUAACAAUGGUAAGGCUUUAAAGGUUUUUACCUCUGUUACGAAUAAUACAUGGAUAAUUGAUUCUGGUGCUACUGAACAUAUGAUUUGUGAUUCUAGACAGGUAGAAACCCUAAAACCAUCCACCAAAACUGUCGUCAGUGUCGCCAAUGGUAAUCCUGCCCCUGUUAUCGGGGAAGGAACCGUCUCCCUUUCAGAUACCCUUAGGCUUGAUACCGUACUUGUUGUGCCUUCUUUUGACUAUAAUUUAUUAUCUGUUGCUCAAAUAACUGUCGUCCUGCAUUGUCUUGUGAUUUUUUGGCCUUCUUUUUGUGUUUUUAAGGACAUUCGGACUCGCAAGAUGAUUGGUUAUGGUAUUAGGAAAGGGAAGCUCUACUACUUGGAGCUGACAUCAAACAGUUCUCGAAUGUUAACUCAAGCUCUUGCAGUGGAAGGAAAUCCGGGGGAUAGGAAUAAAGCUUCGGAGGUUUGGUUGUGGCAUCAUCGACUUGGACAUGCUUCUUUCGGCUAUCUACGGAGGUUGUUUCCUAGCCUCUUUGGUAAGCAUGAUGUUUCUAGCUUUAAAUGUGGUGUUUGUGAACUAGCUAAAAGUCAUCGUGCGUCGUUUCCAUCCAGUUUGAAUAAAAGUUAUGUUCCAUUUAUGAUAAUUCAUUCUGAUGUUUGGGGUCCAUCUAAAACUGCUACAUUUGGUGGUGCUCAUUGGUUCGUUACUUUUAUUGAUGACUGCACACGUAUGACUUGGGUUUGUUUGAUGAAAUCCAAAGGUGAAGUUACUUCUUUGUUUCAACAGUUUUACAAAUUGGUACAAGUACAAUAUAAGUCACAAAUACAGGUUCUCAGGAGUGAUAAUGGUGGCGAAUAUGUUAACUCUGAACUUCGUGCCUUUCUUGAUCAUCAUGGGAUUGUUCAUCAAACUACAUGUCCAUAUACUCCACAACAAAAUGGGGUUGCCGAACGUAAGAACCGUCAGCUUCUGGAGGUUGUUCAUGCUUCCUUACUCGAGGCUCGUCUCCCGUUAUCCUAUUAGGGAGAAGCUCUCACCUCAGCUGCGUAUCUCAUUAAUCGUGUUCCAUCCCGAUCGGUUGAUUUUCAGACACCCCUUCAGGCACUUUCUUCACAUGUUGAUGCUCCUGCAGUCCCUAAUCUUCCACCUCAUGUGUUUGGUUGUGUGGCCUUCGUUCAUCUUCAUAAACAACAGUGAAGUAAGCUUGAACCUCGAGCCUUACGAUGUGUGUUUGUGGGGUAUGCAUCAAGGCAGAAAGGAUACCGUUGUUAUCACCCACCGAUGAAUAAGUUGUUUGUCACUAUGGAUGUUGCGUUUCAUGAGAAUGAUAUGUACUUUGCCAAUCCCGAGUCUUCACUUCAGGGGGAGAAUCAGAAAGAAGUUCAAACUCUUAAUUAUACUAUUCCAGAUAUAGAUAUAGUGAAUGAUUUGGAUUUAAGUGGUGAUGUCUUGGAAAUAAGUGGUGAUCAUUCACACGAAAAUAAUGAUGUGAAUGAAUUGGAAUUAAGUGGUAAUGUCUUGGAGACAAGUGAUGAUCAUUCACAUGGAAACAAUGUUGAAAACCUUGAAAGGGACGAGUCGACAACGCCAAAUAACUCACUGCCUGAUAGCUCACUGCUAGUUUCCUCACCACCGGACAGCCCUGUGUCGCUAGUUACCUCACAGUUGAUCUUGAGUCCCAAUAACCAUAAUCAAUCGUCUUCGAUCCCGGAUGCACCACCACCACGUCGUUUCCUUGAUCGCGUCAACCGAGGUAUUCCUAAACUUACUUAUGAAGCCGACCCUAAAUGCAAAACUAGGUAUCCAAUGAGUAAGCCCAACCCUGAGUCUAAUGUGUUAUACCCGUUAAGUAAUUGUGUGUCUACCAGUCACCUGUCAGAAUCAAAUAAGUUGUUUGUGCAUCAAUUAUCUACUGUAUCUAUUCCUAACAGUGUGCAGGAGGCUUUAAUUGAUCCACGUUGGAAAAUAGCAAUGAAUGAAGAGUUGAAGUCUUUGAAGAAGAAUGCUACCUGGGAAAUCACAGAUUUGCCAGCUGGUAAGAAACCUGUUGGAUGCAAAUGGGUCUAUACUGUGAAAUACAAAGCAGAUGGGACGGUGGAUCGUUUCAAGGCAAGAUUGGUAGCAAAAGGAUACACUCAAAAAUAUGGAAUCGACUACACAGAUACAUUUGCACCUGUAGCCAAGAUCAACACAGUUCGUGUUUUGUUGUCAUUGGCUGCAAAUCUUAAUUGGCCCUUACAACAGUUCGAUGUGAAGAACGCCUUCUUGCAUGGAGACUUGACAGAAGAAAUUUAUAUGGAUCUUCCACCGGGAUGUAAUGCUCCAGAUAAAUACAAAAGAAAAAUGUGCAGGUUGAAGAAAUCCUUGUAUGGCUUGAAGCAAUCUCCUCGGGCAUGGUUCGGAAGAUUCACAAAAUCUAUGAGAGUAUUUGGUUACAGACAAAGUAACUUUGACCAUACUUUGUUCCUGAAAAGACAGAAUGGGAAGCUUACUGCACUUAUUGUGUAUGUAGACGAUAUGGUGGUAACAGGUAAUGAUCCGGAAGAACGUGUGGCCUUGCAAAGAUAUCUGUCUACAGAAUUUGAAAUGAAGGACCUUGGAUCCCUGAAAUAUUUUUUAGGGAUUGAGGUGUCGAGAAACAGUUCUGGAAUUUUCUUGUCUUAGAGGAAGUAUAUUAUUGAUUUGUUGCACGAAACUGGCAUGUCAGCUUGUCAGCCAGUAGCUACACCAUUAGAAGAAGGAUUGAAGCUUAGUGUUGAUCCUAAUCAAGUACCAGUUGACAAAGGAAGAUACCAAAUGUUAGUAGGCCGUUUGAUGUAUUUGGCACACACAAGACCGGACCUUGCUUAUGCCUUGAGUGUAGUGAGUCAAUACAUGCAUGAUCCUGGAGAACAACAUAUGAAUGCCGUGAUGAGAAUAUUGCGAUAUUUGAAGAGAAGUCCAGGCAAAGGAAUUUUGUUUAAGAGGAAUAAUCAUUUUAGUGUUGAAGGUUAUACUGAUGCAGACUGGGCAGGUUCCAUUGAUGAUAGACGCUCAACAUCAGGUUACUUUACGUUUGUUGGGGGUAACUUGGUUACAUGGAGAAGUAAGAAACAGAAUGUGGUUGCCCGUUCCAGUGCAGAAGCAGAAUACAGAGGUAUGGCUUUGGGGAUUUGUGAAAUUUUGUGGCUUAAGCUUCUGUUAAGCGAUUUGGGUAUACAACAUGAUCAGCCCAUGAAAUUAUUUUGUGAUAAUAAAGCUGCUCGUGACAUUGCACAUAAUCCGGUACAACAUGAUAGAACAAAGUAUGUUGAAGUUGAUCGGUUCUUCAUCAAAGAAAAAUUGGAAAGGAAAAUAAUUGAAGUACCGGCAAUAAGAACAGAAGAUCAGUUGGCAGAUAUCCUCACAAAAGCUGUUUCGAGUCACAAGUUUUCAAGUUUCUUACAUAAGUUGGGCAUGAGCGACAUAUAUGCACCAACUUGAGGGGGAGUGUUGACUUUUGUAUUUUAGGUAGGAUCCCUAAUUGAUAUGUAAUCCCAUGUAAUCACUUGUAAUUAGUUUUCUUUCCUUUUAUGUUAGGGUUGUACACCUAUAAAUUCCUCUUAUUGAGAAGAAUAUAUCAUCAUUCAAAGUAUUCUCUUCUUCGGUUAGGUAGUAAUACUAAAUAUCUCAACCAAAUAAAGAGAGAGUUUCGGAUGCAUUAUUUUCCUCUUUGUAAUAGAUACCGUUGUAUUUCUUAUGGACUGCAACUAUUUUAUAAUCGCAUGACGUGCAUCUUUUCAUGAGAAAGGCGAUAAUGAAGAUGUGUUCUAAACAACUAUUAUGUUGUUUGCCAUUGAUGGUCCUAGCGAUUAAGGAUUAAGUUUAAAUCAACUUCAAGUAGUUAAUGAUUGGUAUCUAGAGAGUUUAUUUAGAUGUUCAUUUUUCUAAUUAAACAAUAAUGUCAAAUCCACUUUAGCAAAAACUACCAAAAAUUACUAUUUGCCCUUCAAACCAAAAUUCGUCGAGUAAAUGAAUUUUACCGGAUUAAAUUCUGGUCGGCAAAAACUGGUCAACAUUUAGGUUCUGUCAAAGACUUUGCAUAACAGAGUGAGUCGGUCGGGCAAACAUUUGGCACCAAGGGAAAUAAUGGCGCGUUGUGUGUGAAAUCUUCAACUCCGCCUAUGUAAGUUUAUCUUACAUUGCCAGUCUCAAGCCCGGAUAAAGGAGGAGGGGGAGGGCGUCAGGUAGUCGACAGCCGGCACUCCAUGAUCACGUCGAAUCCUUAUGAAAAUGUGGCAAUCAAGAUUGUAAUAGGACAAGAACUUAUCAAUGUGAUUAGUGCGUACGCACCUCAAGUAGGGUUGGAUACGAGUUCGAAGGAGAAAUUUUGGGAAGACCUUGGAGACUUGGUGUAAGGAAUUGCUCAGACGGAGAAGUUAUUUAUAGGAGGAGAUUUAAAUGGACACGUGGGCAGGGAGACAGGCAACUAUGGAGGUUUUCAUGGUGGCCAUGGUUUUGAGGAGAGAAACGAGGAUGGGGAAGCUAUCUUGGAUUUUGCAAUGACAUAUGAUCUCUUCUUAGCCAACACAUUCUUUAAGAAGAGAGAAGAACAUGUGAUCACGUACAAGAGUGGGUCGUCAAAAACACAAAUAGAUUUUCUUCUAAUGAGGAAAGGGGAUCGUAUAACUUGUAAGGAUUGCAAAGUUAUACCAGGAGAGAGCGUGGCUAAUCAACAUCGCUUGUUGGUGAUGGAUGUACAUAUCAAAAGAGUGAGACAAAAGAACAAGACUUGGAAGUGCCCAAGGACUAGAUGGUGGAAUCUAAAAGAAGAAAAACAAGCCAUUUUCAAAGAGAAGGUAAUCACCCAAUGUGUGUGGGCUAGAGAGGGGGAAGCUAGCCAAAUGUGGGAUUCCAUGGCUAGUUGUAUCCGGAAAGUAGCAAAAGAGGUAUUAGGAGAGUCCAAGGGCUUUGCCCCACACCAAAAGGAAUCUUGGUGGUGGAAUGAGGAGGUACAAACAAAGGUGAAGGCUAAGAAGGAAUGUUGUAAAGCCUUAUACAAGGAGAGGACCGAUGAAAAUGGUGAAAGGUAUAGAAAAGCGAAGCAAGAGGCGAAGAAAGCUGUCAGAGAAGCUAAGUUAGCGGCUUACGACGAUAUGUAUAAACGACUAGAUACCAAAGAAGGAGAGUUGGAUAUCUAUAAACUAGCUAGAGCAAGGGAAAAGAAGACAAGGGACCUAAACCAAGUGAGGUGCAUCAAGGAUGAGAAUGGAAAAGUUCUUGCUACAGAGAACGCGGUUAAAGACAGAUGGAGAGGUUAUUUUCAUAAUCUUUUCAAUGAAGGACAUGAAAGGAGUGCUUCUUUAGGGGAGUUGAGUAACUCAGAAGAGUGUAGAAACUACUUUUUUUAUCGUCGAAUCCGGAAGGAAGAAGUGGUUGUAGCUUUGAAGAAGAUGAAGCAUAGAAAAGCAAUAGGCCCAGACGAUAUACCAAUCGAAGUGUGGAAAGUUUUGGGAGAGACAGGUAUAACAUGGCUCACUGACCUUUUCAAUAAGAUUUUGAAAACGAAGAAGAUGCCAAAUGAGUGGCGAACGAGCACUUUGGUGCCUAUCUACAAGAAUAAGGGCGACGUACAAAAUUGCAUGAACUAUAGGGGUAUUAAGCUAAUGAGUCAUACAAUGAAGCUCUGGGAGAGAGUCAUUGAGCAUAGAUUGAGGCAAGAGACACGGGUUUCGGACAACCAAUUCGGGUUCAUGCCAGGGCGCUCAACCAUGGAGGCAAUCUAUCUCUUACGAAGAUUGAUGGAAAGAUAUAGAGAUGGGAAAAAAGAUUUACAUAUGGUCUUUAUAGAUUUGGAAAAAGCGUAUGAUAGGGUCCCGAUAGACAUUCUUUGGAGGAUUUUAGAGAAGAAAGGAGUACGAGUAGCAUAUAUCCAAGCUAUAAAGGAUAUGUAUGAAGGAGUAAAGACUGCCGUAAGAACUCAUGAAGGACAAACCGAAAGCUUUCCCAUAACUGUAGGAUUACAUCAAGGCUCAUCCUUAAGUCCUUACCUUUUUGCGUUGGUAAUGGAUGAGUUAACAGGACAUAUUCAAGAUGAUAUUCCUUGGUGUAUGCUUUUCGCAGACAAUAUAGUGUUGAUAGAUGAAACUCAGGAAGGGGUAAAUGCAAAGCUUAACCUUUGGAAAGAAGUGUUGGAAUCUAAAGGUCUUCGCCUAAGCCGAUCAAAGACAGAAUAUAUGAAGUGCAAGUUCAGUGCAAAUGGAGGCCAAAACGAGUUAGGGGUGAGGAUCGGAGAUCAAGAAAUACCAAAGAGCGACCGUUUUCGUUACCUAGGAUCUAUCUUGCAAAAGAACGGAGAAUUAGAUGGAGAUCUCAACCAUAGAAUACAAGCUGGAUGGAUGAAGUGGAAGAGUGCAUCCGGCGUGUUGUGUGACCGCCGUAUGCCACUGAAGCUCAAGGGAAAAUUUUAUAGGACGGCAAUAAGGCCGGCGAUGUUGUAUGGCACAGAAUGUUGGGCGGUGAAGCAUCAACACGUACACAAAAUGGGUGUAGCGGAGAUGAGGAUGCUUCGUUGGAUGUGUGGGCACACGAGAAAGGAUAAGAUUAGGAAUGAAGAUAUCCGGGGUAAAGUAGGAGUAGCUGAAAUUGAAGGAAAGAUGAGAGAAAAUCGGUUACGGUGGUUUGGACAUGUGCAAAGAAGGCCUACUGACGCUCCGAUUAGAAGAUGCGACUAUGGGACAGAGGUUCAGGGCCGAAGGGGUAGAGGAAGACCUAGGAAAACUUUGGAAGAAACUCUAAGAAAAGACUUAAAGUACUUGGAUCUAACGAAGGACAUGACACAGGACCGAGCACAAUGGCGUUCUAAGAUUCAUAUAGUCGAUCCCACUCAGUGACUUGGAGUUUCCAAGUCUCCAACCGAGAAGUUUUCCUCACUCGGGAAAUUAAGGGAACACUACCCCAACCUAUAUGCUCCACUCACAAAGCUUCAACAUACAAGCUUCAACAAAAGAAAAUUCAAAGAACUUAGAGAAGAAAACUUUGGUGUAUUUAACACAAUACGUUGAAAUGAAGGAAAGCUUAUUUAUUGAUAUCCCCGAUAAGCCAUAAAUAUGUACAUAUACAUGAGUCAAAAUAAACAAACAAGAGGGAGCCUUCACAAAGGUUGCUUAGGAGAAGUCUCAGCAGUCGGUAGAGCCCCAGAAAGAGAAGGCAUCGGAGGGGGAUCAUUCAGAGCCUCAGUACUGGACAGAACCCUAGAAGGAGGAGGCAUCAGAGGUUGAUCAUUUGGAGCUUCAUUACGCGGUACAGCCCCAGAAGACGAAGGCAAUAAAUGCCUUUGGAACAAACCCACAAAUCUCUGAUGAUCAAGUAAAACCUAACCAUCAGUUUCCUUCAUCUGGUCAAGCUUCCUCUUCAUGUUUGUAGCAUAGUCAUGUGCGAACCGGUGCAACUGUUUAUUCUCAUGCUUGAGCCCUCUAAUCUCCUGUUUGAGACUCAUCACUUCAGCCGCCAAUGAUUCAACUUGGCGGGUUCGAGCAAAUAGGCGUUGGGCCAUAUUAGACACAGAACCUGCACACUGAACACUGAGAGCCAGCGAAUCCUUUAACAGCUAACUCAUCAGACCGUUUGGAAAGUAGUCUGUUAUCUUUGGGAGUGAGAAGGUUCAUGGCCACCACCGCAGCGGUCAUAUCAUUCUUCAUCACGGAAUCCCUAACGGUAAGAGGACCAGUAGGGGAGACGAAGGAUGGGCGCCAUAUGUUGUCUGGAGAAGGCGGGGCUGCCUCUUCAACAAGGUUCAAGUCAAAACGACGGUCGGAGGGGCCAGACAUUUUCAAAGGUGUUGAAGAGAGAAGAGGUCGGACAAAUCAAGAUCUUAGAAGUGCAAGAAUGGAGCUUCUACUGGUGGAGAUUCAAGUGUGCUUUGGAACUUAAUGCCAGCCCCUAUAAAAAUCUGCACUCGACGGAGCUUCAGAAAUCGAAGAGACGCCUGCUCAGAAAUCGAAGAGUCGUUUGCUUUCUCAAAAGCUGGGCUGCUCAGAGACCACGAGGGUUGAUCUCAGAAAUCGAAAAGGCGUUUGCUUUCUCAUAAGCUGGGAUGCUCAGAGACCACGAGGGCCGAUCUCUGAAAUCGAAGAGGCACCUACUUUUCCAACCUUGUCAGCACCUGUCACACGCACACUCAGCUUUGCAGAAAUUAUGGGCAUUCUGUCGAAGACUUCUGGUGAAGUAGAAAACACAUGAAUCUUACUGUUCAAUCACCCACUUCCCACACGCAACAAUAGCUCAUGGGCACCUCAGAUAACUUUGCCAAAGUUCUCUGCCAAAGUUGAGCACGUGAAGCUUGCAGCUCUCACUACAUCGCUCUGGCCAAGAAGGGUAAAAUAAUAGCAAAGAAACAGCAUUAACAAAGUUUAGACACAUAAAUUUUGAAGGUCUAGCUACCAUAUUAUUACCCACAAGGGUAAAGGAACAGUACCACUGCUGGAUAAUUGGAAAGUCCCUGUGUGUCAACCUCUGUGCUUCGUGGCAAGGUAGACUAGCAAACAUACCCAACCUUUACUCACAUUCGAGAAAACACUCCCAAUAAGAUUGCUUGCUCCAAAAUCGAAGAGGCACCGUAUUCCGAAUCUCGAGAGCCAGACUCCCAACAUGACUACUUUCUCAAAAUCGAAGAGAGGGUAAAGGAACAGUACCAUUGCUGGAUAAUUGGAAAGUCCCUGUGUGUCAACCUCUGUGCUUCGUGGCAAGGUAGACUAGCAAACAUGCCCAACCUUUACUCACAUUCGAGAAAACACUCCCAACAAGAUUGCUUGCUCCAAAAUCGAAGAGGCACCGCCCUCCGAAUCUCGAGAGCCAGACUCCCAACAUGAUUACUUUCUAAAAAAUCGAAGAGACACUGCUCCCCGAAUCUCGAGAGCCAGACCCCCAGCAUGAUUGCUUUCUCAAAAAUCGAAGAGGCAUCGUUCUCCGAAUCAAUCGAAGAGGCGCUCGCUUUCUCAAAAGCUAGGCUGCUCAGAGACCACGAGGGCCGAUCUCAAAAAUCGAAGAGGCACCUACUUUUCCAGCCUUGUCAGCACCUGUCACACGCAUUCUCAGCUUUGCGGAAAUUAUAGGCAUUCUGUCGAAGACUUCUGGUGAAGUAGAAAGCACAUGAAUCUUACUGUUCAAUCACCCACUUCCCACACGCAAUAAUAGCUCAUGGGUACCACAGAUAACUUUGCCAAAGUUCUCUGCCAAAGUUGAGCAUGUGAAGCUUGCAGCUCCCACUACAUCGAUCUGACCAAGAAAGGUAAAAGAAUAGCAAAGAAACAGCACUAACAAAGUUUAGACACAUAAAUUUUGAAGGUUUAGCCACCAUAUUAUUACCCACAACGGUAAAGGAACAGUACCACUGCUGGAUAAUUGGAAAGUCCCUGUGUGUCAACCUCUGUGCUUCGUGGCAAGGUAGACUAGCAAACAUGCCCAACCUUUACUCACAUUCGAGAAAACACUCCCAACAAGAUUGCUUGCUCCAAAAUUGAAGAGGCACCGUCCUCCGAAUCUCGAGAGCCAGACUCCCAACAUGACUACUUUCUCAAAAUCGAAGAGAGAGGGUAAAGGAACAGUACCAUUGCUGGAUAAUUGGAAAGUCCCUGUGUGUCAACCUUCUGUGCUUCGUGGCAAGGUAGACUAGCAAACAUGCCCAACCUUUACUCACAUUCGAGAAAAACACUCCCAACAAGAUUGCUUGCUCCAAAAUCGAAGAGGCACCGCCCUCCGAAUCUCGAGAGCCAAACUCCCAACAUGAUUACUUUCUCAAAAAUCGAAGAGACACUGCUCUCCGAAUCUCGAGAGCCAGACCCCCAGCAUGAUUGCUUUCUCAAAAAGCGAAGAGGCAUUGUUCUCCGAAUCUCGAGAGCAAGAUACCACAGACCACUUUUUCAAAGUGCUCUGACAGAGUUAAAACAUGUGAAAGCUGGCAGCUCCCACUACCGUGCUAUGACCAAGCAGGGUAAAGGAACAUCAUUACUACUUGUUGUUAGGGAGACUCCUAUAUAUGUCGACCUCCAUCCCCAACGGACAGGCAAACCUGCAAAAAUGCUCAACCCUUCCUCAUAUCUGAGAGGGCACUUCCAACGAAGCCUUUCGAAAUAUUCAGCUUUCUUUCCCCCCGAUAAUACCUCUGCAAACAAGCUAUACUAGAGCAAGAAUAUCUCAUAUCAUCAGGGUUAAAAGCAAGAGUAUCCCAUAUCAUGCUUUUUCCCUUGUCUUUUCCUUUGGCCUUGUUUUUACCUGCAAGACAAGGAGAAAGAGAGCAAUCAGUCAGGACUUGGAAUCAAGCUUCCAGCUAGGAACUGACUGCCUGGAACCCCUUUCCUGAUUACUUACCUGGCAUUGCUCUCGAGUACUCAUCUUCAACAUCUUAUGCUUCCAGGGAAGAUACCGCAUCUGCUUGAGGAACAGAUAAGGCAAGUGCGAAGGAUACAAGGAAGCAUGUGGAGACAAGUGUAACAGCACACGUGCCGAUACAUCCAUUACUCUGUCAAAAGCAAAAGUAUCCCAUAUCAGCAGGGUCGAACGUACUCUAGAUUUGAUGGACUUGUUUUGACCCUCAAAUUCUUCAGUCGGCCUUAUACUCUGGAGGAAACCAGAAAACCCUCCAGCUCAGUUCAAGAAUAAGCCUGUGGAAAGUUACUUCUUCAAAAGCAAAAGUAUCCCAUAUCAUAUCUUUUCAUUUUUCUUCUCUUUAUCCUUCAUGCUGCCUGCAAGAUAGGGAGAAGGUGAACAAUCAGCCGGAGCUCUGAUUGCUUACCUUGUCUGUCGCCUCCUUCAACAGAUCCCCUAACUCGGCGACUUGGGGGACUCCUACUACAUGGUUUGUAUCGCGCUUGACCAAGCCUGAAACUACAAGUAAGCUUCAAGUGAAAUUGAUAAAUUACCUUGUGCAUCUCCACCAGUUAAAGAUACCACCCCUGGAUGGAGGAAGAGUACUUCCAGAGAAGAUGCCACAUCUACCUAUGAGACAGAUAAGGCAAGUCAAGACGAUACCACACUCCGAUACUUAGAAGUUUCGUGAUUACGAGAUCAUUCUCCCACAAUAUUUCCUAAUGUCAUUUGUACUAAAUCAUUCACUUGUACUCACUAAAGGAGAGCUUGAACCUAUGUACUUGUGUAAACCCUUCACAAUUAAUGAGAACUCUUCUAUUCCGUGGACGUAGCCAAUCUGGGUGAACCACAUACAUCUUGUGUUUGCUUUCCUAUCUCUAUCCAUUUAUAUACUUAUCCACACUAAUGACCGGAGCAAUCUAGCGAAGAUCACAAAAAGCGAUCGUUUUCGCUACCUAGGAUCUAUCUUGCAAGAGAACGGAGAAUUAGAUGGAGAUCUCAACCAUAGAAUACGAGCUGGAUGGAUGAAGUGUAAGAGUGCAUCCGGCGUGUUGUGUGACCGUCGUAGGCCACUGAAGCUCAAGGGAAAAUUUUAUAGGACGGCAAUAAGGCCAGCGAUGUUGUAUGGCACAGAAUGUUGGGCGGUGAAGCAUCAACACGUACACAAAAUGGGUGUAGCGGAGAUGAGGAUGCUUCGUGGGAUGUGUGGGCACACGAGAAAGGAUAAGAUUGGGAAUGAGGAUAUCCGAGGUAAAGUAGGAGUAGCCGAAAUUGAAGGAAAGAUGAGAGAAAAUCGGUUCCGGUGAUUUAGACAUGUGCAAAGAAGGCCUACUGAUGAUUCGGUUCGAAGAUGUGACUACGGGACAAAGGUUCAGGGCCGAAGGGGUAGAGGAAGACCUAGGAAAACUUUGGAAGAGACUCUAAGAAAAGACUUAGAGUACUUGGAUCUAACGGAGGACAUGACACAAAACCGAGCGCAAUGGCGUUCUAUGAUUCAUAUAGCCGACCCCACUUAGUGGGAAAAGGCUUUGUUGUUGUUGUUGUUGUUGUUGUUGUUGUUGUUGUUGUUGUGUGUGAAAUCUUCCUCGAUGAAUCAUAAAAGGAUCCAUCGCGCAAAGGUUUAAUUUAGGUUUUGGGGUUUAGGAUUUUGUUUCAUCUCGUAAGUGGUAUACCCGUCAACUAAAUUGAGUGAUAGGGUUGGCAUAUUAAAUUCGUUCAAUGAUUAAUGCAUUUUAUAAAACUAGUUUGCACGAUCCAAUCGACAUGUUUUGUUUGUAUAUACUUGAGAUUUGAUAACCUGUAAAGGAACACACAACCAUGAGUAAGCCCAGGACCGGCGGUGUGCCAGUUCAAGGCUAUCCAACGGUAAAGUUAGUAAGAAAUAUUAAGACUCAAGCAGCAUGCAAGAUAAUAAGUGAGUAGCGAUUGUGUUACCAAAGAGGAAGCCUAGAACGGUGUAUUUGUAAUAGUCAAGGAGAUGACCUUUUAGGAUAGUAGAAUCCGUAUUAAACCGGAAGAACCUAUGAUGAUAUCUAGGAAGUAGAUAUUGCAUCCUUUUAGGUUCUCAAAUCUUGUGAAACAAGAAUGGUCUAUCUCAGUAAAGUCAAUGGACCUCACCCACUGAUUCUGAAGCAGGACAAUAGUAGCAUCGUUGAUCCUUUAAGUCAGCUCCGCUAUGGAGGCUGUUAAGUCCAUGACCGAACUUUUGAGGUAGGCCUAUUAUGAUCCGUCUUACUUGAUCUUGGAAAAUCAUGGUCCCACAAAUGCCCCUAACUAGACAUCAGAAGGGAAUUGUUCCCCUUAAAUUCAAAGACAAUGCACCUUCGAGUAAAUCAGAAUACGUACCGCUUUCUUCUUUUCAGAUGCAUGGCGUCUUAACUUCGUUUCUUGUGAACUUUUGUAGCAAUAGAAGCUGCACUAGGUCUACAACUAAACGAUCUUCAUAAUCUUCUUUUAAUUAGCUAGCAUCUCGUCCCCAUGUUCUUCUCAAUUAUCUUUGGCAAGUGCUGUCUUAAUUUAUAAAUACAGGAUUAGAGUAUCUGCACUAUGGUUUUAAGCCACCUAUAAUCCACAGGGAUGUGAAAUCAUCAAACAUCUUGCUUAAUGAAAGUUUCCAAGCCAAAAUAUCUGAAUUCUGCAUGUCCAGAAAUUUUCUUACGGAGGACAGUACUCAUAUAUCGACGCAUGUUGUUGGAACUCCUGGGCACCUUGCCCCCGAGUAAGUAAUUUUUGUUCUCAACGCUUGUUUGGGAGUCGCUUCUAAGUGUCUUGGCACGUAUUUAAAAUUUAUUUACACAAUUCCUAGACAUUAGAUCAUUGUGAACAGUUAAGAUUAAAAGCCUUGUAUUGUUUGUUAGACAGAAAAUCUGGUAGAGGAUCCAGAUAUAAAGAGAAUGAUAUAUAUAUAUAUAUAUAUAUAUAUAGCUUUUUGGAUUAAAGUACCUAAACCCCCCUUCAAAUCUUUUAGUGUCAUUCUAAAUUGGUCUCAACCUUUUUAAACAUUCCAAGAAAAUGCCUAACCUAUUAAAAAUGUUACAUCCGUCAAGCCCCAGUUAAUUUUUCAAAAAUAGAUCUUUUUCAACCACCACUUUGGAAUAUCAUGGACAAUAUUAAUAUUAGUUGGGGUAAAUAGCCAACAUGGUCCCUGAGAUUUAGCCAUAUUAGUUGCCUCAAAAUCUAAAUUUCAAACAUAGAUUAUAUAAUAUGGAACCCAAUGAUCAAACUUGUAUUGAAUUGAAUCGGAAAUGUACCCAAAUCGAAAUUACAUCAGGAGGGCAAUCUCUUAACAAAGAAGAGGGUUAAGAAUUCAGAUAGGGUUUCAAGGAGUUUAUUUAUACUCAUAUGAUUUAUUCUUUCACCGAUUCUCAGCUCGUAAAGCUUCUAGUUCUUCUUUAAGGCAAUGAAGGUGGUGGUGUUGCAUCAUGGCAGUCCAUGCCAUUUUAGCAACCUCCAUAACCUUAUUCUCGAAGUUGGCAAUUUGAGUGGUAGGGUGAAGUUAAUGGUUUUGCGAUGGGUUUAGAGGUGAUGGCAUGAUGAAGGUAGUGCUAACCAUUAGUUGGUGGAGGCUACGCUUCCAUGACAUUCUAUUGAUUUUCGAGACAAAGUAAGCCUAGUUAAUUUAAUAGAUUUUUAACUGGAACUUAACGGAUGUGACAUUUUCAAUGAGUUGGGUAAUUGUUUGGAACAUUUGAAAAGGUUGAGAUCAAUUUGGAAUGAUAUUAAAAGGUUAGGGGAUUUUAGUACUUAAGCCUAGUUUUUUUCACCUAGCAUUAUAUAUGGCUACGCAUAAUCAUUCAUAAGAUAAUGACUUGAGUUGCAUGGUCUAUAUUGCAAGUACUACUUAUCAAACAGGUUAAAUGAGAAAAGCAAUAUCUAUAGCUUUGGGGUUGUGUUGUUGGAGAUUAUCACUAGUAAACAUGUUUUUUUUUUUUUUUUAUCAAAAACGCAUGAUCACAUUAGUGAUUGGGUUACUUUCAUGCUUGAAAAGGGGGACAUUAAUGGGAUCUUUGAUUCGAGAUUCGACAAGAAUUUCAAUGUUAGCUCUGGUUGGAAAGCUUUGGAAAUAGCAAUGGCAUGUGUAUCUAUAAAUGCACUAGAAGGCCUACCAUGAGUGAAGUAGUGAUGGGACUAAAGGAGUGUUUGGCAACAAAACUAGCUCGAGCAAAGCAGAGUGGCAAUGAAACUGAAUAGGAAGUUCCAUUGAGAUGAUGUCUAAGAUGAAAUCAAUCUUUAUGGAAUUGGAAAGUCCCUCAAUUAGAUAGUACAAGUAGACCUAUAUUGAUAAAAGAGGAAAUUGUAGCAAUGGUCCUUCAACUUUAAUAUGAUUGGAGUAAUGAUCCCUUAACUAAAAAUUUGUAAUUAUUGGUCCAUUAACUCAUCAAAAUAUGUAACUAUGAUCAUUUUCAUUCACUCUGUUAGAACUUCCAUCAAAUUCUAACUAUUUAUAAUGACUUAGCCUAUGUGGCAUUCAUCAUUGACCUAUACCUAAUUAAUAAAAAUAUAUCAUUGAUUAAGUCCAAAAUAAAAAUAUGUCAUUGAUAUAUGGCUUAAUAGUAAAUUUUUUAUUGACUUCUGGCUAAAUUACCUUAAAAAUAAAUUAGGAUAAUCUACAUAAAUCUUAUUUUCAAAAAAAAAGAGGCUAAAAUCAUUAUUUAAUAAUCACGAGCUUGUUGCAGUCCUAUUAGAUUAGGAAUGUGAUUGUGUAAAUCCUAGUAUAUCUUGGAAUAUCUCUUAUAUUCCUAUUAGGAGUAGAUUACCUAUUAAAUAUUGUAAUCCUAAAGGGUAAGGAAUUAACCUUCCAUACUACUAUAAAUAAAGGUACAAUGGGGUGGAAUAAAACACACCCACAAUUACACAUCUCUCUAUUCUCUUUACUAUUGCCGCACAUUUCCCUCUGUAUGGCCUCCAUAAUUGUUCAGUAAAUUAUGUCUAUAACACGUUAUCAGCACGCUCUUGACGUUGCGCUAACAAGAGAGUUUGAUCUUCAAUCAGGGGAGUAUUAUGUUUUAAUCAUUCUUUUUAUGAUUAAUUUAUUAUUUAAUUGAAUUGAUCUACAUGCUAUUGUUUCAAUUUACUUUUUCUGUGUUAAACGUGAUACAACGCAUUAGAGAUGAAAUUCCGGCUUUCUGCGAAGGAUCUUCUACAAAUUCAAAGGUUUUUGUUGUUUUCUGCCAAUCAGGUACGCUUAAAAUAAAGGAAUAUAUUUGAAACGACCUUGAAGCAUGAAAACAUUCCCUAUAAUGUAUGAACCCCUCUAUGUUUAUAUUUUCCUUACAAUAUAUAUAUUGUAUAUGUUUAUAUAUUUGUUUCAUGCAUUACGAAAUUAAAUUGCUAUGCGGAAUAUGUGAGUCAAAGUAUAUUCAUAAAUUAGAAGCAAAUUUAGGGUUUGUAAAACCCUAACAAUUUCGGAAAAAAAAUAAAUAAAAGAUAGGAAUAUGGGAUUUUGCAACACCACUGUCGUGGCACCACCACAAGGACCACUGUGUUGGUCUUAAGCCCAGCCACUUUGGAGACCCCAUUGAGACGACGUCGUUCGACAUCUUGGACCCUUUGCCAAAGCCCUUGGGCUUCGCUGCAUCUGUGGAUAACUAGGUCGUGUGCCUGGUCCAGUUUCUUACCACGGGCCUGCAACCCGGACCCACAUCAACACCUGAUGGGCUGGUCCUCCCAUCUCAGCCCAUGCCAGCAGCUAUGCUGCUGGGCUUAGCCUUUCCACGGCCAGCGUUUCCAUAAGCCAGCCAAUGGGGCUGGGCUUAGUUUCUAUACCCGAAACUGAAACCCAGUUACGGCUGGGGUUUCACUCUCAACCUGCAAGCCUUUGGGCUUGUUCCCACACCUUUCCUUGGCCCAAAAUCAUGCCAGCCUUUUGGCUGGGCUCCCCGCGCCAAAACCAGCAGCUUGGGCUGCCUUUUUUGUUUCACACCCAAGCCCGUGGCCUGUAGCCCACUCCCGAGGCCUUUAGGGUCUUUGCCUACAUACGGCACUCAACCCAAAAUUUUUGGGCUAUGGUUUUUGACCCAGUGCUAUUAUUUAGCAUUCUUUUUUGACCCAAUGAUAUUUGUUUGGCAUUUUAAAUCAUUUUAACCCGAAUGUUGUAAUUAUUUUUGCUUUUAUGAUCAACCCCAUUUGGUCUCAAUCUAUUGAAUUAAUUAAAAGUGACAAGCACUCUAUUAAUCUGAUAAUAAAUCCAAAAUUAUUAACCUGAAGAUCACUUUUGGACAUUAACGAUUCAAUAAUUUAUUUUUAUAUUUUGAACCGUUGACAUACUUUCAUAGUAACAAAGCUCUCACACUUGAGUUCCCGAAGAAUCUUAAAUCCACUACACUUAGUUGUAUAUUGUAUUCAGUGUUCUUGCAGGAACCUCUCUUUUAUGAACUAAACGUUCAUAAACUAAAUUGAACCUGUAGUUUCAAAUUUAGUGCCUUUGAAACUCGAAGUUUUCAUAAAACAAUACACCCAUGAAAACCAUGUCUUAGAACUCGAAUGUUCUAACUUUGAUGCAUAUGGAUGUUUCAUUCCCAUAAGCACCAAUCACAAUUUUGUUCCCUCCAAUUCAAUGGAUUGUCGAACCGUCACAAGUUCGAUUUCCCUUAUUUGGACGUUUCUAAUAGAAACCAUUUUAUAUGUGGGUACAAGACGUGAAUCUUCACUUGACUAUCAAGAAGCUGAGAAACCAUUAUAGCCAACAAUGGCAUGGAAAAGCAAAAUAAGCCUCCACCAUGAUCUUUAUUCGAAGACUUAUGCCUGAAGCAUUACCAACGGAAGUACCUCAUGAACAGGAUUGAAUGGCUCUUUGGCUCGCUCCUAUGGACCGUCUAAUCAUGAAAGAUAUUGCCCGAAGCACACCAUGAUUACGUCCAUGAAUGAGUACAAUUCUGAAAUUUAUAAAUCCGAUCGAAUUUUGACUAGAGAAUACUUUUCUUGUCAUUCCUUGUUUCUAACUCGCUCAUGAAGCAACAAGUGUAUAGAAAGCGGAAGUUUACCAAAUUCUUGGAUCUGAGUACUACUACAAACAUAUGUUUGGUGUUUGUUUUACUUAUGGAUAAUCUUAUUGAUAUUGUCCUCGAAUAUGAGUUAAUUGAAUCAUGUUUCUUAAUAUAUGUGACCGAUUCAAUUAAACACGUGAUUAGGUAGGAAUGUGGGAAAGUUAGUUGUCUGGAUGAAUGCAUACUAUGCACACUAACUCUACACCUAAUUCACUUCUCUAACGACUUCAAGUCUAUCCAACCUGAUUAAGAGCAUUGGCAUGCUCCUCGUUGUAUGAAUGGUACUACAUUACCAUUUAACGAACCUUAAAUUCUCCCUAUCGUAAGUUUUUAAGGAUAUUCAAGAUGACAAUGAUCAUAAAUGAAACCACCGAAGAAAAUAAAGUGGAAUGUAUUUGCACCACGUCCAAAAAUGAGCCUGCAGCUUUGAUUUGGGGCUAAUGAGUUGUCUCCUAACUGGAAACACACCACAUGUGGCCGGCCUGGAGCCGGGUGAUUUAAGCAAUUUACUUGUUUUAGCACAACCUUUUUGGGACACUUAGGUUGAACAAUGAUGCUACCACGCAUCUCCUUACCCGAAGUAAGGAUCUUGUGCCUACAACCACACUUUGCCAAAACCCGCUCGUUUUCAGAAAUUUGAUUUCUAAAUCAUCCCUAGCAAAGAUACGAAACGACUCAUUUUUCACAGUGGAUUCAAGAGAAUAUAUGUGAACUAAUCCAACCAAAAUGCGGACCAUAAAUACUUAUGGUUUUGGUUGAUGAAUCGACAAACUGGUCACAUGUUUGUCCACACACAUUGCUGCUUAACCUCUUGGCCGAUUAAGGGUUCACCACCCUAUUUAUCCCAUAAAGUCUAGGAGACUGGAUAAUGCCGAAGAGUUCACAUCAACAGUUUUCGAUAAAGUAUUGCAUGUAUUUUUGGUUUAUAAUUGAACAUUGAAUUCCUAUGUUCACCCCAAAUAGCCUCGCCUAGCGAUCAUAAAGCGUAAUUUAAAUGAUCGCCUGGAUUUUGGUAAACAUACCAAGUUUUCGGUUUCUGCCUAGGGCUAUGCAAUCUUGUACGCAGUUAUGUUGGUCCGCCUUGAGGCCUAUUGCCACCCAACCUAUAUGACGUUACAGCUGGUUAUUGGGUAUGAACCUGAUGAUUUUCGUAUUUACGCAUUUGGGUGUGCAUUCCAUGUGCCAAGUUGCGUCACCGCAACAUACUAACAUGGGUCCUCAAAGAAAGAUGUGUAUAUUUUGUCAAUCAUGAUUCUCCUUCACACUAGCUCUUUUCGAGCCCUUGCAUGCUAUCUCUUUACUGCUCAUUUGCUGGUUGUCACUUUAAUGAGACAGUCUUCCCGCCGUUAAGGGGAGAUAAGAACGUCAAUGUUCCUGUAGAACAGCGCAAAUUUACGUGGACGUUGCCCACUAUGUCUCAUCUCUAUCCUCAUACCGCACAAGUAUGAUAAGCAAGUGUGAUGAAUUCUAGUUUUCAGAAUGUUGAUCCAGAUGCAUUUUCUGAUAUAGCUGAAAUGACAAGAUCAUAUACCAACUGCAAACAUGCCUGCAAUGAUAGACGUACUCAACGGAUGUCGAGUCAACAUCCAUGGAGGGUGUGCCGCCCCUGUUGGACUUCUUGGACACCCCUGUUGAAUGGUCUGGUACACUGGCGGAUAGCCAAUCAAUAUGUCUUGGCCUGGAGUACGACAUAUCAUUCGGUUCGUAGGAUUCACUUCCCUAGAAGAGGAAGACACGGCACAACAAUGAAUCUAAACUCGAUCGUUAUCUCAAAUCAUUUCCCUCUCAUAAGAUUAAUCUGGAUUACUCCCGAGACAUGAAGUUCUUGGUCUAGUAUACUAGUUUGGAUGAGCUAAAUGAAAUUGAAAUGAUAUUACCAUCGAUGAUGUGUUCACUUAUAUGGUAGCUACCGACAUAAAUGAAAAGUGACGAUAUCGAACCAUGUUCCGUUGAUUAAGUGACAACGUAGAACUGAUUGGACAACUGAAAUUACAAUCCAGGUCAAAUUCCUUACCAAAGUGUGUAUUGGACUUGUCGUUCCUACACUGCCCAAGGUAACCCUGUUAUGUUACAAGUGGGAAAGGAAAUGUUAUAAAAUGAAUGAAAUAAUGCGAUAUGAUGCACGCCUUACGGUGCAAGGUUUCUUUCAAACGCCAUGUGAUUGAUAGCAACAUUAUGAAAUGUGGUUAGUGUUUUCUCCAUGGGGAUAUAGAUACAUAGAUUUACAUGUAAGUUCUCGAAGAAUUACAUGGACCGGUUCAAAUAGUUCCAAACCACGAAACACCCUCUUAACUUGUUUGAGGCGUUCACUUACAAUCCGACGGAUGUGGCAUACCCGUCUAAGUGAUUAUUUGAUUAGUCAAGGAUAUGAAUUAUGCCUUUGCGUGUUAAACUAUAAAGUCUUAUUCCAAAUUGCUAGAGUUACAGUUUAUGUUGUUGACAUACAUCUCACUAAUACUCUAGAAGAACUUGAGAAACUGCCUCGCAUUUGAAGAUGGAAUUUGAGAUGAAGGAUCUUAGGAAAAAUCGUUUAUGCCUUGACCUCAAGUUCAAGCGUUGUUUUGACGAUACCUUGGUCUACCAGUCGAACUACACCCCGAAUGUGUUACCUUUGAGUAUACCUAUGAUCGUCUAUACAUUAUAUGUAAAUGAAACCCUUGAAAAGGUUAUGGAAUCCGAAAUUCCAUAUCUAAGUUCAACUUUGCACUUCAUUGUACUUAGCCCAUUGUAUUUAGACAGGACAUCUCAUUCGCUGUUAAUCUUGGUAAAGAUACAGCAUCGUGCCUACACACAUCUAUUGAAUUAGUAUUAAAGACAUACCCUAAAGGUACUACAAGGGCAAAUCCCAACGCAUCUAGAGCGGAACCAACCCCCCUAAUCCUCAGAAUGAUGCUUGCCUUGUUGUUAUGCUGACGUCGGUUACUUAUCAAACCCGCACAAAGCAAAAUCCCUAAAUGGUUAUGUCUUUACCGUUAAGGGAUAUCGCAAUAUCUUGGAAGUCCAUGAUAUGACCUUAGUUGCGAAAUCUUUGAAUCGUUCCAAGACUCACCUUACUUCACUACGCCACAAGUGAGACAUGGUUAAGUGUUCUUGUUGAGCAUAUUCGAAGUACUUGUUGUUUUUCAUCCAUCGUUGAGUCCCAAUGACGAUUCAUGAAAAUUAUGUCGCAUGUAUAAACCCGACCAAGCCAUGAUUCAUUAACGAAAUCAACGCCAAGACAUAUUGCGUCAACAUCUACAUUAGCAAAGCAUCUGGAUAUUGAAGUCAUGCAAGACGAUUCCAGACAACCUUGCCGAUCUCUACACCAUCACUGCCGAAGUCAACCUUCCAGAAGCUUAUAUGAGGAAUUAGUAUGACUAACUAUUCGUAUGCAAUGUUUGUAGUUCUCAUUUGAAAGUUAUGUCAAACUCAGGGGGAGUAUCCAUAAGUAUACUCACUUGAUCUUAAUGUACUCUUUUUCCCUACGAUUAGAAGCAUUUUUCCUAUUGGGCUUUUGCUACCUAACUAGGUAUUAACGAGGCACCCAUCUUGGGCUGAUCAUACCCUUGUGAGCUCUUCUACUUGAAUCCAAAAGACGUAUAGUUCUGACUUAAUGCAACUUCUCACUUUUCUCUUUAGCCUAUGGGGUUCUCUCUCACCUUGGGUUUUACCAUAGCGAGGUUUGUGAGUUUUACUUUUUAUGCAUUCUUCCGUUGAUCUGAGACUCGCAUUCACUCAUUGUGCCGACAACUUCAUCAACUUUACUUCAUCGCUAAAUACCUGAUGCGCCAUUUACUUGAGUUUUACACACUCAAGAGGGAGUGUUGCAGUCCUAUUAGAUUAGGAAUGUGAUUGUGUAAAUUCUAGUAUAUCUUGUUAUAUCUCUUAUAUUCCUAUUAGGAGUAGAUUACCUAUUAAAUAUUGUAAUCCUAAAGGGUAAGGAAUUAACUUUCCCUACUACUAUAAAUAAAGACACAAUGGGGUGGAAUAAAAAACACCCAUAAUUACACAUCUCUCUCUUCUCUUUACUAUUGCCGCACAUUUCCCUCUCUCUAUGACCUCCAUAAUUGUUCAAUAAAUUAUGCCUACAACAGAGCUAAAAUUUUAAGCCAUAAAAUUUUCUGGGUUCUGACUUAAAAUUUUAAACUUUACCCUCCCUUAGGGAUGGUCUAAAGCAAGGUAUAAAAUAUCGAUGAUAUCGGGAAUAUCGGUAGUCCAAAAACACGGAAAUAUCGAUGGAAAUAUCGAGAUAUUAUCGAUAUCGAUAAAAAUAAUAUGGAAACCACCGAAAUUGUAAGAAAAACUUGGAAAUUUUUAUUGAAACUUUGCAGGAUGUUUAUUUAGUCAAUUAUCUAUUAGUUUAUCACAAAAAAUUGGAAGGAAAUGUAUUGCAUGAUGGAUUUAACUGAUUUAAGUUGAUUAUAUAGUGAGCUGGCAAACAUUGUGAAUGUAGAAAAUAUGUAGUAAUUAAUGAAAGAAGUUUAAACACACCAUAAUCAUUUAUAUAAUGAAUUAGUACAAUAUUUUACACUUUAUACAUUGCAUGGUAAGAUACAUGAGUGACUUAGUACCACAUAGAGUUCCUAUGAGGUUCAAAAUUUUCACUAUCUUCAUCAUCUCUAUUUGUAGAGUAAGUGUAUUGUGAAGAGUAGUUAGCAACUAUGUUAAUGGUUUUCAAGAACCAAAACCCAAAAGUCAAUAGGAAACCAAAUACUUCGGCAUUUUCGGGAUUUCAGGAUUACCAAACAAAUGGGAUUUGGAAACCAAUCCCAUAUCGAAAAUUUCGGUAUUUUUCAGGAUGGGAUUCCCGAACUUUAGGAUGGUUUUGGUUUGGGAUUUUUCGGUUUGGGUUUGCGACUUUUUCGGUUUGGUUUGGGAUUUUCGGGAAUUUUUUCUAGCCCUACCAUGUAAGUGACCAAAUAAAAAAUAGAAAAAUUAAAAACCACAUGCCAUUGACUAAGUAAUUGAUUGACACAAUUUAAAAUAUAAUAUCACAAAAAUUUUGGAAUAUGUGCAAAUUUGUUUCUUGUAAAAAGAAUUCAAAACAAAACCAUAUAUAUAAAUAUUUUAGCAUAUUAUCACAACAAAGUAAGUGAUAUGGUGGUUAAGGUGUUAAGGAGUCAAAUGGGUGGGGUUCGAAUCCCUCUAUGCUCAAAAUUGAGACUUUUCAGAAAUUUUCAAGUAUUUUUGGAUUUCAUAUCGUGAUAUUUUGACGAAAACUCAUUGGAUACCCAUUAAAAUAUCGGUAACUCAAAAAAACGAAAAUAUUUUGCGGAUAUUUUGGUCCUUGGUCUAAAGAAUAAGUUGAUGUUAAAAUGAAUAGAUGUCAAGUUAUAGUUGGUAGAACUCUAGGUCAACAAAUCAACCCAUAACGUGUGGAAAAUUUUCUCCUCAUUAAGAGUGAUAUGCAUGCACCCCAUAGCAUUUACAACGACAUAACUCGCCACAUUUACAGGAAAUUUCCAACGUUGGACAUCCCUUGAUUCACGAAAUGAAGAUGGAGACCUCCACUGACUCUUCCUCCAUUUACAGGAAAUUGCCUCCUCAUUCACGUGGGUCCUUGAUUUCCAAAUGUGUUGGCAUUAAUAAACCUCUAAUUCAUUUAUUCCAGUUAUAGAGUUAGACUCUAAAAGGCAAUCUCCAUGACUGGUUCUAAAAAAAUUAGGAGCAUUUUUCUUCACUACCAUAAACUAUAGUCUCAUAUCUCAUAAUUUGUUACAUGUUUUUUUUUUCAUCUAAUUUUGGCUAGCAUUCAUAUUAAAUGUUUCUUUUUCAAUUUUUAAAAAAAUUAAUCAGAAUUAAAUGAAAAGACAUACAACGAAUGAUGAUGUGUAUGGUUAGCAUAUAGUGAGAAAAGUGAUGAUAUACUUUGGAACAUAAUAUGCGAUGCGAGACGACUUCCCAGAACUAUUCUUAGGGGUGGUUUGGGAGUGAGAUGCUUAAAAAAAAAGCACCCAUGAAAAAAAGCUGUGAGGGUUUUAGGUGUUUGGUAAAUUGAAAACAAAUGGCUUAUUUUGGAAGCUGCUGUGAAAAUAAGCUGAAAUCAAAGGAAAAAGCUGAAGCUGCUAUUUGUAGCUUUGGAAAACUGGUUUUUUUUCAAAGCACACGGAGCUACAAUGCUCCUUUAAUGAAAAUACCCACUAUCAUAUUGCUUUUUUUUUCAAAAGCACUUUUACAAAAAAAUUUACCAAACACUCUGCUGAUUUAUUUCACAGCCGCUUAUUCUCACAGCACAGCCGCUUUGAAAAAAAGCUGCUGUGAAAAUAAGCGGUUGUGCUAUGAGAAUAAGCGGCUGUGAAAUAAAUCAGCUGAGUGUUUGGUAAACUUUUUUAUAAAAGUGCUUUUGGAAAAAAAAGCAGUCAAAUAGUGGGUCUUUUCAUUAAAGAAGCACUGUAGCUCCGUGUGCUUUGAAAAAAAGCCAUUUUUCCAAAGCUGCAAAUAGCAGCUUCAGCUUUUUCCUUUGAUUUCAGCUUAUUCUCACAGCAGCUUCCAAAAUAAGCCAUUUUUUUCAGUUUACCAAACACCUAAAACCCUCACAGCUUUUUUUCAUGGGUGCUUUUUUUUUAAGCACCUCACUUCCAAACUAGGUCUUAUUCUCAUAGCAGUUUUUUUUCAAAGUACAGCAAUACCAAACCAGCCCUAGAAAGUCAACUUUCCAGAACAGUUUUGAUUGGACACAGAGCCUUAUCACAUUUUCUAAUCAACCACACAUUGAUUGGAUACAGAGCCUUAUCACAUUUUCUAAUCAACCACACAUCAUUUCAAACAUUUAGCGUAUCGAAAGGAGAAUGACGAUAUACUUUGGAACCAAUCCGUGAGUUGUGCAGCCUUGCUCUUAUAUAAAAUGAGAUGCUACAGAACCAAUAUUUGGUGUCUUGUGUCCCAAAGAUGUCACGGACAAUGAAGCAACUCUUCCUCUUCGCAGCGCCGCUUGGUGGUUUCGCUCUUAAUCUUUUGUUCCUAGUUCAUGCCCAAGAUCAAUCAGGUAUGAAUUCUAAAUACAGGAUUAUAAUAAAGUUAAGGUUUUUAUCGCAAAUGAUUCCUGAAAUUAACCUAUCCAUAGUUCUUGAGUCGAUCAAUAUAAUUCCUGAAAAUAGAUGUCACAUAUCAACAUGGUAUUUCCUGUAAAAAAAAAUUGUUAUGUGUUGAUAUGGUACAUAACUGGAUCCCAUAAAUCAAUUAAAUAUUGUCAUAUGAAUUAAAGAUAUUUAAAUAGUAAAACAGUUUUAAAAAAAAAAUUAAUGGGGGAAGAGGAAGAUGAACAGUACUGUAAGUAUUUGAAUUAUCAUAUACAGUGACCCCGUCCCUCUUAUCCACCAUUGAUCUGCUCUAACACAAACGUUCUCCGAAUAGAUUUGUAAGUAUUUGAAUUAUCAGAUGAAGCUCGCAGCACCUCCAUGACUAGAAAAGCACGCUUCUUUCUUCCUUCCUUUGUUCUGCAUGUGCGUCUGUACAUGCUUCAAUUUCGCAGUGAGCUCAAUUAUGCGGCUUCGUCGACCAUUUUUCCCAAGAUUGAAUCUUUUUGAGUUCUUGGUUUUAGUUUGUUUAUUGACCUCAGGUGGCCGUGAAACAAAAUCCAGGUCCCAUGCGCUCCCAUUGGCCAUGAAAAGCGUAGGACAAAGACCCAUCAGACCUACCCCUUAAUAAUACCCACAAAUAUCCGAAAAAUAGUUGAAAAAACAAAUUAUUGGUGGGGAAGAAGCAGAUGAACAGUACUGCUCGUGUGUGUAUCUAUAUAUAUAUAUAUAUAUAUAUAUAUAUUUAGUUUUUAAUUAUACAAAUAAAAAUUAUUUUUUAUUAUUUAAAUAUUUUCAAUUCACAUUGCAAUAUUUAAUGCGAGCAUUUUUGCUUACCACCUUAACACCAUUUCCAAUCGGAUAGAUUAUAGUCCUACAAAAAAUUACUUUUUAAUAAACAAUAAAAAGCCAUAUCUAUAUACAAUCUCCAACCGAAUAAGGUUAUUUUUUAACCCCCUCAAUAAUUUAUUAUUUUAAGUUUGUUCUUUAAUUUUCUCAGUUAAUUGAAUUAAACUUGUGUAUGCAAAUUUCUUCAUCAUUGUUCUUGGACAAAAUUGCAUCUACAAAACAAAUAACACCUUAGGUCAAGGCCAAAAGCCUCACACGUCCACGAUGAAUGUGGAAGGGGGGGCUUCGAUGCCAAAAUUAGAAUUUUGAGAGAAAAAUGUUUGGAGAAUUUGGAGAAUUUAGCAAGAGAAAUGGAAUUGAGUUUUGGAGAAAAUGAGAUAGUAUUUAUAAGCGUGUGGCCACCCCUUUUGAGAGGAUGGGAACCGGCCACUUAGAUGGUUUUUUGGGUGAGAUUCAUGAUUUGUUAGCUAAUUAAUAAAUUAAUUAGGUAAUAAAUCAAUUAAUUAGCUAAUUAAUAUAAUUAGAAAUGAAUGAUUUGGGGUUACCUUGUAGAGAAGGCUAGAAAUAGUGCACAUGCGUUGCUACGGGAUUACAAAAAGCGUGAGCAUAACAUAUAUAGAUAUUUAAAGAACGAUGAAGUUUAAUUAAUCAAUGGAAAAUGGCGAUUGUUAAGUAAAUUAGCAAAUGAGAAUAUCUGUACAUUCAAUGUAACAAAACUUCAAUUACAUGAAAUCAAUUGGUGGAAUUAAGAAUAUCUCACAUCACAUUGAAUGUGACGAUAUUGCAAUUAACAGGAACUCAGUUUCGAAACAAUCCGCAAAUCUAAAAUCAAAAGCAAUAAACAGAGCUAAAAACAGUAAAAACAGAGAAAAACAUGCAUGCUGGGAAAUCAAAAGAGAAGGGAAAAGGGAAAACCUUUAUGAUUAAUUUUCUUCUCAUGGCGUGGCUUAAGAGAGACCCAAAAAAAUUUACAAACUAUUAAGGACUGAUACAGUCAAUUUUGAAUCAAAACAAAUAAGCCUUAUUAAUACCUUGUGAAAUCGCAUUGUGAUUUUGACAGCGUAAAACCCAUAAAUGUCGAGCAAAUGAUGAACAUGCAAUUCAGAUCAAAUAUGCAAUCUUUUCUGCAAGAUAAAAAUGCAUAACUAUCCACUGUAGGGGCGAUUGGGAGAACAAAAAAAAAUCAAAAGGAAUUAUUAACUUUUGGAUCUAGAAGGAAACUCAAAUGAAUCGAUCGAAAUUAUAACCCUAGAAACUAAAAUCAAACAAACACAAAAACAAAUGUGAGAAUUUACACGGCAAGAGAUUGAUACUUACCCGAUGUUUGGGGGGGUUGACUGAGAUCGGCGCCCAUUUUUUAAAAAGUAGUGAAAACCCAAAAGCAACCAAGUCUGAUCAAUGCCAAAACAGAAAUGACAAUCAGCUAGCAGAAGCUAUCCAGCAACAGGGAUAUCCAAACAGAUACUAUUCAUGUUUCUCUAGAUGCUCAGUGCCAAAAUCCUCUUCACUCAAAAGCACUUCUAUAGUAAAUAAAAGUCACAGAGAUCAUACAAAAAAUCCAAAACACUAAAAUGGGCAAUCAAGAUUCAAGACCAACAUCCAAUAACCAAAAUUGGCACCAAAACACUAAACCCCAAAAUUGCAAACCAGCUUAAUUCAAAAGUAGCUUAAUCCAAAAGCAGCUUAAUCUGCAACAAUUGAACCAAGAAACAGAAUUUACCGUGAUAUAAUCGAUCCCAGAACCGAUCUUCUUAGCUUCAGGAUGAAACGGAGGCAGCCUUUGGAGAACAGUCUUCUGAUGCUGAGGGCUCAAUCUAUUUGGAUUAGAACACGGGAAAAUGAAAAUAUAAGUUAAUGCAAAAUUUUUAGCACAUCAACUUGCAAAAUAUUUUCAAUAUACUGAGAUCUAUCACAAACAAAACAUCAAAACCAAAACUACUAACUCCCCAAAAAAUCAAAACUACAUAUAAGAAAAAGGAAAUCAAGCUUAAAAAACUUAAAUUAGGGGAAAGAGUUGGAGAAGCAACAACUGACAUUAUUUUCCAAGGCUUUUCAUGGUUGGCAAUAUAAUGCAUGUGCUUCCCAGGAGCUUCAACAUGAAAGCUUGAUAAAUUGAUGAAAUGGAUUGGAGCAAAAGUAAUUUGAAUGCCUCCUUCGUUCUGACAACAAAAAAAAAUAUUUUAAGAUUAGAUAUUACAAACUGAUGUACACAUAAUAAUAGAAUCAGUGUCAAUUUCUCCAUGUUAUAGCAAUACCUCAUAACAAAUCGUCGGCAAACAAAAUCAAUUUUAAGUUUUUUGAAUUAAAAAAGCAAAAACACAUUUUCAGAGAGUAGCCAGACAAAAUCAUAAUAGCCAAUAGCAAACAAAUCCAGAAAAAGAUAGAAACAAAUAGAAUCAUUUAAAUUUUGUAUGCUGUUAGUUUCUCAAGUAACAUUUACAUAUUCAAAUUAUGCAUGUAUUGGGGCGCUUUAGGCACAAUGGUAGUGUAGUAUUCAAAAUUUAUUUUCAAAUGAUCACAAAUGAAUCUCCAACUAUUGUACUUAAAACACCAUUAUUCUACUCAAACUAAGUGAAAAUUGUGUUGUUUUUAUAAAAACAUUGAAAAACAUAUGAACUCAUGCCCAGCUUUGAUUAAUUCAUCAUUAAUAGCUGACGAUUUCAACACUAAGAGUUUAUAAGAGAACAUUGAAAACAUAUGAACAUGCCCACUUAUUAUCAUGUCCAACAUUGCAGUUGAUUAAUCUCACAUAAAUCCACAUCAAAAGAACCCAGAAAUUUAAUGAAGAAUUUUCCAAACUCACAAUUUAUUUACACUAAAACCCACAAAUUUAAACGAAAAACUCUAUAAAAUCAAGAAAAAAUUAAUAAAAUCCAAGUAUAUUAAUCACAAAUUCAAUCAUACAAAUCUUCAUAUCCAAUAAGUCUAGAAGGUACCUAGCUUCCUUGCAAAAUCGUAUCUCUACAGGCCAAGGCUCAAAUUUCCUUGCAGCUGCCUUGAUUCGAUAAGUCCUGAUUCAAGCAGUCACAUAUAUAUAUAUAUAUAUUUAAGUUGAUGCGUUCAAUGGACAUAUGCACUUAUCAGAAAUUAUGAUACCGAUUGAACACGUUAGAGUAAUAUCCGCAAUUAAAUAAUGAACAUUAAAAUGACUAACCGGGUAACAUAAACUGCUCAAAUUUGGGGGGCUGGAAUUUGAAGAACCCAGAUGGAAGUUACACACAAUCUGAAAAGAAUGAAAGCAACUGCAUUAUAGGAAGAGUUGUUACAAUCAAGAAAAUAUAAAAUAUUGCGUCGUUGCCCUAUAUGAUCUCAGGAUCCAAACAGAAAUAAGUAAACAGAAAGAGAACUAUUGGAAAGCAAUUACCUGAAAUUCUGAGUUCUCUUCUAGAGUGAGGAGAAAGAAGUUUUCUAAAACAAUCAAAACCUUGCUUUGUGCUAACUAAUGAAUGGUCUGAAUUGUGAAAAAAAUCGAAUUCAAAUCCUCCUUCAGCAACCUAAUAAUUAAGCCCAUAAAAAUUUAAAAACUCUAAUAUCGGCUAUUUUCUAAAUAUUAGGACACAAUACGUCAUCAAUACGUUAAUUAAAAAUAUACAUUGAUGCGUAUUCAUACAUAUAUAUAAAUAUAUUAAUAAUUGUAUAUAAAUAUAUACGGCAUGGAUGCUAAAAAAUAAGGAAAACUAACGAAAAGUCCAAAAAAAACUUCCCUUUUAAUGAAAAGUCAUUUUUAAAGGUAUAAUGAAUAGUACUAAAAAGGGUAUAAAUGUGGUUUUUCGUUAAAAGUGAACCGUACUAGAAGUGUUUUGUUAAAACUCCCUAAAAAUAUGCAUUAUUUUCUAAUAUAAAUAUAAAUAUAUAUGGCCUUAUUUUCUCAUAAAACAGAAGCCCUGGUUUGAAAAUAAAAUAUCACAUGACUUCAAAAAAACCCUAAGUACCUAGCACAAUAGAAUCUGCCGCCGUCGGCUUCUUUCCAAUUGUAGAUCUGGCCGUUUCGACACUCUUCUACACAGAGCUCUCUCACUCCCCCUCCCGCUCUCUCCCCCUCCUCUGGUUAGAUCAUUUCAUCGUCAAGCUGCUUUUGUUAGAAAUUUGUCAAGACCCACAACACAACCUAACUAAAAAACUCAAGGAUUAAAAGUUUCUCCCCAAAAAACCACAUCUCUGUCAUCAAACGAAAACUUCGAAAGCAACAACCCAUUCUAACAUCUAAAAUUGAACAGAACACAAUCCACACAGUUGCAUAAAAAAAUUGUAGAUGCAAGAUUAGAAGAAUUCACAACAAAACUAUCCACUUUGAGACCAACAGAUGCGAAGAGAGAAGAGAGAGCAGACAGCUACAAAACACCCAAAGAAAUCGAAAGCGAAGAAGAUCAACGCCCAAGCAGCGACAUCAACGGGAAAGAGAGGAAAUUUUUACAUACCGACUGAUCGGCGCGAGGGGAGAGAAAUGAGAUCAAAAAGGGAAAAAAAUUAAGGUUAGAACAGCGACAACAGCAAAGAAAAAAGGAAAGAGCACCGAAGCACCUAGGGUUGGGUUCGGUUUGAAACGGUUCGGUUUUUUGCCAAAACCGAAACCGAACCGAAUUUUCGGUUCAGUUCGGUUCGGUUCAAAAAAAUUUCGGUUUUUUUCGGUUCGGUUUUUUUCGGUUUUGAUUUUUUUUGGCUCGGUUUCGGUUUAUUUUCGGUUUUUUUCCAUGAUUUUUUUUUAAUCCGGAAGAAAUCUGCAACGAUUAAGCAAUGGAGAUGCAGAAACUUCUGCAUCAAAUGAAUACGAACUGGGACGAUCGGCCAUGGAUCUGACAUUAUUGGGUGUCGAUGCGUAUUUCUUGUUGUGGAUCUGAGAGCUCUCGCAGAGAAAAUGCAUGCAUGUGUUAAAUCUUUUGAUUUUUCCAUGAAAAUAAACCCAAUAGAACUAAAUAGCAACCAUGAGAGUUUUUUACCUUGGGGGUUUAUUUUUAGUCCCAAAGCUCUCGCCAGCCAUGGAAUACUUAUGCAUCUGCUGCCAAAUUGGAAGAUUAAAAGAAAAACUUAUGCAUCUGCUGCCAACAUGCAAAACCCCAACAAAAUAAUUAAAAGAAAAAACCCCAAAAAACACGUAGAAACAACAAAAAAAUAAUUAAAAGGAAAUCUGCAACAACAAUCAUGGUUUGGAAGAAGGAAUCCGCGAGGAGGACAGGAGAAUAUUGGAGAGAGUGAUUUGAAGGAAGAGAUGAAGGGGAGAGAGAGAUAGAGAGAGAGAGAUUGAGGAAGCAAAGGCAGAGACUCAGGGAGGAAGUAGCGGAGGGAGAGAGAGUUUGAGAAAACGUGAAAAACUGAAAUGGGAAUGUGAAUGACGGCUAGGGUUUGUAAGUUAAGAAAUUUUAUAAAGCGUUAACUAUUAGAAACCUAUAAAUGAAUUACCGGUACAAUUAUAACAAAACAAAGCUGACAGUCAAGUUGGCUUGAAACGACUACCAACCUGAGGUCAGGGGUUCAAACCCUGAUAUUUUUUUAUUAUUUAUAUAUGAUUUUUUUUUUCGGUUUGGUUCUGUCCGGUUCGAUUUCCGAACCUCAAAAACCGAAACCGAACUGGCCAUAUUUGGUUCGGUUCGGUUUUGGCAAUUUCGGUUCGGUUUUUUUUGGCUUCAGUUUGGUGCGGUUUUCAGUUUUUUUUGGUUUUCGGUUUUUUGAACCCACCCCUAGAAGCACCCAAAGAAAUCGAAAUAGGAGAGGAUGAACACGUGGCCUCGGAGGGCAAGGAAGUCAUUUAACUGUAGAAAAAUGGCAAAAAAGUGGCUUAACAAAUGAAUUGAGGGGCAUUUUGGUCCGCACAUUGCCCGUGAACAGUGCACCCGAGUUUGGGCUUUAGUGUAUGUAUAAUUUGAUAAGGAUAGAUGAAAUAUGUUUUUAAUAAAUACCUAUUUUGGGCACUUUUGACUUGAUUGAGGAAUGAUUGUUCACUGCUCGCGCGUAGGAGUUCCGUUGUUCCUCGAGGGUAAUUUUGUCAUUUUCAUCCUAAAAUCCACGUGUUACCUUCAUAUUCUUCUUGAUUAUUUUUGGCUUCCCAAAACUACCAUAUUAAAAUAAAAUUUCUGAACAUAUUUUGAGGGCCACUUGUCGCUAAAUGUUGUUUUAAGUUUCAUGUUAUUAAAUAUUUUAACUUUACUUGCUUGUUAACAACUUAGACAUUAAAAUGAGAUAAGAUAGCAUGAAAUGGUGAAAAUCAUGUGAGAAAUGGUGCAAAAUGAUUUAAGUAUUUAUAGGAAAAAAUUAGAAUUUUUUUUUUUAAAUUUCAUCUUAGGAAAAAAAAAAAGACUACAUGACGUCAGUUAGCAGCACAACUAGGCCUAACUUUCAGGGUUGACUGGCCAUUUGGCUAUAUUUUGGCAUGUGGGUCCCAAAUUUUUUUGGCCCAACCCUCCAUUGGAGAUGGGUUUUAUAUCAAAACGGAUUAUGUUUAUGCCUGUAACCCUUUGAUCGGCUCGGUUGAAGAUGACCUAAACUCUAGAACAUGCUCACCACCCCCUCUAAAGAUUGACUAUUAACAAUUAACAAUGAUUAACUAUUAACAAUUAAUAGUAAAAAAAUUAAGGAAUUAAGUCAUCCCCCCUUCUUCCCCAAAAUCACAAGCCACUGCUUCAUGCUUGAAAACUUAACAGAAAAUAUUGUGACCACAUUGAUUUUUGACACCUAUUUUCAAAGACUACAUUAGUCGAUUUUCAAUUUCAAGAACCAUCUUAAUCAAUUUCAGGGACCACUUGUGAUAAAAACCCUAAAGUUAAAAAACAAUUAAGAACUCUUUUCUUACAUUUAUAAUAUAUAUGUGCCAGGCUUCAUUAGCAUAGAUUGUGGCCUAAGGGAAGACUUCAGGUAUAAUUCAACAUGGUCAGGCAUUACCUAUAUUUCAGACGAAAACUUCGUGGCCACUGGUGAACGGAAGUUGGUGUUGCCUGAACACAAAAACACGUAUUCCCCGUUAUACAACUCUCUUAGAAGCUUCCCUAAAGGUAUCCGAAACUGCUAAAAUAAAUGUUACAAGUAAAACCAAGUAUUUGAUCAGAGCAGGUUUCUUUUAUGGGAAUUAUGAUGGACAAAAUGAAGUACCCCAAUUUGAGAUACAUCUUGGACCUAACUUGUGGGAUACAGUGAAGUCGGAAGCAACAAAAAUCGAGCUCAUACAUGUCCCUCUGCAAAACUAUGUACAUGUUUGUCUGGUGAAGAAAGGCUCCGGGGUUCCAUUUAUAUCAGUCAUAGAACUCAGGCCAUUAACCGAUGCCUCGUACAAAACAGUGAAAGGGUCCUUAUCACUUCUCUUGCGGAGUGACACUGGUCUAACAGCUGACCGUGAAUACAGGUGAGUGAUUUACAUGUUUACUAUUGUCUCCAAUUUAACCAUAUAUAGUCUGGCAUUCAUCAACAUUGUAUGCAUGUAUUGAUGCAAAACCUUUAUUUGUAUAGGUAUCCAUUUGAUACUCAUGAUCGAAUCUGGGAAUACUUUGACGACCACAGCUCUUGGACAAAAUUAAAUACCUCAUCCACCAUCAAUUCAGAAUUCGAGUAUCAACUACCAUCCGUCGUGAUGGGCACAGCUGCAACGCCGACAAGUUCAAAUGAUUCGUUGAAUAUUUUAUGGGACCCGUAUGAUGACACUGAAGUACAUCAUGUUUACUUGCACUUUGCAGAAGUUGAAAAGCUCCAACCCAAUCAGUCUAGACAGUUCAACAUUACUACAAACGGAGAGCUGUGUUAUGGGACACUUGCUCCUGAUUAUUUGUCCACAACGACAAUAUUGUGCACCGCUAAAUCCCUGAGUGGACCAGGAGUAAACAGUAAUUUUUCAAUUGUUAAGACUGGAAACUCUACCCUUCCACCCAUCCUCAAUGCCUACGAGAUUUAUGGAGUGAAGGAAUUCUUAACAUCAGAUACCAACCAAGACGAUGGUGAGUCAUAUUGAUUCCUUACACAAGCUUAAAUUCCUUGCUAUAUGUGAGCUUUUAUAACAUCUUCUGUUUGCUUGUGAAAAUAUUAGUUGAGGCUAUCACAAACAUUAAGUCAACGUAUAAUAUUGAAAAUAACUGGCAAGGAGAUCCUUGUAACCCUCAUGUUUACUCAUGGGAUGGUCUAAACUGUAGCUAUCAAGGAAAUGAUCCCCCAAGAAUUAUAUCCUUGUAAGUAUAAAUAUCUUCACACCAAAUUGCAGAUUAAUUUUCAGUACUUACAAUUUUAUUGAUGUUAUGGACUUUGCAAUCAGGAACUUGUCUUCCAGUGGAUUAGAAGGGGAGAUUUCUCCUUCUCUGUCAAAUCUAACAAUGAUACAGACAUUGUAAGUGUAUCUAAAUAAUUUGUAAUUUUGUGUGAAAACAUAAACAUAUCUCAGUAAUAAUACGGCAAAUGAUCAAUUAUACCUAAAAAGAAAUGACACGAAUCAUUCUGGAAGAAUUUCAGACAUCAUAAUCAAUAGUGUUAAAUGAGUUGAGCUGCUCAUUGCAGGGAUUUAUCAAACAACAACUUAAGAGGAUCAAUUCCAGAAAUUUUGUCACAACUGCAGAUGUUAAAUGUGUUGUAAGUUAUUUUGUUAUAUAUGUGUAUGUGUGUGUGUAUUUUGUUAGUCUUAUAGCUUAUUUACGCAUUUGAAACUCAAUACGAGUCUUGCACCACAUAACUUAAAUUGUGUCACUUAACUUCCUAAUACUCAACUUGUUUUUCACUUUUACCAUAUGCCAUCAAAGUCUGUUAGAUAAUCCGUUAAAAUUGGUGACAUGACACAAAUGACCCAGUUUUUUGCACAAAUAGAUGCUACUAGCAAGGGUGCCCGCGCAUUGCUGCGGGAUUGAAAACUGUAUAACGCCUUGCUGCAGGAUUGAAAAUUGCAUAACUCAUGUAGAAGUUCUAAAAAAAAUUAUGUAUGUGUGUAAUACAGUAGACAAUACUAUUUACAUACAUGUGCAAAUUUAUUUACAACAAUAAGGAACAAAAUAAGUGUCCAUGGGCGAAAUGAAGUUUAUGGUUAUAAAUUGUCAAAUUCCAUACGUGUCAAACUUCAUUUAGGAAACUAAAACCAUAAAGAAUAAAGUGAUAAACACAGAAAGAUAGUUCACAAUAUGAAACCGUUGCUUCACUAAAUAAGCAGUACUAACAAAAUCAUGCUUGUUUUGCUGCAAAAGAACAAAGUAGAAAAAGGGAAACAAAAUAUUUAUUUCUUAUUUUAUAUUCUGUGGAACAAACUUGGAAGAAGAAGCAAUAGUGAAAAAAUCAUAUUUAUUUCAAUUCUUUAGGUAGAGAAAAAUAGUACAGAAACCAACAAUGGAGGCACAUUUUGAGAAAGUAUUGAUGAAAACACACAGUACACAUACCUGCUUAAACCUUUCCUCCUUUUGCUCAGCCUGUAUUUGGAGUAGAUUAGACUUGGGCAUAAAUUCAGAAAUCAGUUAAGAAUGAAACCCAAAAGUAAUUGCAGUUUCUUAUUAUCGUUUCUCUUAGAAAAGACUAAAAAAAUUGUUUCUUAAGAUAACAAUAUGUAUAUAAGCAGGAUUGUGCUUAAUUUUCUCUAAUUAAAGCAAUGGUUUGCGCAAUUUAGAACCUGAUAUAACAAAAGCAUAACAAACAAAAAAUUCCAGAACCUGAAGUGCCUUUUGAAAGCUCGGUCCUACUUCGAAAAUCUACAAAGGGAAAAAUUGUAAACCCAAAUUAAAGCUUCUUCUCUCACUCAAAAGAACAAUGGAAACUUUAUAUGGAAAAAAAUUGAAAUUCUGCGUAAUCAAAAGUGGAUCAAAACUCUUAAUAGAUUAUCUUUACGCGUAGGAGAUCGUUGUUAGAAUUUGAAAACAAUUGAAACAAUUGAAACUUCAUUUUAAACACAGACUUAAUCAAUUGAUUUAUAUUUAAAUGGAAAGAAAGUAGUGGUCAGUUUUACCUAUCUUUUGUUUAGUAUCGCUCCAUUUCUAAUUUCAAUUAAAAGCUUGAAUUUUUACUUUCCUUCCAUUCCCCUGUGCAUAAGAGUACAUUAGCUCUUGUUUACCUACUACAAAUUGAAAACAAUUUGGGGAAAAUAACUAAACCUUUGGUUAUUAGAUUCUUGGUAGGCAAAGCAAGAAAUUUACACACAACAAAACUAUUAAAACUUUAAAAUUCACUUCCCAAAUUAGGUUCUCUGACUGGCUAAUGAUCAUAUUGGAUAUAAAUUAUCAUCCCGAACACUGCAAUGCUUGAUUUAUUUAUUUAUUUAUUUGUGUUGACAUUCUAGUUAAUCAUUAUUUAACCGAAGAAUACAAUUCAUAGAACAAUAAUUAGUAGUAGCUAAACGAAAGGGAACAAAUAGCAAAAUUUGCAGUUAACAACAUAGAGGUAAGUGAAUUAUACACAAUUAGGAUAGGAAUGCAACCAAAAUGUGACUCUUACCUGGUUUUGGUUAUGCGUCUAUCAAGUGCUGCCCUUAACUAACGAAAUAAGCACUCUCUUCAUGUAGCACAUUUAGUCAUCAAUCCCUUACACACUAAGAUAUUAUGUAUUACAUUCAAAUUUUUCUGUACUUACAUUUUCAUUCUAUUUCUUUCAGUGUGUAAACUUAUACUAAAUCUCCAUAAUUUUCAGUCAAUUCCAUUGUAAUUAAAAUAAAUAUUGAGUAUAUACAUACUUAUAGACACACAAAAUUCAGUUUUCCAUAUGAAAGCACAUACGUCAAGUCAAUGUUCCUAUUGUAUUCAUUUAAUCAAAGGAUGCAUCAAAUAUAAAAAUUAAAUUAUACCUAUAAUUUAUAACCUUUUGAUUUCGCUUCGUCUGCAGCUAAACCAAAAUUUAGACAGUCCCCAAUAUAAUUCUGUCAAAUACCAGAUACCAACGCCAUGUAAAAGUCAUAUUGGGUGUCCACACCCACACUUGGGCUUAAAAAAUACUUGCAUAUAAAUUAGAAAGAAGAUGAAUAAAUUAAAGAAAAAUCAUAUCUACUAGCAAUUCAGACUCACCCAAAGUUGCUAUCGAGCUCUGCCGAAGACAACCCUGCACUGUUGACAAAGUCUAGAACAACCUAGAAAUUUAAAAAGAAAUAAGCAAUCAUUUACUAAAAAUCUUCACAAAAAAAAAAAGUGCUAGUUUCACAAAUAAAUGAAACCUAGAUUAAAUAUCUUGAUAAAAACUAAGAACUUCAAAGCUUAAGAAAAACCCAUGAAUCCAACCAUGAAAAAGAUGCAAACUUUUGCACCGGCAAACCAUUCAUAAACCAAAAAUGAUAUUUUAAACAAAACACAUGAAUCCAACUCAAAAAAGCUCAAAUUUAAAUCAACCAACACAAACAAAAUAUCAAACAUGGUUCAUUGUCUCUCUUCGCAUUUAAAUCACAUAGUGUUGCCCAAUAUAUUAUCGUCUUAACAUUUCAAAUACUCAUGCAUUAGAUAAAAAAUGAUAUCUAUGUUAAAAUUACAUGGACUGCUUUAUCGUGGUUUAAAAAAGCAACCACAAAUCAUAGAAUCUAAAUGUUCCUCAAAUCAUCUAAAACACUAAAACAAAACCCUCACUUCCUACUACACGUUUAAGAUAGGUGAACCCAUACAAACCUCUUCACCAUUCACCAAUAUCCUUGGUGCUAUAAAUCCAAACAAAAAAAAAAACAUCCAUAAAUAAAAUGGCUACUAACCAAAGCAUCCUCUGAACAAAUUAAGAAAUUCAAUUAAAUUAAACUCCCAGAAAAAAAAAUUUAAAACACAAAAAAGAUAUGCUUGAAUUGUCAAGGAAAUCAAGAUACUAAUAAAUAUAAAGAUGUGUUUGAAUUGUUAAUCAAAUAAAUAAAUAAGACAAAGCAUUUCCAAACGUUGAUUAUGUCUGAUGAGUUAAUGCUACGUGAUUGCCCUGGAUUAGUUUUUCCAACCUUUUCAAGCCAUGAGAUGAUUGCUUCUGGUGUAUGACCAAGGAUAUGGAGGCUGUGUAGAUAGUGGCCAAUCGAUUUCUAAGACAUGUUUUUGAAGCGGUCUACAGGAUUGAUGUGCCCAAACCCAAAUCCUAUGAAAUCGACAACCGAAGAAACAGAGAUUCUCCUAUCACUAAAUAAAGAUUCAAACCCAAAACUGAGUAAUUUAUCAAAAAAUUCACUGAAUCGAUUCGAGAAAAUGCGAAAAUUAUCAAACCUAAUCUUCCGCAAUCGUCCAAGUAGAGAAAAUUUAGACUUUUUGUGGCGAAUUUCUGGAGAAAUUUUUUAUGGAUGAAGGCUGAUGGCGAUUUAUUUGGCUCGAGAAAGUUGGGUCAUGGCAUACUAGAGAUUUUAAGUGGAAUUGAUAAUGAAAGUUUGGACGAAAACGACAAACGGAGAACAAAGGGUCCGUGGGAGAAAGAUUUGUAGUCUCGCGGUUUCUGGAAGAUUGGAGAACGAAUCGUCAUUUCAUCCCCUCCCCACUCCAAGAUGGCUGACACGUGCACAGGUGAAGAGUGUUGUCGAAGACGAAGGUGUAGCGAUGAUGUCUCGUGGGUUAGGAGGGCAAAACGGCCUUUUUGGUGUGUGAAAAAUGGGAAAAAUAGCUGAUAACAAAGAAUUGGAGUGUGUGUACGUCAGUCCGAUUACUUUUAAUGAACAGUAAUUUUGUGUUGAGUUUUAAUAUAUGUAUAACGUGGAUGCCAUUUGAAAUAAAAAGUAUAAAUAUAAGAAUUGAUUUAAAACACAAGUUAGAUUUAUUCAUUUAAAAAAAUAAGGAAAACUAAUGAAAAAGACUUGAAAACUUUGAGUUUUAAUGAUAAUGACAAAAUAAAGGGUAAAGUGAAUAGUACCAGGAUUGACUUUUUAGUGUAAAAAUAUGAUUUUUUGUUAAAAUAAACAGUACUAGAUACUUUUCGUUAAAAUUCCAUUUAAAAUAAGAAUAAAUCCCCUAAACCCAUCUCUCCCUCCGUCAGAACCCUCAAUGCCGCCCCCUUCCUUAUUCCCUCUUCUUCUAUAUAUUUUCCUCUCUCUCUCUAUUCUCUUCUUUAAUUUCCCAGACAACCCCACCAACCUUCACUCUCUCGCCGUAGUUUCACUAGUACUUAUGUGGCAGUGCCAUGCAUAAGUAAAAAGUGGGUCCUAUUUGUGCGCUAAUUUUAAUGGAUUUUCUAAUGAAAUUUGACCGCGUAGGGCAACGUAGUUGAGUUUUAGGGAACUAAGUGGCAUAUUUUGAGUUAUAUGAGGCAAAAUAAGAUUCAUAUUGAGUUUUAUGAAGUAUAUGUGUAAAUAAAUUUUACAAUUAAGUACCUAAAACCUUCUAACAUUUUAGUGUCAUUCUAAAUUCGUAUUAACCAUUUUUAACUUUUCAAACAAAUACCCAACUUAUUGAAAAUGUUACAUCUGUUAAGUCUUAAUUAACUUUUCUAUUAAAUGUACAUGUGGCAACACUGGGUUUAACUUAUUGAAAAUGUUACAUCCAUUUAGUCGAUAUUAAUUUUUCCGUUAAUUCUAUAUAUUGUUAUAUAUAUGUCCUCAUCUAGAAAGCAUAGUAACUAUAUAUGCACUGCUUAAUCUACCUUUGCAGAAAUUUGGAGAAUAACAACCUCACAGGCUCAAUGCCGGUGGUACUCAUUGACAGAUGGAAGGAUGGUUUACUAUCAUUAAGGUGUGCCACCCUUUUUUUUAUAGCAGGAGGAGGAGAUUUGCUGAAGAAAAUAGAAAAAACUAUAUAGUAAAAUAGAAAAAAUAAAUACCCGGACAACAGUAAGUUUUAUAUAAAAGCACCUUUUUUUUUGACAAAAGUACUUUGAUAGCUUAAUUGGAGAGAAAAAAAAUAUAACCAUGUGGGUGUAUGAUUUUGAGCUCAGACCGAAAUAUAAUCCACCAGUCUUUCAUUUAUUUAUUUUUUUUCAUAUUUCAUUCUUCCUAGAAAUUUAAAAUGAUAUGGCAUUCCGCAGAAACUUGAUUUUUAGAUAUAAGAACAUGCGUUACAAUUUUUAUUUGGGAAUUAUAUUAUCUUUUACCAUAAUUGAUUAAACAAUACAAUAUUAUUUUCGUAUGACAGUUCGUGCGAAAAUCCAAACCUAUCCGGAAAUGUUUCUUGCAACAAGAAGAAGAACAGGAAGUAUAAUUUUUUUGUUCCGAUAAUAAGUGUUUUGGUUGUUGCACUGUCAGUCCUCUUACUCAGUGCAGCAGCUAUCUGGUGUCGGAUUACUUAUAGGAGGAAAAGGCAACUUGGUAAGAUUCCAUAUUUGUUAAUGUCAUCUUCUUCCGCAAUAAAUAAUCACAAACAGAAGGUUUUGAUUUGUAUAAGAUGCUUAUGAAAAAUGUUAUGAUUGUAGGAAAUAGCACAGAUGCAAAUGUAGUCAUUCAGCAUGGGUCAUUUGAGCGAAAAGGGAGACAGUUUACGUACUCUGAGAUAGUACAGAUUACAAGGGGGUUCAAGAUGGUUCUUGGAAAAGGCGGCUUUGGAACAGUUUAUCACGGCCACAUAGACGACACUCAGGUAGCUGUCAAGAUGCUUUCACGGUCAUCAGUGCAAGGGUUUCAGCAAUUUCUCACAGAGGCAUGUUUGUCAUAUUAAAUAAACUAAUCCCACUGUUUUUCGGAUUAAUAUUAAUUUUAUUAAAUUACAUGUAACGUUUCUGACCUACUAAAUUACAGGUUGAUCUUCUUAUGAGAGUUCAUCAUAGAAAUUUGACAAGUCUUGUUGGAUAUUGCAAUGAUGAAACCAAUAUAGGGCUGAUCUACGAGUACAUGGCCAAUGGAAACCUACGAGAACAUCUUUCAGGUUGAUGCAAAUGAAAUUACUCAGUACUAAAUUUGCCAUUCAUUUCUUAAUUAAUUAGUACUUUUAAAUUCUUUGGUAGUCCUUAUUUUGAUAAUUCUAUUUUCCUGGAUCACCCGACUCUAUAAAAUAAGAUAGUUAUAUUUUUUUUUAUGGACGCAGGUAGCAGAUCAAAUAUCUUGAGUUGGGGAGAUAGACUUCAAAUAGCAAUAGAAGCUGCACAAGGUCUGUGUAACUAACCAAUCAUAUUAUUUAGGCACACAAAAAUGAUACACCUAGUAUAGGUGCGUCCCACGUACAGUGGUACGUAGGGCUGAACUUUAUGAGAGAGUAUGUUAGCAACUCUUUGAGACUUUGAGUUUUAGGAGCUUAAAUACCAAUCAUUAUUGAUAACGAAAUGGUAUCUACUUUUUGAGAAGUUGUGUCUGGAUUUUAAAAACAGGACUGGAGUAUUUGCACUAUGGAUGCAGUCCGCCUAUAAUCCACAGGGAUGUGAAAUCAACAAACAUCUUGCUGAAUGAAAAAUUCGAAGCCAAACUAUCUGAUUUUGGCAUAUCCAGAAGUUUCCCUACAGAGGAUGGAACGCAUAUAACAACAAAUAUCGCUGGCACUCCCGGGUACCUUGACCCUGAGUAAGAGUUCUUUUCAUUUACUUGAGGCAUCGUCUUUGUGUCCUUAUUAUGUAUGCAAACAAACUUAAAUUAUAUAAUCAACAAGGAGUAUGAAGGAAGAAACUAUAAAUCAUUUUGGAAAACAUUUUACAUUGGGUGAUAUGAUUUGAGAUAUAUGGUUUGGCUUGCAGGUAUUACGCAUCAUACAGAUUGAAUAAAGAAAGUGAUGUUUAUAGCUUUGGCAUUGUACUGUUGGAGAUUAUCACAAGUCGACCUGUUUUUUCUAGAACGCAUGAGCGGAGUUACAUUAGUGAAUGGUUCAGUUUCAUGCUUCAAAAAGGAGACAUUUACAGUCUUGUUGAUCCGAGGUUAGAAGGAAAUUUCUGUACGAACUCAGUCUGGAAAGCUGUGGAAAUAGCAAAUGCAUGCGUAUCUCCAACUGCCAUCAAAAGGCUAAGCAUGAGUCAGGUAGUGGUGGAUCUAAAGGAGUGCUUGGCAACAGAACUCGCUCAAACAAACCAGAGGGAUGAAACUGAACUAAGAAAUUCCAUUGCUAUGCUACACCCCUCAGUUAGGUAGUAGUACUAAAUAUCUAACCAAACAAAGAGAAAGUUUGGGAUGCAUUAUUUUCUUCUUUGUGAUAGAUACAAUAGUUUUUGUAUGGAUUGCAAUUUGCAACUAUUUCCAAUCUCAUCAGGUUCAUCUUUUCGUGCGAAAGGAGAUAAUGAAGAUAUGAUCUAAACAACUAUUAUGUUGUUUGCCAUUGAAGGUCCUAGCAAUUAAGGAUUAAGUUGAAGUCAACUUCAAAGUAGAUAAUAACUGGUAUAUCCGUAUAUAAAGAGUUUAUCUGGAAGUUCAUUUUUCUAAUUUAACAACAAUAUUAAAUCCACUUUAUCAUUACCAUUAGAAAAGGUAAUGUUGUGAAUAUAUUGAAACAAAAGUUAAAGGUUCAAUAACUUAGGGAGACAAGAAGCCUUAUCCUAACACAAUGUCAAUAAGUUCACACGAGUUAGGCAAUCAUUAUUAAGUAGCUAGCUACUAGAGUUACUUAUAAAUAUCGGAUCCAUAUACAGCCCGAAGGUUGUUAAGAUCUUUGACCAAUGAUUUGAAAUUCGAACAUGGAGUACAUAGAAGUUUAUGAAAGUUAAUACUAGGAACGUAAUAAGACUUCUUCAACGUAUGAGAAGGAGAAACGAUAAAGAGACUGUCUCAAACUAAGAUUCUCAUGUACUUUUCACUAUCUCAUGUUUUUUAUAUAAUAUUUUAUAAAAUAAAUCGAAUUAAUGGUCUCAAUGGUGAUAGGUUAUUCAGAAGAUAUUAUGUGGUAAAAAAAAAAAGAUAAAUUACAUUUUACCCCUUGAGGUUUAAGGUCGAUUGCAAUCUCAUAUAAUAUUUUUAAUACAUUCAUACAUUUACUUACCAUUUUAUUUUAAUUUUAACAUUCAUUAGUAAAAUCUUUAAGUUGACAGUUAAAUUAUGAUGUGGCAACUACGAGUCCCAUAUUUUUUUACUGAUGUGACAAUCAAUUUUGGAAUGUAGAUAAAAAAACAUGAAUUAUACAUAAAAUUUUAAUUAUUUAAUAAAACCAAAAUAAAUACACAAACCUAAAAGAAAAAAAUCCACAAACCCACAUUUCCCCUCCAAAUCACCAUCUUUUCCCGUGCUGCUGUCUGGUUUUCCAGCAACUCUCCCAACCCCUCAAGGCCCAUAAAUUCUCCUCUAUAUAUGUUUCUAUUUUUGUCCCUUAUUCCAACGGAUCUCUCUCGCAACUUCAUGGGUAAGAAAAUGCAAGAAAUCUUAGAGCCUGUUUGGUAACCUAUUUGAAAAUUUUUAUUAUUUCUCAAAACAUUUCUUAAGAACAUUUCUUAAAAACAAUUUUUUUUAGGACUCAAAAACUUGAUUGGUUUGCGAUUUAAAAUUUUUAAAUCUUAGACUUAAACUAGACAAAGAAAUCUAAAAAGAGGGGGUCAUAGGAGAGGGAGAAAGAGGAGAGAGGAGGAAAGAAAGUAAGAGAUGAUUGAAGGAAAGAGAAAGAAGAGAGAGGAUUGGACGAGAUAGAGAGGAAGAGGAGUGAGAGAAAGAACCGAGAAAAUGAAAAAAACGGAUUAGAGGAGAGAGGCGAAAAAAGGUAUAAAAAAAUGAGAGAGAAAGAAGAAAAAAUAGAGAGAUUUGGAGUGAGAGGGAAGGAGGGAGAAAAAAAAGAAAUGAGAGAGUUUAAAUUUAAAAACUCUAAAAACUCACUUUUUAUGUUUUUAGAGAAUAUACUAUAUUUUUGAGUUAGUCUUGAGUUCAGUUUUUGAAAAUAGUCAUACCAAACAAGUUUUUAAGGCCUAAAACUUGAAAAUUGUUUUUGAGUUUAAAAAGUUGGAUUCAAGUAGAGUACCAAACAGGCCCUUAGAUCCGCAAGCCAAAUUGGAAAAAACGAACGACAAUACCUCAAAACCUACAAAUCUAACCUUUAGUUUUUACUUCGAUUUUUUACUUAAACAGCAGAGAUUGCUCCGAUCAGAGUCCCCCUACCGCUUCUCCUACUCGGUCCUUCGCCAGGCGACUGACUCGUUCUCUCUGAUGCGCCUUCUGGGCCAAGGCGCUCUAGGUGCGUGUCCUUCGGCACAAUCCCACACACUCGCCAGAGAUCUUUUUAGCCUCCAAGCCCGAUUCUCCGCUUGUUGUCUCGAUGCUCAGAUUCUCCUCCGACCCAAAACAGCGCCAAAGUAGGAACUGGAGAGCAAGCCCAUCAGGUGGAGAAGAAGAUGUGGGAGCAAGAGAGAUGAACGGAGAAAGAAGAAGAAUAGGCAGGGCUGCAAGGUGUUAUGAAUUGUACAAAGGUUGUUAGAUCAAAGGGUUAAGAUUGUGCAGGGUGGUUAGAUUGAAAGGAUAAGAUUGUGUAAGGGAGUUGGGCCAAAAUUGUAUAAGGGUUUUGUAAUUGGGUUCAAUUGAGAAUUUGGGGUUUUGAGAGAGUCCAUUUGAUUAGUUUGUUAAUUGUCUAGUCGGCAUACAGGUAGGUGUAUUGUUGUGAGGAUAUAUAGGAGGCUAAUGAGUUGUAACGAAUUCAGUUGGAAAAUAAAUAGUAUCUUUCUUUGGUUUCUCUCCUCUUCCUCUCGCUCUCUGUUCGUUAGAGUCGGCAUAGCCAUUGCAGGUUGAGACCUUGUUGGUCUGGGUUGUAUCACAAGGAGGUUGACACGAUUUUGUGUGGAUUAGGUUGUGAGUUUUUCUUGGGUUAUGGCUUUUAGAUGAGGGAAGGAGAAGAAAUUGGGUGGUGGAAUUUGGGGUGAAUGUGGCUGGGGAUGGGGAAGAGAUGGAUUUUAGGUUUUUUUUUUUUUUAACUUUUCUUUAAUUAAUUAUUUUAGUAUUUAAUAUUCUGAUUAAAUUAUUAUUUUUAAGAGUGUUGAUAGACCCACCCUAUUGUCUUAUUUUCCCACCCACGUUAUAAUCUCACCUACUAUACAAAUUUAAAAUUUUGAAAUCCUAUUUGUCCACUCACUAUGAUUCCUAAAAUAACCUUCACCACAGUUCCAUUGUUCCGUUUUCACCACCAAGAGGAGAAAAUAGAUGAUCGAUGGAACUUAACCUAAUAAAACAAAAUUUCUGUAAAAAAUUUCUACUAUCCAAAUUCCCAAAAUUUUUGAAAAAUUAUGAAUGCACUACAAUGAGAUGCCUUGAAAAUUGGAUGGAACCUAAUCUAAUAAAGCAAACCCAAAAUUUGCAAUCACCAUGAUCGUAAUCCAAUAUUAGACGAUAUCAUAUGCAUAGAAUAAUAUGCAGAGUAAUCAAACCCUAAUCAGGUAAAUUCAAGCUUAUUUGAAUUGAUUUUGGAGAAAAAUGGCCACCAUAGUCAAGAUUUCAAAUUCAAAGAAUCAACGAAUAAAGGAAUUUCAAUUCAGAGAGAGUGUGCAAAUUUUCAUUUCCUCUACAUUUUAGUUCCUUUGCAGAAGAUAGCAAGAAUUUAUGAGGGCAUGUGUGAAUGAACUCCAAAGAAAAAUUCCAGAUUCGAAAAGAGUGAAAUGGGUGGAACACUAGGUUCGAAGAGGGAGAGAUUCCUGAUGUUGGUCAAAUGCCAUAAAAAUAAUUCUAUGACGCCUAAAAAGUGCCAUCAUGUGCAUGGCGUUUAAUAGGGACGAAGAGAGAGAACUUAUGUACUAAAAUGAUAAACAGGGGACGAGAGAGAGACAGUGGUGGUCGGUGGAGAAUCCAUAGCAGUCGAUGUAGAAGGCAAGAAGAGAUAAACCAAAGAGAGAAGCAAGAGGGGGAGAGAAACGGGAUAGGAGUUGAAAAGUCUUUUUAUAGAAAAUUAAACAUGUUAUUAUUAUUGUAUUAAAAGGAGAGUGAAAAAAAAUAGGACAAUGGGGUGGGGUUAGUAGCACCCUUUUUUAAAUGCAUAGAUUUUUUUUUUGUCACGUGACACAAAUUCGGCAGCCACAUCCUCACAAAUGUAGAUUUAAUAUUUGCCACAUCAUUACUUAACGGUUUACUUAACAAAUUUUCUGACGGAUAUAUGAAAUUUGGCAUUAGAGAGCCCCUGAGGCCAUGAAGCUUCUUACAUUUAUUAGUUUGCAAUAGAAAUCCAAACACUAGGAGCCAAAUACUUUCUUCAAAAUUUCCCGGGUGCAGUUAAAAAAUUUCACUUUCAUCACUUGACCAAUCACCUAUGGCAUGUGUAUCUGUUGAGGUCACCGAAAGGCCUACCAUGAGUGAAGUAGUGGUGGGACUAAAGGAGUGUUUGGCAACAGAGCUAGCUCAAGCAAAGCAGAGUGGCAAUGAAACUGAAUAGGAAGUUCCAUUGAGAUGAUGUCUAAGAAGAAUUCAUGGAAUUGGAAAGUCCCUCAGCUACAUAGUACAAGUAGACCUAUCUUGAUGAAAGAGGAAAUUGAUGUAAUGGUCAUUCAACUUUAAUCCAAUUAGAGUAAUGGUUCAUUCACUAAAAUUUAUGAUUACCGGUCUCUUAACUCAUCAAAACGUGCAACUAUGGUCAUUUUCGUUCACUCUGUCAGAAUUUCUAUCAAAAUGAGUCACAUGUCACACACGUGAGGUUGAAUCAGAGGUGCAAAUAUAGAAAACCAAAUGAGAAAAUUGUAGUGAUUAUCCCUAAACUUUAACCCAAUUGCAGAAAUGGUCCCUCAACUUUAACCCAAUUGGAACAAUGGUACCUCAACUUUAAUCCAUAUAGCAAUGGUCCUUCCAUCAUGACUCAUUUUGACGGAAGUUCUGACAGAGUUGACAAAAUGACUAUAGCUACAUAUUUUGAUAAGUUAAGAGACCAAUUGUCACGAAAUUUUAAUGGAAAUACCAUUAUUUAGAUAUUCUCCACUUUAUUGCCCGAGCUAGCCUGCUUUUGUGUCACAAGCCUGACCCUAUGUCCAAGUCCAAUAGAGACUAGCAUGUUAUGAGCCCGGGAAGGCUAGCUUGGCCAAUUUGUGACCAUUUAGUGCAAUAAUUUUUGUCUAAAUGUUGGCCAAUUUGUAAACACAUUGAUCUGUGACAUCUAUUUUUCAAGGAUCAUCUUGAUCGAUUUUCAAUUUCAUGAACCAUCUUUAUCAAUUUCAUGACAAUUAAGAACUCUUCUCUUAUAUUUGUAAUAUAUCUGUGCCAGGCUUCAUUAGCAUAGAUUGUGGCCUGGGGGAAUAUUUCAGGGAUAAUGAAAGUCCGACAGGCAUUACCUAUAUUUCAGACGAAAACUUCGUAACCACUGGUGAACGGAAGUUGGUGUUGCCUGAAUACAAAAACAAGUAUUACCCGUCAUACAACUCUCUUAGAAGCUUCCCUGAAGGAAUCCGAAAGUGCUACAAAAUAAAUGUUACAAGUAAAACCAAGUAUUUGAUCAGAGCAGGUUUCUUUUAUGGGAAUUAUGAUGGACAAAAUGAAGUACCCCAAUUUGAGAUACAUCUUGGACCUAACUUGUGGGAUGCAUUGAACUGGUUGGGGAAUUCGUCGGAAGCAAAAUAUACCGAGCUCAUACAUGUCCCUCUGCCAAACUAUGUACAUGUUUGUCUGGUGAAGACAGGCUCCCGGGUUCCAUUUAUAUCUUCUAUAGAUGUCAGGCCUUUAACCGAUGCCUCGUACAAAACAGUAAAAGGGUCCUUAUCACUUCUCUGGCGUUAUGACACUGGUCUAACAAAUGACCAUUGGGAUUACAGGUGAGUGAUUUACAUGUUACUAUUGUCCCCAAUUUAACCACAUAUACAGUCUGGCGGGAUCUUUUUUUUUUUUUUUCACGAAAUGACUGUUAAAUAGUUAUAGAAUCAUUUAUAAGUAGCAAUUUAUAUUCUGUCUAGUUUUCGAGGUAGGCAAUAUAACAUUCAUCAACAUUGUUUGCAUGUAUUAAUGCAAUACCUUUAUUUCUAUAGGUAUCCAGAUGAUAUUCAUGAUCGAAUCUGGAGUUACCUUGACGACCAGGGCUCUUGGACAAAAUUAAAUACCUCAUCGACCAUCAAAUUCAGAAUUCGAGUAUCUACCACCAUCCGUCGUGAUGGGCACAGCUGCAACGCCGAAAAGUUCAAAUGAUUCGUUGAAUAUUUUCUGGGAGCCUUAUGAUGAGACUGAAGUACAUCAUGUUCACUUGCACUUUGCAGAAGUUGAAAAGCUCCAACCCAAUCAGUCUAGACAGUUCAACAUAACUACUAACGGAGAGCUGUGUUAUGGGACACUUGCUCCUGAUUAUUUGUCCACAACGACAAUAUUCUGUACUGCUGAAUCCCUGAGUGGACCAGGAGUAGAAAAUAAUUUUUCAAUUAUUAAGACUGGAAACUCUACCCUUCCACCCAUCCUCAAUGCCUACGAGAUUUAUGAAGUGAAAGAAUUCUUAAUAUCAGAUACCAACCAAGACGAUGGUGAGUCAUAUUGAUUCCUUACACAAGCUUAAAGUCCUUGCUAUUGGUUUAGUGCCUCACCUAAUAUGUGAGUUUUAUUAAGAUGCUCCGUUUGCUUGUGAAAAUAUUAGUUGAGGCAAUCACAAACAUCAAGUGAACCUAUAAUAUUGAAAAGAACAGGCAAGGAGAUCCUUGCAACCCUCAAGUUUACUCAUGGGAUGGUCUAAACUGUAGCUAUCAUGGAACUGAUCCCCCAAGAAUUAUAUCCUUGUAAGUAUAAAUAUCUUCACACCAAAUUGCAGAUUAAUUUUCAGUACUUAUAAUUUUAUUCAUGUUUUGGGCUUUGCAAUCAGGAACUUGUCUUCCAGUGGAUUAGAAGGGUAGAUUUCUCCUUCUCUAUCAAAUCUAACAAUGAUACAGACAUUGUAAGUGUAUCUAAAUAUCUGUAAUUUUGUGUGAAAACAUAUCUCAGCAAUAAUACGGCAAAUGAGUUGAGCGGCUCAUUGCAGGGAUUUAUCAAACAACAACUUAAGAGGAUCAAUUCCAGAAAUUUUGUCACAACUGCCGACAUUAAAUGUCUUGUAAGUUAUUUUGUUAUAUAUGUGUAUGUGUGUGUGUAUUUUGUUAUUGUCUUAUAGCUUAUUUACGCAUAUGAAAUUCAAUACGAGUCUUGCACCAUGUAACUUAAAUUGUGUCACUUUAACUUCCUAAAACUCUACUUGUUUUUCACUUUACCAUAUGCCGUCAAAGUCUGUUAGAAAAUUCGUUAAUAUUGGUGACAUGUCACAAAUAGGACCGGACCCAAUUUUUGCACAAAUAGAUGCUACUAGAAAGUUCUACCCGCGCGUUGCUGCGGGAUUAAAAAUUGUGUAAAAAAAUUAUGUUUCCAAGGUAUCAACCUAUCAACUUGUAUCACAUUUAAUUAAACUACAACAGCAUAUUGACACACUUAAUAUGAAAAUUCAUAAACUAUUUGAUAGUAUGAAAUCAAGCAAUAAUUGAAAAUCAGAAAUGCAGCUUAGAAAGUAAAAAAUCCUACCUUAUUACAUUAAAACAAUUAACAAAUUCUUAGGGAAUGAUCACAAAAAAAGUAUAAAAAAGUAAUUCAAUUUCUUAAAUUUAAAAACGGUAAAGAUGAUAAAAUAAAAAAAAUAAAAAAAAGGUUCUCAGUUCUCACCGUAAUGAAAAUUAUAACAUUGUUUUAACAUGAACUUAGGUUCAUUUCAGUCACCAGCAUUAAUAAAACCAGUGACUUCAACCUGUGCAAGGAAACAACUUAAUUAGACGCAAGCCAACCAACUUCGAAUCUAACCAAAUAAAAAGAGCAAUCACAAUCGAACUAACCUCUUCUUCCAGUGAAGUAGAAGAUAUCCCCUGUUUUGCCUUUGUGAACAGUGUACUCUACCUCUCAACACACAAAAAGAACACACUCAAAAUGCUGAGCAAUAUUAUAAAAACUACACAUAUACAUCAUUGUAUAUAUAUUUGGACAUAAAGUAUGAGGAUCUGCUGACAGUAUCAAGCUUAAAUUUAACAAAAGAAGUAAUUACGAAUUGAAAUCAAACGAUAUUAUAAUUGUUAAAAAAAAUUUCUAACUAAAUUUUACAAAUAGUCCCUUCUUGUGUAUAGCUCAUCCUCAGAAUUUGCAGCUGAAAACGAAAUGUAAGUUCAAAGUAUGAUGAAAAAGAAGAAAUGAAAGAGUUGUGUCAAUGAAAAAAAAAUGAGUGAGCAGGUAUCAGAACAAUCUACAAAGAAUAAGAAAUUGAGAUGAAUAAGUGGAUAAAGUGCCGACAGGAAGAGCUGAUUUCGAAUCAAUGAUCCAUUUCUCACCCUAAUAAUAGUUAACAAUUGCAAUUAGUAGAAUUUUCUUAAUAAGAGGAAAUCUAGGAGCAUAAGUAAUAAGCAUUAGAAAUAGAAAAGCCUUAAACAGUGAUUAAGGCCCUUUGAAUUAACUUGUGAAGCUUGAAAAGUCAUUCUCUUCACUUGGUCAAUUUGGAAGUUAUCCAAUGUUUGUAAAAACAUGAAUCAGAAGAAAAUUGACGAAAUCGAAGGGAAAAAAUGUUACUUAAUAAUUGUAUAUGUUAUGAAAGCAUCGAAUAAAGUCCUGAUAAAAUAUAUGCACCUUUUUAUUAACCACUUUACAUAUAAAUUAUAAAUGAUUAUCAAACAGCCUUAAACAAAUUUCAUUUAGGGAAGACUGAUGAGGGGAUAUACGACUCACAAACAAUUGAGACCGUCCUCUUUUUUUUUUUUUUUUUUCAUAUCAACAAACACACAAAUUCUUAUAUUUCCGAAAGCACCUGCAUCCCAAUAUAAAAACUUAAAUAAUACAUGAAUCAUCUAUGUUUUGCUUUGCAAACAGCCAAGGGGAUAGGAACUAAAAUAAAUUUCGUGACCAAGAACCUCUUAAAAACCAAGCUUGUAAGCAUAAAAACAAAGCUUUCAAUCUUUCUGUGCAAAUAAAGAUCACAAUCAAUUCAACCCCAUUUCCGCAAUCCAAAGCAUCAAACUUCAUACAAAAAUAAAAUAAUUUUUAGAAUUUCACCCAAACAUAAAGAGAAUAAUAUUGUUAGGUGUAGAGAAGAAAAAUCCAGGGAAAAAUGGAAGAUGGGUUUUACUUGAGGACUCUAGAUGGGUUCGUGGUUUCUCAAGAAGAUCCCGUGGUUUCUGACAGAGAAUUGACUAAAUAAAAACUCUGAAUGAAAUAUAUAUCGAGAACAAUGAAUUAUUUUUUUUAUUAUAAGAAAAAAUUGAACUAAGAAAGGGUGAAAGCGAACGUUCCCAAUUGCAAUCCGAUGAUUUUAGCCUGGAAAAACAUUUCAUAGCAACAAAAAAAGUGAAAUCAAAAGCUCAAUUGAAUCAAAUGAAGAAUUUUCUAGAGUGCAAACAAUUAGUGUUAUCAGCAAGAAGUUUCAGACCUUAAAAUGCAAAAGCAUGUGCCCAAAAUGCAAUCCUACAAAACAUGAAACAGCAGCCACAAGAGAAUUGGAAAUUUUCUAAUAAAAUGAACCGAAGACCAACUUUGAAUAAUUGGUAACGAUGACGCUUUGACAUUGACAGAGUGUAUGUAUGUGAGAGAGAGAGAGAGAGAUGGAAAUAGAGUUAGAAUUAGACCAAUGCAGAAAUCAACCUUAAGAUUCCCUCUGGGUCAUAUGGUUGCACCAUUGAUGAGAAACUGUUGCUAGAGGUUGAUAGUAGGAGAGCUAACAUUGCAUUCCGGAAACACAAAUCAUCAGUGAAUGCACUAAUACAGGACUUAAAUUCUGAAAUAUUCAAUAAUCUAGUUACCAGAGAAUGACUUUUAUUCUUCUAAAGAGGCAGUUGAUAAAGGUGACUCUGGCCCAGUAUACUUGACUGAUAAAGUGGAAACUGUGAGCUUCAAAGCUAAAAGUUGAAGCUUCCACUUUUCAACUGGAGAAGAAAUAAGAGUGAAAACGCACAAAAUAAAGGGUUGUGCUAUUCAUACAUCUCAUUUUACUUAUUAUACAACUCUGAUAAUUUAUAUUCAUUCAUCUUCUUCAAUUCAUCCGAUCCGACAGUUUAAAAUUAAAAAUGUGUGAGAAUAAAAUGGGAUUAAAAAUGUGUGAGAAUAAAAUGGGAUGUACGGAUAUCACUCUCCCAAAAUAAAAAACCUAAUUUCCAAAUCAUUUCAAGAGAAAUUAAAAUAUUUAAUUUGGGUAAGGGAUUUGAACAGAAUACUCUUUUGUUAACCUUCCAUUCGCCCUUCCUCAAGAUUCAUCCUUAUUUUCUCCUUUUUUUUCCACCCACUCCUCUGGACGACAAUUCUCUACUCUUCCUUUAUUUGAAUCAAAACAUGGAAUUACAUUUUCUCAGCUACCAAACAAAAACUUACGAACUAAAAUCACAGAAACACCAAAACUAAAACAUGAGAUCACAUUUUCUCAGUCAACAAACAAAAAUUACAAAUCCAAAACUAAAAAGAAUCAGAAACAAACUAAAACAUGGGAUUGGUGAAGGCCAUAACUUGGAAAGCAUAGACGCAGACAGCUCUUCGAGAGCGAUCCCAACUCCGGGGUCGGAGAUGGAAACAGAGGCCAAUAUCCUUAAGAUUUUGUGUUGACGAUUUUGAGAUCGGGAUAAACCGGUUGAAACCAAAUUUGCACGUUUUGAAAAAACGUUAAGGAAUCGGUAUUUUGUGAGAGAAAAGCGCUAGAUUCGAGAGCGAGUUCAACAGCGACAGAAGCGCAGAUUUGUGAGAGAGAAGAAACCGAAGGAAAAAUGGAGAAGAUGCAAGAGAGGCUUGGACAAUGAUCGACACAUGGCAAGCAUGGACAAAUAGGUAAUCUUACGUGUAAAGAGAAGAAAGAACGGAGCAGGAGAGCUGUUCGACAGGGUAAUAUCGCCAAUUUAAUGUUGGGCAUUCGGAUCGUAUUUUUCGUGUUCGUGUCGUUUUCGUGUCAUAUUCGAUAUCUUAAUAGGUCGUGUCGUAUAACACUUGUUAAAAUAAACAGGUAAAAUGACCCGACCUGAAAUCGACUCGAUAAUAUUAACAGGUAAUAUGAUCUGAUCUGUUACCCGUUAAGGAAAAUAUAGUUCAAAUCAAUAAAUAAUCAAAUGAAAAACAUAAUAUUAAAUAAGUAUAUACAUACUAUAUUAUCACAUUCAAAAAUAUAAAAACGCAUUUGUCUUUCAAGUAUUACAUAUUUACAUACCCAAAAUAAGAGCAUAAUAAAAAAAAACAUUAGAACAUUACAAAAUAUCAAAUGUUCAAAAGAUUUGCAAAAUUAAGGGAGUUAUGUUUCAAGGUUUGGAACCUUGCACAUUUUCUUACAAUCAAACUCUUCAAUUUUCAUCAAUCACCAUGGGAAACAGUAUUGGAACUUUGGCUUGAUAUAUUGUCUUCAAGAGUUAUAUUGAUGAUUGUGGAGCCAAAAAUAUUCACUAGGCGCCACGUGGUUUUUUGGAUAAAAGAGGACAAAAAUACCCUUAAAGCAUACUGGGAUUCCUACGCGCGAGCAGUGGGCAAUCAUCUUUCAACCAAAUCAAAAGUGCCCAAAAUAGGUAACAAUUUGAAGCCUAUUUCAUCAAAUCAUUUCUAUAAGGUAAUUCCCAAAACCUAAUUUAUUUAAUAUGUUUUAUAUUCCAUUAUUUAGCUAAUCAAUUAGCUAAAUAAUAUAUUCCUUUCAAAUUUCCUAAAAAUUGACUAAUUAAGGGAUUAAUUACCUAAUCAAUCCCUUAAUUACCAAAUUGAAACACCCAUUCAAACCUAAAAGUCACUAGAGGGCCGGCUAUCCCCAUUUCAAAACCUAAUCCAUCACUUUUUUUCUAACUUUUUCACCAUUUCUUCCUUUUUAUUAGCCAAUAAAUUCCAUAACCACCAAAACAUUUCCAUUUAUGUUUAAUGAGCCAAUUAAUUGCCUAAUUAAACCAAAACAAAACCUAAAAACCCUACUAAGUGGCCGGCCACAUUCCUCUCUAAAGUGAACCAACCUAGCCCUAUAAAUAGGCUUCUAUAUUCACCAAAUAUUCAUUCCAAUUCUCUUACAAAAAAUCCCAAAUACUCUAAACACUAUUUCUCUCUAAAAUUCUAACUUUGGCAUCAGAGGUUCUUUGGCCAAAGCCCCCCCCAUUCAUCGUGGGCACGUGAGGCUUUUGGCCUUAACCUAAGGUGCUAGUUGUUUUGUAGGUGCAAAAUCGUCCAAGAUCAAGGAGGAGAAAAUUUGCAUCCACAAAUUGGUGCUUUCAUUGAGAGUUGAAAUCCAUACUCGUAGAAGACUCUCACACAAAAAGGUAUUUUCUCUAUUUUUUCUAGUCCAUUUGAAUAUUUUUCAUACAUUCUUAUUAUUAGAAUUUUUUACUUGCAAAGGUUCUUUGAUAAAACGUAUAAGAAAAAUAUAAUGGCUAGAAAUUUAGAAAAUACCACAAGUGAAAAUUCGAAUACUCAAGAAAUGGGAUUGCCGAGAUCCACGAUGCAAAAUACGGUCGUAAACAGAGUGGCACCACUACCACGAGGUUCCACCAUGGCCCAAGCCUUGCCAUCCAAGUUUGCAUGGACCCAAGCCCAAGCCUCGCAUUCAUAUGCACCACGCACUGAGCAGCCUGCUCCCGUGAUCCAGCCUGCUCCCGUAGCCCAGCCUACUCCCGUGAUCCAGCCUGCUCUCAUGGCUUCCCAAGUUGCCCAAGUCGGCCCGAGACAAUCUCAACCAUUCGAACCAAUCAUCGAGGCUGGGGCGUUUUCACCUCAUUUCUCUGCAGAUUUGAUAUUCCCCAACUCAAAUCUCGCACUUGGAGUCAACCACCCUUCUAUUGUUCAAGGAGGUGCAUUCCAUCCAAGUUCUUCCAAUCGGAAUGGCGAACAAAACUUGUCCUGACAAGUCAUAAAAUUGACGAGCGCCCUUGCACAAUAAACAACCUUGGUGAAUCAACUUUUGCAACGCACUGAGAUCCAACGCGCCCAAGAUGAAGUAUCCCGAAGUAGAAAAAGGGCAGACGAGGAACCUCUUAAGCAGCGUCCUGGAAAGCAGCCACAAGUCAAGCAUUCAGGCAGUGCACACUCUCAAUUGGGCCCCGAGAUAGCGUAUAUUCCCAUCUUAGUGUGCGGAGGAGUGUGCACUCUCGAUUAGGCCUACGGGCAAGUAUAAAUUCACGGUUGGGGCCACACUUUGAUAAUCAAUGUGGGCAGCCUUCCAGGCAAAACAUUCAUUCGCGGUUAGGCCCGCAAUGAGUAUCCUUCACAUCACAUCGGAGCAGGCAGCCUGACAAACGGAAGGAAACAAUCGUUCAAUACGGCUCUAGUUCAACCGGUAACCUGCAAAGAAAUCCCUUGCCUGCUAGGAAUCUAUCUCAUACAUUGCAGCCACGACAUAGAUGAACCGAGCAUGAAGAAUAGUAGCCUAUACCGGCAGGUAAAGACCAGGGGCAACCGAAGGCUCCGCUACCCCAACAAAGGCAAAUCCAAAAAGAGGUAAAAAGGCUUUUCAAUGAAGGGAUGCGUGAUUUUCAACGCAACGAAAUGGUUGAUGAAGCACUAAGGCGAGAUAUGACUAACAUAAGUAGGUCACCUUUCACGGAUGAGAUCGAGCAGGCAGAGCCUCCACACAAGUUUAGCAUGCCGCACUUCACAUCUUUCAAAGGAGACGAGGAUCCCGAAAGACACUUAAAGCAUUACCGAAGUGCGAUGGUCCUUUAUUGGAAUAAUGAUGCCCUUAUGUGCAAAAUAUUUACCACUACUUUACAAGACAAAGCACAAGAUUGGUUUCAUACCUUGCCGGCACGAUCCAUCCAGAAUUUUGAUGAUCUUUCCUUGGUUUUCACUAAAGAAUACUCAUCUUAUCGUUCGAUCAAGAAAAAGUCCGAUCACUUGUUCAACGUAAAGAAAAACCCAAAAUAGUCACUUCGCGAUUAUGUGAAGAGAUUUAAAGCAGAGAAGGCGAAGAUCAUCGGAUGCGAUAACUCGAUAGCAAGUGCAGUUUUCCAAAAAGGACUCCCAGGACACCACCCACUGUUUGGAGAAAUGAUCAUGAAAGAAGACCUAACUCUAGCAGAUUCCUUUACUCUAGCAGAAAAGCAUGCACUUUGGGACAAGGCUCGACAAGCAGAAAAGACGCCCGAACAGCCUCGAAAAGAGUCGGCAGCUACUCAAAGGAAUGAGGAUGGAAAACAGCUCAACAAGGGCAGGCAGGAGGUUAAGCGCAAAGACCGACCCAUAACCAAAGAAGGCCCGAUAACCAAUAGCUAUUCUAAAUUCUUAAUUCCGAUUCAUCAAAUCCUUCGUGACAUCAAGAACGAACCAUGGUUCAAGUUGCCGAAACAGUCAAAAUGAGAUACUUCCAAGUUGGACCACACCAAGUAUUGCGCAUUCCAUCGAGGUUCUGGUCACACAACCGACGACUGCUACACUUGGAAGAACUACCUAGAGAAGCUCGUGAAAGAAGGCAAAGUCGAUAGAUACUUGGACAAGCCAGCUACGCAGCCUAAAAGGAAUGUAGACGGAGAUGAGGAGCCACCAACCAAGAUGAUUCGAAUCAAUGGCAUUUUCGCUGAAUCUGAGCACUUGGGGGCCACUAAUAACUCCAAAAAGAGGAAGAUCCAGCAGGCUUUACUAAUCUCACAAGUUCAAGCAGUCGAUACCCAACCUGGACCUAUUAUUGGCUUCACUGAGCAGGAUGCGGAAGGAGUCGACUUCCCACACGAUGAUGCACUGGUAGUAUCUGUCCAACUAGCCUAUGUUAUACUCGAUAGGAUGAUGGUUGACAAUGGAAGUGCAGUCAACCUACUUUAACUUUCAGUCAUUCAGAAGAUGGGCUUGGAAAGUACAAUCAUACGUCGGGCAGAGGUACUUACUGGAUUCAACGGACACACCUCAAUUGCCAUCGGCCAUAUCACACUUGACGUGAAAACACCGCCAGUUGUGUCAAAGUAAACGUUCAUGAUCGUAAGCGAUCCAUCUCCCUACAAUGGGAUUCUUUGGAGACCUUGGUUGAUCAAGCUGGAUGCCGUCACUUCCGUCAAGUAUCAAAAAAUCUGAUUCCGUAUCCCCGGAGGGGGAGUUGGAGAAAUCAAGUCUGACCAGGUUUCAUCUCGACGGUGCACUGUGCAAAUGUUGAAAGAAUCAAAGAAGAAAACCUUUACCCCCGUAGAGGUUACUGAAGUCCAAAAGGAUAAAGAGACUACUAAAUAGAAAUUACAGCAGGAGGAUCGAGAAUAUGGCUCCCAAGCAGACGAGAUAGGAUAGAAACCCGAAGAGGACGCCGAAGACAUCAUUUUGAUCCCCAGCAGCCAGAAAAGACGGCCAAAAUUGGCUCACGACUAAGCCCAGCCGAAAAUGAGGAACUCACUAUUUUCCUUAGAGAAAACCGAGAUGUCUUCGCAUGGUCACCAUCCGACAUGCCCAGUAUUGACCCCAAGGUGGCUUGCCACAAGCUGCACGUUGAUCUUACUGCUAAACCGGUAAUCCAAAAAAGAAGAAAUUUCGCACCCGAACGGGUAGCGAUCAUUGAGGCGGAAAUUGACAAGCUAUUGGAGGCCGGAUUCAUAGAAGAGGUAGCACACUCAGCAUGGCUUGCUAAUGUCGUACUAGUCAUGAAGAAAGAGAAGGGCAAAUGAAGGGUUUGCGUAGACUACAUUGACCUCAACAAAGCAUGCCCAAAAGACCCUUAUCCUGUCCCCCGGAUCGAUCUAUUAGUAGAUUCAACUUCUGGGAACCAGCUGCUAAGCUUCUUAGAAGCAUACUCCGGUUACAAUCACAUAGCCAUGUAUGAGCUCGACAAGGAGAAGAUCGCGUUUGUGAUAGAGCAGGGCACCUACUGCUACAAAGUCAUGCCCUUUGGCCUACAAAACAAGGGAGCCACUUACCAAAAGCUAGUAAAUAUAAUGUUCAAAAAACAAAUUAGGGUAACCAUGGAGGUCUAUGUUGACGAUAUCAUGGUAAAGGGCAAGUAGCGAUAAGAUCAUAUUCGCAAUUUGGCAGAAACUUUCAAUAUCCUUAGAAAGUACAAGAUGAAGCUCAACCCUACCAAAUGCACGUUUGGAGUAUCUUCAGGUCCAUUCCUAAGGUACUUAGUAACCCAACGAGGAAUUGAAGCACAUCCCAAGAAAAUAAGAGCAAUCCUAGAGAUGAAGUCUCCAACUACCUUGAAAUAGAUCCAAAGCUUGACCGGACGAACAGCUACCCUCAACCGCUUUCUUUCACGAUCCACCGAUCGAUGCAAGCCUUUCUUCAAAGCUAUCAAGAGGGCACAAAGAGACAAAUGGGAUGAAGAAUGCGAAAAAGCUUUCCAAGACUUGAAGAAUUAUCUCACAUCACCUUCCUUACUAUCCAAUCCGGAAGCAGCGGAGGAUUUAUACAUUUAUUUGGCAGUUUCCGAAGUAGCAGUGAACUCUGCCCUCAUACGAGAAGAGAUGGGGGCCCAACUGUCGGUAUUCUACACUUCUAAAGCUCUUCUCGAUGCGGAAACAAGAUAUCCAAAGAUCGAAAAUUUAAUUUUGGCAUUAGUUGUUGCGGCUCGAAAGCUCAGACCAUACUUUCAAGCUCAUACAGUCAUUGUCAUGACUCAGUAUCCCUUACGAUCAAUAUUAAAUGGUCCAGACGCUUCUCAACGAGUGAUGAAAUGGGCAUUGAAACUUGGCCAAUAUGGUUUAGUUUUUUGACCUCGCACAGUGAUAAAGGCCCAAGCCUUGGCAGACUUCGUAGCAGAAUUCAUGCCUAGCCUAUGCAACGCAACAGAGCAGACCAACGACGCCCUAGAAGUAGCCGAAAGUACCUUAGUCACGCUUGCUCCAUCUAAUAAAGACUUCUGGAAUUUGCAUGUCGACGGAGCAUCCAACUAUAAAGGCUCGGGAGCAGGUGUAGUCCUUGUUACCCAAGACGGCUCAAUGCUCGAGCAGGCGAUCACUCUAGGCUUCAAAGCAUCCAAUAACGAAGCUAAGUACGAGGCUCUACCAGCAGGCCUCCGAAUGGCAAAAGACUUAGCGAUGAAGAAAAUCGCAAUUCAUUCUGAUUCCUAGCUAAUCACCAGCCAGGCUACUGGGGAAUACACGGCAAAACAUCCUAGGAUGGCACAAUACCUAGAGAAAGUACGCCAGCAUCUUGAGGCAUUUCAGACUUACACUCUCAUUCAAGUUCCGCGGGCAAACAAUGCCCAUGCAGAUGCACUAGCUGGUUUAGGCUCCGCCCUUGACCACCAAUUUAAACGCUCCAUUCCGGUGGAAUAUCUAGACAAGCCAAGCAUAGAGAUGGAGCCGAUAGCCGAAGUGUCACAGGUUAGUGUAAUUCCCACCUGGCAAAGUUCAAUUAUAGACUACUUGGUCAACGGCACACUACCCACCGAAAGAUUGAAGUCAAGGAAGCUCCAAAUCAAGUCGGCGCACUACUAUAUGUGGAAUGGCAUUCUCGUCCGACUGUCUUACACCGGACCACAUCUCCGCUGCCUAGCACAUCCCGAUGACUUGAAGGUUCUAAGCUCAAUUCAUGAAGGCGUUUGUGGGAAUCACUCUAAAGGCCGAUCCUUAGCCCAGAAGGCUCUUAACGUAGGCUACUACUGGCCUACCAUGCACCAAGAUGGUAAGGAGUUAGUAUAAAAAUGCGACCGUUGCCAACACUACAAACCAGUACCAGCACUACCCGCCAGUAAGCUAGCCCCACAGACGAGUCAUCAGCCAUUCAUGCAAUGGGCAAUCGACCUGGUAGGGCCUAUGCCACCUGCUACGGGAGGAAGAUGCAUGAUGAUCGUAGCAACCGACUACUUCACCAAAUGGGUAGAAGCAGAACCCAUGACAACCACGACUCAGACGGACAUAGAGCGCUUCAUAUGGAAGAACAUCAUUUGCCGAUUUGGCAUCCCUCAGUCCAUCGUCACUGAUAACGGCCCGUAAUUUGUGGGAAAAGAUUUGGCGAAGUUCUUCCAAAAAUAUGGUAUCAAACAACACAUGUCCACGUCAAGAUAUCCUCAAGGCAAUGGGCAGGCCGAAGCAUCCAACAAGACGAUCAUCGACUGCCUCAAGAAAUCCCUUACUGACAAAAAGGGAAAAUGGCCAGAUGAGCUCCCAGGAUGUUUAUGGGCAUAUCGCACCACCAAAAGACGAGCAACCGGUGAAACUCUUUUCUCUUUGGCAUUUGGUUCGGAAGCAAUCAUUCCUCCCAACGUCGUUAUGCCAAGUAUCAAUACUCUAUUGCCAAACAUUGAGCAGAACAGUAAAGAGAUGGCCACAGAUUUAGAUCUGGCAGAAGAAAGGCGCGAACAGACCAUUACUCGCAUUAUAGCCUACCAGCAGCAACUCAUUUCCAGCUAUAAUAAAAGGGCCAAGAUCUGGCAGUUCCAACCCAGAGAUCUAGUCCUAAGAAAGGCCUUCAUCACUACCUGCAGAGAAGGCUCGAAAAAAAUGGAUCCCAUCUGGGAAGGUCCUUACAAGAUCAGCAGAGUAGGCAGCAAGGGUAGCUACACUCUUGCUACCAUGAAUAAUAAAGAGAUCGAGAAGCAAUGGAACGCCUACAAUUUGAGGAAAUACUAUGUGUGACUUCCCACUAUAUCAAGACCCGAAGACUCAAGAAGCUCAAUGGGCACCACUUCGUAAACCGAGGAUUAUCCAAUCAUCAUGCAGUUUUUUGCAACCAAGUUUUUCGUUCAUUUUAUUCAUUUUUCAAUAAAGAAUUCAGAAGUAAUUUGUAACUUGGCUCGAUUAUAUGUCUACAACAACUUAUCUUUUUUCUGCACUUCAAAAGAAUAUUGCACCCCCAUUUGGGACUUACUGUAGGAAAUUGCACCCCCCCCAAGGGACCAACUGUGCUCUCCAAGGUGGGAAACUCAACAUUCCGAAUAUCCAGACGUGGAUGAGCCUGGCUGCCCUAGUAUAACUAGGUGCAUAAUGGCUUGCACCGGGAUUCCUAGAAAUAGCCACAAUGGUCUUUUUCAAGGCUUAGCUAGCUGAAGGAUUAUGGGUCUAUCGGCCUAAUCCGCAGGGAACCGGGCCCUAGAGACGGAGGGGCACAUUACGCAACACACCCAAUGGGCGGCUGCCCUAGAAACCUAAAGUUGCUACCGAGUGCACUAAGGUAGCCUACGAAUUUCCAGAAUACUGCCUACGGCUUGCCCUUCAAGCAGUAGAACCACGCUAGACUUAUGCAACCGCACAUUCUUGUGAAAGGUUAAACAAGCUAGCAUUAAUACGCGAAGAUUUUAUCCACUGCCGACAUGCUACAUAGUCGAUAAGCUUCACCACUGCCAAACGCAGAACAACCUACACCAAGUCCUAAAGUGUUAUGAUACUUACUACACAACCUACGGAAUUGGAAAGAGCCAAGGUUAAAUAGCCUAGUGGUUACGCGGAUUCAUCUGCUUCUGUAAGUAAGGCCACGGUCCAAGUCUUCAAGUACAAAUGUUUUUACUUGUCAACCUAACUCUCCCCUUUUGUUUCAGUACUCCCCUAAACCUACGGUCUCAAUUCUUCAUGUACAAAUGUUUCUACUUGUCAACCUAACUCUUCCCCUGAAUGUAAACAAGGGUAUGACCAUUAUGAUGUAGGUGCCUCAUUAAAACCUCAUCAGGUUAGCAAAAACUACUAAAAAUUACUAUUUGCCCUACAAAGUUUUGGUGGGAAAAAAUUGGUCAACAUUUAGGUUUUGUCAGAGACUUUGCGUGACAAAGUGACUCAGUCGGGCAAGAGAGCUUUCGUUGGGCAAACAUUUGGCGCCAAGGAAAAAAUGGUGCGCAGUGUGUGAAAUCUUCCCCGAUGAAUCAUAAAAGGAUCCAUCACGCAAAGGUUUAAUUAGGUUUUGGGAUUUAGGAUUUUGUUUCAUCUCGUAAGUGGUAUACCCAUCGAGCAAAUUGUUUGAUAGGGUUGGCAUAUUAAAUUCCUUCGAUGAUUAAUGCAUUCUACGAAACUAGUUUGCACACUCCAAUCGACAAGUUUGUUUGUGUAUACUUCAAAAUUUGAUAACCUGUAAAGGAACACACAACCAUGAGUAAGCCCAAGACCGGGGCUGUGUCAAUUCAAGGCUUUCCAAUGGUCAAGUUAGUAAGAAAUAUUAAGACUUAAGAAAUAAGCAAGAUAAUAAGUGAGUAGUGAUUGUGUUACCAGAGAGGAAGCCUAGAAGCGUGUAUUUGUAACAGUCAAGGAGAUGACCUUUUAGGAUAGUAGGAUUUGUAUUAAAUCAGCAGAAUCCAUGAUGAUAUCUAGGAAGUAGAUAUUGCAUCCUCUUAAGUUCCCAAAUCUUGUGGAACAAGAAUGGUUUAUCUCAGCGAAGUCAAUGGACCUCAACCAUUGAUUCCGAAGCAGAACGAUAGUAGCAUCAUUGAUCUUUUUAGUCAGCUUCACUAUAGAGGCUGUUGAGUCCAUGACCGACUUCUGAGGAAGGUGUACUAUGAUCCCACAAAUGCCCCUAACUAGACAUCGGAAAGGAAUUGUUCCCCUUAAAUACAAAGACCAUGCACUUCGAAGUAAAUCAGAAUACGUACCACUUUCUUCUUUUUAGAUGCGUGGCAUCUUAACUUCGUUUUUUGCAAUAGAAGUUGCACAAGGUCUACAACUAAACAAUCUUCAUAAUCUUCUUUUGAUUAGCUAGCAUCUUGUCUCUAUGUUCUUCUCAAUUAUCUUUGGCAAGUGAUGUCUUAAUUUAUAAAUGCAGGAUUUGAGUAUCUGCGCUAUGGUUUUAAGCCACCUAUAAUCCACAGGGAUGUGAAAUCAUUAAACAUCUUGCUCAAUGAAAGUUUCCAAGCCAAAAUAUCUUAUUUCUGCAUGUCCAGAAAUUUUCUUACAGAUGACGGUACUCAUAUAUCAACACGUGUUGCUGGAACUCCUAGGCACCUUACCCUGUAAGAAUCAUGUAGGGACUCAACUUGUUGUGAUAAGGACUAAGAUAUAUGCUGAUAAAUAAAUUUAAAUUCAUCAAUGAGUUGUAUACGUGGAAUACUAGCUUCCUAUAUUUGUGGAAACACAUUCAAAAUGCUUUGAAUACAAAUUGUUCCUCCACUACUCAAUAACUUCCGGGUUGUGAUGAUAUGGGACAAUAACCAACUCACCUAUGAUAGAUGGAAGUUGGCUGCCAGUCAUCAAUAAAUAAAAGGGAUUCCCUGUUGGAGAACAAUUCAGAAAUAAAAAAAUAACAGAAAUUCUACUAUUUUAUUAACCAAAAUAUACUUGCUGUGCAAAAUGAAAAUUAUACAAUGAAUACAAAAAUUAAUGUUACUAACUUGAUUACAGAAGGUAGAGGUUAGUGUAAAAGCUAUGUCCUUCGAACAGUAUUUUCGUCCCACUCCUGUGCUUGUGGUUCUACGACGUCUGCUCGACCAAGAUUCAACUACCUAAUUCUACAAUCCGCACUGGAUUCUAGAACUCUAGCGAAUUUGCUUUUUGUGUGUUUACUCUCUAGAAAUUCGUACAGAAGAAAGGAACAAGAAAUGAUGAUCCAUUUGGAAACUGUGAUUGCAGAUAUAUAGGCUGUUUCACACCAUUUCAAAUACACGUUCAAUGUAUUUGAAGGUACACAACUCUUUCUAAGAGCUGUGUCUUUUAAUCAAAACAUUUUUAAUUAAUAAAUUAAUUAAAAACUUAAUCCGAAAAUUAAAAUUAAUGAAUCAGAUUAAUUUUAAAUUCCAAGGCCCCAAAGGCCCAAGCCCUUGUCUUGAUUAAUUAAUAUUAAUUGUAUUUAGGCUAUAUUAUACAAGCCUAAUCCACACAACCAUAAGGCCCAAGCCUUCAAUCCAUUUUCAAAUGUCCCAUGUUGUAAUUACUAGACUAAAGCAUUAAAUCUAUAUAAAGGCCCUUGAGAAUCUUGUUUUCCCCAAUGUGGGACAAGAGUCUCAAAACUUCCAACAUUCCCUACUCAUAAAGCAUUGGUUCUAAGUCUAGGGUUCUAUCACCAUAAGAGCCUAAAGGGCCUGAGUGAGUAGAAGAGUUCUUUUGACAACCACGUUGGCUUCAACAGGUACGUCUUCCUAUUCUAUAUAUCACAUUGUGGUUUAGGGUUAAAUGAUUCUUAGGUAGUCCCAACAUUUGGUAUCAAAGCCAAAUUAACAGACCCUAAGUCCAGUGCAUAAUUAUGUUGCACAAAUGCAUCGACAUAUGGUACUGAAAUGUUUUAACUAUCGCUUGAAUUCUUAUAUGUUGAUGAACCUGUCAUUUAAGGCAUUAUCUUUUUCUGUUGCUAUUCAACAGUUUGGUUUACAGGAAGGUGAAAAGUAUAUUUAUUAGUUACAAUAUGUUUUACAUCAAAGAUUUUAAACGAAUGGAAUACUAAUCUUUAACUCAUAUUGUGGUUCAAAACUCAUGAGAUGUUCACAUUCUUUCUCAAAGAAAAUGGUGUAUAAAUUGCUAGGAGUUUUGAUCAGUGUAUGGCAUCAUGUUGAUUAGGCUAUAUUCUUGUCCAAAGACUUGAAAUAAUUGCAUGAUAAGAUCGUUGUAGGAUGGCUAUGCAAUAAGGAUUAAAGGCAGUUUAUAUCUCUUGCUCAAAAGUGUGAUAUAAACAUGCAUAGUUGAGUGAACACUCUGUCGCCUCCAUUGAACCAUUGAUGGAGGAAAUUACAAAAAUCAGAGACAAAACAUUGAGAUCAUACUGAGAUUGUAGCAUCUUGAUUUGGCACUCAAAGAGGCUGAGUUCAUUGUGAUGACAGAGGAAAGCUUGACUAAAGAGAGAGUGAAGUAUGAGAAGCAACAUUUUCUUUGGCUUUACCCCAAUUCACUACUAGAAAUUUUGACUUUACCGAUAAAAUGAAUUUGUCGGCAAAAGUCAAAAUUUGUCGGUAAAGACUCUUUCACAACGAAAAAAUUUGUCAACCAUUUUGUCAUGCAAAGCAUGUCGUGCAAGACUCUAGCCGACAAAAUUCAACAUUUCGUCGGCUAUGAAGUGGUUCUUUCCCGACAGAACAUAUUUUGCCAGCAUUCUUAAACCCCAACAAAAAAUUCUAUCGAAAAAGGAUUUUUAAGCCUACAAAAUGCACCAUUUUGCCAACAAGAUGUGUUCGUCGGAAAAGAUAUUUUGUCGGCACUGCCUUACUCUACCGACAAAAUUAGCUUUGUCGGGAAAGAAUUUUAAUUCAUUAAAAAAAAAAGCUUGAAAACACACAAAAUAAUUUCUAAUAAUGCUGCUUUGAUUAGUAAUAUGUAUAUGUACAAUGGUUAUACAAAGUAUUAUAUUAUACAAUAAUCCUAUUCUACUCCCAUUCCUCAGUAUCGGUUUAGCAGUAGCUUCGCAAUAAUAUCCUGCAAAAAUAAUACAAAAUGGUAAUUAUUAUGUAUGACAACAUAAGAAAGAGCAUCCUUAAAACCGAAACAAUCAAAUUGUAGCUAGGAAUCUUUCUAUAAGUAAUAACAUUAUGGAGCUGCACUGAUUCACACAACAUCAUGAAAAAGAUACAUUCAAUUGAAGAUACUUUAACAUAACAAUCUGUUAGAAAAUGGGGAUGGGCUGCAAUUAACACCAUAGUUACACUAAACAAUGAAAACUUAACCAAUUUGUCAACAAGAAAGCAUGUAAUCCCGUAAUCAAGUUGAAUUUCACUUGCAUCUUGGAUGAUAAAGCAUGUACUCAUGUAAUCAAGCAUAUAGUAAAAGAUAUUUCAAACCUUGCAAUCAACAUCUCAGACCACCUGCCAUUUGAGAGGUACUCUUUAAUCCCUUAAUAAGAUGCAAAUAAAAAUGAGUGAAAGAAGGUACAAUAAGUUACGCAAUAAUAAUUAAAAGAUAUUCAACUCUGAGAUUAAUUAGUAGCCCUCAAGAAUACAAAGAAAAUCCUCAAACAUAAAAAAUUUCUCACAACUUGAUCAAAUUGUAUUAAUGACGACAAUUGUAACUUAUUGGGGAAUCAAAAUUGCUUACACAAUGCUCCUUGCUCAUGUCUAGGAUAGACAUAAUCAAACUAUUCGUCCAUGUACUUGGAAUAAACACAAGGCAGAGAAAGCAAAACAUACAAUAUAUUCCUAGCACAAUCAAACUUACCUGUACAAAGCUCCUUGCUCAGUGUGUUGUGCACAAUAGAGGGACAAAAUAUACAAUAUAUUCUUGUCAUCAGCUGAAUGGGAGAGUAACACAAGUUAGGAACCCAUGAGAAAACAUAACAGAGGGAUAAUUUAUACAAUAUACUUGAGAUAAAAUUCACCAUCACCAACCUCAUAAGCAAGUGCAACUACAUUAACUUCAAUCAGGUGCACCUGGAAUAAAAAUAACAAGACUAAUUUAAUAGUAUUAUUAUUAAUUUCGAUGAAGAGAAGACUAAGUUAAUAUAGACUUGCACAUGUUACCACAUCUACAUAUGAGUUGUGUAACAACUACAUAUGUUGGAUUAUUCAAAAGAUUUGCAAACAACAUGGAGUUUAGAAUGGUUUAGAGAGAUCCUGGCAAAUAGCUAACAUUGUACAUGUUACCUGUCAAUUUGAAGAAGGCAUCACUUGCAUAAACUAAAGGCAUGUCUGGUAAGUGCAGAUCAGUUCUGCAAGGCAACACAACCAUAUCAAAGCAAACAAAAAGUACAAUCAUCAGUAAGAUUGUAAGAGAGAUAAAUUAAGGCUGAACUGAGAAGGCCUACCCCUGAUAAGCUGGAUCUCUUCCCACAAACUAAUAUGGCCAUUAACUCCGAACAAGAUGUUAUUAACUGCAGUUGCAGCUCUCGUCUUCUCUACAUCACUUGCCUUGCACCAUUCUUCAAUGUCGGAUCCUGCGUGUUACAUAGUAAACUAAGACUCAACCACAACAAAAUUUUGGUCACAAUCAAAACCAGAAACCACGAUCAACAUAGCUAGAACACCAAAAAGAAUGUAAUUUAACAUUAACAUCACAACCAAUCAUAGAUAACAGGAAGCCACAAUUGAAAAAGUUAUAUAUUACAACAUUACUUGGAACAAAAGAAUUAAGAUGUGGCAUUACACGAAUCUUUACUAUCAGCAUCAUCUAGUGCAGAUUCCAAAACCUUCGCCCUGUUCCUCAAUCCCUUCCACAAAACAUUCGCCCCUCUGUGUUCGGUCGAGUCACAAAUAACAUGUGGGGAUUAGGAAGUGGAUCAGCAAUCAAGAUUAAUAAUCCAAAUUGUCAUAUACACCAAGCCCUGCAACUUAAAAGGUUAAAUUAAAUUUUCCAACUUAAAACCCUAUAUUAAAUUCUACAAAUUGAACUGGCAGACAUAGAAUUAGAGAGGAGAAGGAAGAUAAUCACUUAAAGAGAUCACUGACCUUCGAGUUCUUGGCAGCUUUGAUGGUUUUUUUUUUAUCCACCCUAAUAAACAUAACACACAAUAGGCUCGCAACCUAAUACAAAUUCAAGCCCACAAAUUCCGUUUCAAUUUUGACAAAACAAAUCGAAAAAGAAAAUUGAAAACCUUAAGAGAAUUACAGAGACAACUGAUGGGUUUAUGCACCAGAACUAGAAUUGAAGAUGACAAUUAGAAGGGAAAGAAAAAAAAACCCUUUUUGAGGGCUUUGAAUUUGACGCCGGUUUCGAUCUCCAGCGGAAGGAGGCAGUCGGUCGGUCUGUGUAUUUGCAGCGACGAGGGAGAGGGAGAGGGAGAAGGAGUGGGACGGAGAGACAACAGCUUCGUGUUUGACUAAAGUGCUUAAUUCUUUUCUUUCUUUUUUUCUAACUUCGCGCUUUUAUUUUGAAACUGCGCUUCCAAUUUGAAACCACGCUUUUAUUCCGCGCCUCAUUUUUGGUUAAUAGUUUUACCCUCAGUCGAGGAAAUAUUUUUUGUUGCCCCGAAAUCGUCGUCUAGUAUUCUAAGAUAGCAGGGAAGGACAGUUUACCCGUCAAAAUUAAACUAGUCGGGACAUUGCAUUUAUGCCGACAAAAUGAUGGUCGGUUAACAUUCGAAUUUUCUCGGCUAAAAUUAAUGCUAUAAAUUGGUUUUGGCUUGAAUAUUUAGCCGACAAAUUAAAAUUUUAGUCGGUAGAGGACUCUUGUGCCGAUAAAAUUUUACUCUGUCGGCUUAGAAUUUGUCGGCAAAAUAAGAUUUUCUAGUAGUGAUUUUACAUUUACAAUCAAGAAUCCUACGUAAGUCAGAAGUAUGUAUCAAAUUUUAUCUUUGUGCAUAUAAGUUGAUAUACUCCCAUUAUAUCUAUUAGUUCAAUUCGUGGUUGAUGUAAACUGAACAACUACAUAAUAGGUUGUGCUUAUAACAUUUUGACCAUUAUUGAUGUUGUUGAUUUCAUUGUAAUUAUUGUAGUAUGAUCUGGACCACUUAAACUUUAAGGUAAUUGUGAAUUAAAAUGGCAAUGUUGUUUUAGAAGGAGUCAUGCUACUUAAUAACAUAUGGAAUUGGUCAUUUCUACAUGUUUACAUGGUUAUUGGAAAUCGCUGAGUUAAAGAUUGCCUAAUUUUUCUUUUUGGCCAAAUAAUUAUUUUGUGAAUGAUAGGGUUUAUAAUUUACCUUACUGAUGUUUCUGAGUUCUUUUUCCUAAUGUUACUUGGGUUCAACAGAUGGUUGCAAUCAUAGCAAUAAACUCUCUUAUGAUAAUAUUAAUUGCACUAACCUUUACUUGUUCAGGAAAAACAUCUGAGCGUGAUUUUAUAGUGUAGACUUUACAUAUCUUUUCUUUUUACCAAAGUGAAAAGACUUAAGAAAAAGGAUUAUGUAAAUUAGAUUUUAAAAACUCAUAACAUGUCAAUAUUCUUUUCCAAAUAGAGGAAUGUAUGAAUGGUUUGAGAUGUUUCCAGGGCAUAACAUUUUACGAGAAUUAAGUUGACUGUUUUCUUGUCCAAAGACUUGAAUUCUUGGUUGUUUUCUUAAUCUUUUACAUGAUUGUUAUUUAAUAAGGUUACAUGAUCUAUUAUCGAAUGAUGACUGUUUAUGUUUCUUGCCCAAAAGUGUGACAUAAUAAUGUAUUGAUAUGAUUUAACAUAUGAAAAAAUGGCGAAAAGGUAAUAGAAUGCCAUUGAGGAUUAUGAAGAGGAUCAUGACUGAAACCUUUAGAGGAGGGGUGUCCACUUGUGACUAAGCCAAGGUUUUUCUUGAAGAUGUUGGUGUGAAGUUUUAAAAGUCGAAAAGGCUGGUAUGUUUGAGUAUUAUUGAUAUGUAUAAAGAGACAUAUUUUCCCCAAUAUUGCCUAUGAGUUUGAAAUGAUCAUAUAUACAUAUACAGGCCCUUUAAGGGAAGGGAUCCCCAUUUUUCAAAAAAAAUUGGAACACCCUCUUAACCAUUAGAUUUGGCCGUAAUGAAAUUAUGUGGUUGAGAUUAAAUCACAGGUCACAAAAUCUCAACCAUAAGAUUUCAUUAAAGCCAAAUCUAACGGUGAAGAGGAUAUACCUUUUUUUUUUUGAAAAAUGGGAAUCCCUUCCCUUAAAGGCUUCCUAUAUAUAUACACUAUUGAGGUGUCAACGAAUUAUCAAAACACACUUAUGUUAUAACACUUGUUUCUCCUUUAAUUGGGCUUAGUUGCUUUUGUCAUAAAAUUAAUUAUGCGUAUUGUGGCAUUAUAUAAUACAUAUGUGUGUGUGUGUGUGUGUGUGAAAUCCACAUAUGAGCAUUUGUUCAGUAUGGCUAUAACUAUAUCUUGAGACUGAUUUUCCAACAUGAAAUAAGUAAAACCCCAUGUUGAGACAUGGUUAAGAGGGGUUAGGCUUGAUCAUACUUAUAGCAAUAUGAAAGGCAGGUGAAAUACAUGCAUGAUCAAUCAAUUAGGCUUUCAUUUCGAUGAGCUGGUGCAUGUAUAAUUCUCUUCUUUAACAUGUUGUUUAGCAUCAGACAUGAAUCAUAGCUUAUAUAGGGAGUAAAGUUUAUAGCACGUACACGGUAAGAUGAUCCUAUACAGAUACUGCUGUCCAUCCCUAUGUGUCGACGAGUAUUGGUCAUGUGAUCAUAUAUAUGUUAACGUCCAGUCAAGAAAUGAUGAUUAUAUAUUGAAAGACAUGAAUAUGGAAUUUUAAGUAUGUGCAGCAUUCACACAUUCAAAUUUUAAGCAUGCGAUUUAAUUGAUAAGGCAUUCAAAAUUGUAUUUUGGUUUGUUAGUUUUCCUGCACCUAGAGAACUGAAACCAUAUUUGUUAGUCGAUUUUUAUAUGCGAACAAUCUAAGAAUGACAUACUAAUAACUUGAUAAUUAAUAUCUACUUUAUCCUUCACGUCUAACCUUGAGUCCGUUGGUUGGAAUUGUGUUGAAGGCAAUUCAACGUUACAUUGUUAAGUAUAGUGAAUACAAGGUAAGUGAUAUCAUAAAGUCAUAUUUGGAAGAGCACAUUAUUAAGUGCUUUGCCCAAGGGGAGAAUUGGUGAAAGAAAAAUUUGGGCUUCUCACUCAUUGACUUCUUUUAAUAGGAUAUUGAAUUUUGAAAACAUGGUGGGAGUAUCCUAAAUCAUAUUGAUUUUGAGCGGAAGAGAUUUAUGCAUUGAGUUAACUUCCUCUAUUAUUUCAUUAUUCUAUAUUACAUAAAUAUGUUGUUUGGUUACAAGACAUUUCACACAUACUAAUAUGCUUUAAUGGUUUAUGAAAUUUGAAUUGAAUCAUGACUCAAAGGACAACAACAUAACUAUGUGCCCUUGUUAAUCUUUCCUAUUGCUUGUUGUCAUUAUCAGACGCCUUAGAUUAGUUACUUGUUAAUUCUACAAAGGAUUUUGAGGUCAACAAGAACCUAGCAUUAAUUCAAGUUUAUUGACUCAUACUAAUUUUAUUGUUAAAUUGUAUGAUUUUGUGUGUUAAUGAGAGCUAAAAUUUUUCUUGCUUUCCAAUGUUACUGGGGAAUAGUAAAAACGAAAUUAAAGGGACUAAAUUUCACACAAUAGCCAACCUUAAAAUGAAGUAUGGACUGAAGGAGAAACCCCAAUAACAUCCGUACAUGUGGUUUUGGUGAACAAAUUUGUGUUGCUUUUAAUACUAUGGAAAGGUAGAAAACAAAUUUGUGAUGAUAUACAGUAUGUGUUAUGUAAUUGCUUGAGUAAGGUUGAUCCCGAAGUAUGUUUAAAGCCUUGUUUGAAGUAUUCUGUAAUUAAGUUAUGGUAACUUAGUGGGAGUGUUGUCUACACUAUAUUAUUUUCUGUUUAAGACCAUUGAGUUAUCAACUGAAUUCACAUUUGUCUAUCAUGGUUAUUCAUUGAAUAACUAGUUUAUCUGCAAGGGAAAAACUGAGGCUUCAUUGGAAGUAUUUAGGCAAACUCCAAACCUGAGUUGGCCUUAAGGGUAGUCGGAGUAGGCCCCCGCUUAGGGCUCCCAUUUCAAAAGGGCCCCCAAUUUUUAGGCAGAGUUAGACGGAACUGGACGAUGAUGGACGGGAGCUAUGCGGGCUUAUAUGUAAAAGCUGGAAUUUGGAAAUUUUUUGUUGCAGAGUCGGCCUCGCACGAGAAAGAAGACAACCAUAUUCCCAACAUUAUUUUAAUUGCACGAUUUUACUUAAGAUGGUCCCACCAUCUUUUUUUAUUUAUAUAUAUGCACGUCUUCUUCCCUUUAAAUAGUCCCCACCAUCUUAUUUUUACUUUUUUGCUUCUCUCGUAAAUAUCACAUUUAUGUUUAUUUUUAUGGGGUUUUAUUACCCUAUUUUAAGAUCACACCAUAUAUCAUUAUUAUGUACCUAAAGGGCUAAAACUCUCACCUUUUAGAAAAAUGACAUUAUUAAAUGUUCAAAUUAAUUAGUUUAUAUAAUAUAUAAUAAAUUAUUCAAAUCCAUUUUGUCCGCCUAGGCGCGUAUACGAAAAUUACUAUCCUCUUCACUCUAGUAUUUUUCCUAGUUGUAAAAUGUUGUCUCUGUAAUCCAACCAUUCAUUCAUUUAUUGAAUGUAAUAAGUAACAUUGUAACAAUAGAAAAAUGAUUGGAAUUUGGCGUAAUGGGUAGGGACUUCUCUUUCGGUUUGAAUUGGUUGAAAAAUUAGAUUAUGUAAACUUAAUAAGUGCAUUUGCAUCUAAAAAUGCGAGACGGGUAAUAUACUAAUAUUUGAGUAAUGUUUGUAUAUCUUUAUUCUUUUGAUAUUAAUUUUUAAUGAUAUUUGAUGUAGAAAUAGACUUUUCAUGUAUUUAGUGAAUUUUUUUUACACAUGUCAAUGUACAAAGGGUCGAGAGUCAAAGAACUCUAGGACCCCAUUUCGAAGGCUCACUUAGGGCCCCCAAAUUCUCAGGGCCGGCCCUACUCCAAAUUGAGGCUUCAUUACAAGACACAUUCAUAUUUUGAUGGUGUUUUCAUGUGAGGAAAUGAGAAGUGCCUGACAAAUGCUGAUGCUAGCUAACCCAUUAAGAAAGCCACUAGCUAUGGGAGCUUUCAAGAGUCAUGUUGCAAAUAUGGGAAUUCAUGAUGAAUUUGAGUCGGCUGAAGUGCGGGAGUAAAUGACUAUUGCUUUUAAUAAAUGUUGAAUUUAGCCAUUUCAAGUUUUUUUAUGAUAAUGUGAUAUGUAUGUCAUGUGAUUAAUCCAUAAUGUUGUGAUUGAUCCUUGUUCCAAAGAACAUGUUGAUUGAUAUCUGAAAAUGCACGAGUUUGAAAGAAACAAUUCAAGGGUAAAUAACCAAAAUGGUCCCUGAGAUUUGCAUAACUCAUCACUUUGGUUCCUAACAUUUCAAAUCAAUAAAAGUGGUCCCUAAGAUUGUCCACCAUCCAUCAUUUUGCUCAUUCCGUUAAAAACUCCGUUUAGUGUCGCGGAACUCUUGGUCGGAAGUUUGAGCAAUUUUCAAAACUUCGUAACUCAAUCGUUUCUUAACCAAACUCGACCCAUAAUAUAUCAAAAGGAAGAUAGGAAAGUGUAUAAUAAGAUUAUACCUAUUUAGAAGCCCAAUGGUUGCUGGAGAUAGCCGGAAAAUAGCCUCAAAGUUGACUGGUCCGAGAGAAAACUGGAAAACUCGCCGGAAACUGGGUAAACUUUAAACGUUCAUAACUUCUUCAAUAUUAAACGAUAUCAAGUGAUUCAAAAACUAAAAUCAUACCUUUUGAUGAGACUAAGAGAAUGGUACCUUUUUAGACGGCUAAAUCGCUGUGGUUUGGCUGGAAAACGGCACGAAAGUGGCUGUCCUCUAGCAACCAUUGGGCUUCUAAAUAGGUAUAAUCUUAUUCUACACUUUCCUAUCUUCAUUUUGAUAUAUUAUGGGUCGAAUUUGGUAAAAAAAUGAUUGAGUUACGAAGCUUUGAAAAUUGCCCAAACUUCCAGAAGAGCUCCGAGACACUCAACAGAGCUUUUAACGGAAUGACCAAAAUGAUGGAUGGUAGACAAUCUCAGGGACCACUUUGAUUGAUUUGAAAUGUUAGAGACCAAAGUGAUGAGUUAUGUAAAUCUCAGGGACCAUUUUGGUUAUUUAGCCAAAAUUCAAUGAUUGAAAAUGGAAAAUUUGGGUUCGAUCAAUAAAGGUGAAAUGGGUGAAUUGACGAGAGGAAUGGAGUGAUAUAUAUUUAUACAAGAUAUAUAUAUAUAUAUAUAUAUAUAUGUGUGUGUGUGUGUGUGUGUGUGUGUGUGUGUGUGUGUGUGUACCGGGUAAAAUUUGUGGAUGUGUAUAAAUGUAUGUUUCAUCUGCAUUAUACAACAUGAAUUUGAAAAUUGUCGUUUCAGGGUGGAUACAGUAUGAUACAUGUAUUAUUUCCUGAAGUCCAAUCUUCUAAAUGCAUGCUGGUCAAUGUGUAUAAGAAGUUAGCGGCGUAGACUCAAUGUGAUCACUUAAGGGAUGAAUUUUAUUUUGGUCAUAUAUCUUAUAGAACACAACUAGUUACGUCCAUGUGGAAGAAUGUAAGAAUCUUAUGUGGACUCAACUUGUUGUGAUAAGGACUAAGAUAUAUGCUGAUAAAAAUAAAUUUAAAUUCAUCAAUGGGUUGUAUACGUGGAAUACUAGCUUCCUAUAAUCGUGGAAACACAUUCAAAAUGCUUUGAAUACAAACCGUUCCUCCGCCACUCAAUAACUUCCACGUUGUGAUGAUAUGGGACAAUAACCAACUCACCCAUGAUAGAUGAAAGUUGGCUGCCAGUCAUCAAUAAAUAAAAAGGAUUCGCUACUCACAAAGCAUUGGUUCUAAGUCUAGGGUUCUAUCACCAUAAGAGCAUAAAGGGUUUGAGUGAGUAGAAGAGUUCUUUUGACAACCACGUUGGCUUCGACAGGUACGGCUUCUUGUUCUAUAUAUCACAUUGUGAUUUAAGGUUAAAUGUUAAUUAUUAGGUAGUCCCAACAUGCCCCCUAGUAAGUAAUUAUUGUUCUCAACGCUUGUUUGGGAGUCGCUUCUAAGUGUUUGGCAAAUAUUUAAAAUUUCUUUAAACAAUUCCUAGACAUUAGAUCAUUGUGAACGGUUAAGAUUAAAAGCAUUGUAUUUUCUGCUGGACAGAAAAUCUGGUAGAGGAUCCAGAUAUAGACAGAAGGAUAUCUAUAUCUAUAUAUAGCUUUUUGGAUUAAGUCCCCCCCCCCCUCCCUCCCCUCCCCUCCUCCAAACCUUUUAGUGUCAUUCCAAAUUGGUCUCAAUCUUUUUAAACAUUCCAAGCAAAUAUUUAACCUAUUAAAAAUGUUACAACCAUCAAGCCCUAGUUCAUUUUUCAAAAAUAGAUUCUAUACAACCACCACUUUGGUAUAUCAUGGACAAUAUUAAUAUUAGUUGCCUCAAAAUCUAAAUUUCAAACAUAGAUUAUAUAAUAUGGAACCCAAUGAUCAAACAGGUAUUGAGUUGAAUCGAAAAUGGACCCAAAUCGAAAUACAUCAGGAGGACAAUCUCUUAACAAAGAAGAGGAUUAAGAAUUCACAUAGGGUUUCAAGGAGUUUGUUUAUACUCAUAUGAUUUCCUCUUUUUCUGAUUCUCGGCUCGUAAAGCUUUUAGUUCUUCUUUGUGGGCGGUGAAGAUGGUGGUGUUGCAUCAUGGCAGUCCAUGCCAUUUCAGCAACCUCCAUAACCUUCUUCUCGAAGUUGGUGACUUGAGUAGUAGGGUGAAGUUGAUGGUUUUGCAAUGGGUUUAGAGGUGAUGGCAUGACGAGGGUAGUGGUAACCAUGAGUUUGUGGAGGCUAUGCUUCCAUGACCUUCUAUUGAUUUUGGAGAUGAAGUAAGCCUAGUUAAUUUAAAAGAUUUUUAACUGGAACUUAAUGGAUGUGACAUUUUCAAUAAGUUGGGUACUUGUUUAGAACGUUUAAAAAGGUUGAGACCAAUUUGGAAUGAUACUAAAAGGUUGGGGGAUUUUAGUACUUAAUCCUAGUUUUUUCACCUUUCAUUAUAUAUGGCUACGCAUAAACAUUCAUAAGAUAAUGACUUGAGUUGCAUAGUCUAUAUUGCAGGUACUACUUAUCAAACAGGUUAAAUGAGAAAAGCAAUAUCUAUAGCUUUGGGGUUGUGUUGUUGGAGAUUAUCACUAGUAAACAUGUUUUUAUCAAAAAACGCAUGAUCACAUUAGUGAUUGGGUUGCUUUCUUGCUUGAAAAGGAGGACAUUAACGGGAUCUUUGAUUCGAGAUUAACAAGAACUUCAAUGGUAACUCUGGCUGGAAAGCUUUGGAAAUAGCAAUGGCAUGUGUAUCUACAGAUGCCACCAAAAAGCCUAACAUGAGUGUAGUGGUGGUGGGACUAAAGGAGUGUUUGGCAACAGAACUAGCUUGAGCAAAGCAGAGUGGCAAUCAAACUGAAUAGGAAGUUCCAUUGAGAUGAUGUCUAAGAUGAAAUCAAUCUCUAUGGAAUUGGAAAGUCCCUCAAUUAGAUAGUAUAAGUAAACCUAUUUUGAUAAAAGAGGAAAUUGUAGCAAUGAUCUUUCAACUUUAGUCUGAUUGGAGUAAUGAUCCCUUAACUAAAAAUUCGUGAUUAUUGGUCCCUUAAUUCAUCAAAACGUGCAACUAUGGUCAUUUUUGUUCACUCUAACAGAACUUCUAUCAAAAUGAGUCACAUGCCACACACGUGAGGCUAAAUUAAAGGGGCAAAUAUAGAAAACCAAAUGAAAAAGUAGCAAUGGUCCCUCAACUUUAAUCCAAUUGGAGAAAUAGUCCCUUAACUUUAACCUAAUUUGAGCAGUGGUCCCUUAGCUUUAACCCAUGUAGCAAUGGUCCUUCCACUGUGACUCAUUUUGACAAAAGUUCUAACGGAGUUGACGAAAGAACCAUAAUUGCACAUUUUAAUAAGUUAAGGGACCAAUGAUCACAGAUUUAAAGACCAUUCCUUUAGACAUUCUCCAUUUUAUUGCCCGAGCUAGCCCACUUUUGUGUCACGAGCCUGACCCUAUGUCUAAGUCCAAUAGAGACUAGCAUGUUCUGAGCCUAGAGGCCAGCUCGGCCAAUUUGUGACCAUCGAAAUUAUCUUUUUCUUCUUUUAGUUUUAGUGCAAUGUUUUUGGUCUAAAUGUUGGAUUUAUCCAAUAGGCUUAAAUGUCAAAAUAGUCUUUGUGUUAUAGUCAUUUGGUCAAUUUAGUUCUCAUGUUUCUAGUUUGACCAAUUUAGUCCUUUUGUUUAUCCAUUAACCAAUUAAGAACAUUCCGCCCAAUCUUUGUUAAAAAUUUAACAAUAUUGUAACCUAUUAUAGAAAAAUAUUCUCAACUAAAAUAGAAAAAUAUUUAAUUUCAAAAUGAAAAAAAAUAAAAUAAACAAACUUACCAUGACAGCCACCCUGUCCUUGAUCCAAACCCCAACCCUGGCCACACAUGCAGGCAACUCGAUGAACACGUCUCUAGAUCCAUCGUGACCCUACUUGUCACCGUGCGAGUUCCAUCUUCGUAGUCACAAGAAAAUUAACCCCAACUACCUUGCCUCUAACUGUGUAAUCGAGAAACAUACCGCAAUUUAAAUAUACAAAAAAUGCAAAUCAACAAGAAAUGACACACAAAAGAGAUAAAACUUCUAAUCUAAAAAAUCCGUAGGGUUGUGACAUAGAAAAAGUGGGGGUGCAAGAAAAUUGGAAGAGUAGAGAACGUUAGGGAGGAGGUCGGAAUUUUUUAAUAGAGAUUAGAUUGAAAUUCCUUAAUUGGCUAACGAAGAUAAACAUGAGGACCAAAUUGUCCAAUUUGAAAACACGGGGACUAAAUUGACCCCAUGACUAUAACGCAGGGAUCAUUUUGACAUGUCAACCUAUCUAAUAUAAAUCAACAAUUAAGUGGUCUACUACAUGUAUUAGGAAUGUAAUAUUAGAGAAUAAUGUAGAUUCUGAUUUGAUCUCUUAAGGUAUCAAUCUUAUAUUAAGUGUCUUAUAAUAUAAGUAGGAUUGAUGGAGUCCUUAAUUACUUGUGAUUAUGAUACCUUUCUUGGUAGCUAAGAAAGUGGGAUUAGGUUUCCUUUAUGGACGGAAACCCUAGUUCUUAGCUUGUACAAAUACUAAGGUCCCUGCAGAUCUUAGAUACACAUAACAUAAUACUUCUCAUAAAGUAGCUGUAUCCGGCUAGGUAUUUGUAGAAGACCUUGGUUACUGCUUCAUGAUAUGAUCAGGCAAUCCAGCUUUUUCAUUUGUGUUUUAUUGUAUAACCAUAUAACUCUAACAGUUGGUAUUAGAGUCAUUGAUUAUAUAUACGAUCAAAACGUUUAACGCUGGAUUACAUACAUGAACUGCAUGUUUAAUCCAAGUUGUGAUUGCAUAUGCUUGGCAACACCACCAUGCUGUUUAUAAUUAUAUCAGUGCAAAUUGUUGAUUAUGAUCAGGUUGUAUAAUUAUUAUGUUUUAGAAAAGAUUAUCUCUUAAUGAUCUUAUGGCACGAAUUUGGAGAAGCAUAUAUACAUAGAAUUCAAGUAUGAAAUUUAAAUAAUGGUAAUGAUUGCUUCGAAUUCCAACAGUUUUCCAAAUUCCAAAUUAUACGUUGAGUAAACUGCCGAUUUCUCCCCUAAACUUUCACUUAACUUUCGAUUUCCCUCCUGAACAUUUUAGUUGGAAAAUUAAGAACUUAAACUUUUUUUUUUGGCCAAUUUCCCCCUGCUGUUAGUUUUUCAUUCAUUUCAUCCAAAUUUAUGUUAAAUGAAAGCAUGUGCACAACAUGUAAGGUAGUCUGGUCGCUUCGUUCUUUAGAAUAAUUAAAAACCCUAAAUUUGUAAAAUGUCGACCUAUGCAAAUAUGAGUGAUUCUAUAGUUUUUGUAUCUGAAAGUUUAGCAAAGUGACGCUUUUAUUCUCAAAUGAGAGUCACACGGUGUGCACAUGAUAAGAGUUAACAUUAAUUUGGAUAUCAUUUUUAUGCUGAUAGUUUAGGCUUAUACCUAUUAUAAUUACUAAUAAUAUAGGGAACUUUAACGAAAAGCACCCGGUACUGUUCACGUUAACGAAAAACCACAUUUUUACACUAAAAAGUUAAUCCUGGUACUAUUCACUUUACCCUUUAUUUUGUCCUUAUCAUUAAAACUCAAAGUUUUCAAGCCUUUUUCAUUAGUUUUCCUAAUGGUAUUUUAUGCAGGCCUUUUUUAUUGCCACUACUACAUUUCUUCUCAAUAAAGAUAUAAGUCUGAGUCUCAUUUAAUUUCCAGAAACAUCAAACAAGCACAGAACGCGUCACAAUGUUGAAGCUGGCAAAGCUUUAUGGCAACAAUAUCCACUCUGAUUUGUUGCAGAUCUUGACCGUGGAUUGUGGUAAAUGUGGCACCUCACUUCAAAUGCCAGGUCCUAAAUCAUCAAUAAUUAUAAAGAACGGUUCCAACCAAUUAUUUCUAAAACAUUAAGAGACCUCAUCCAUUUGUGACUCACAAUGUCUGAAGGGCUCGAUGCAUGUUUUAGUGUAGUUUGAUCGUCCUUGGGUUAGGUUUAAGAUUAAUUCAAGGUUAGUUAAUCAAAAUUAAUUAUACGUAUGUUUUAUCAGAACAAAGCAAUUAUAAUUGCGGAUAUGAAUUUAACCAAGUUAGUUAGAACAGUAUGAAUUUAAUGUAAACUUCAAAAUAAGCUAAUCGCGCUCAUUUCAUUUCCAAUUCUACCGCCCAGGUCUAUUAGAGUGAUGCCAUGCUCAUGAGCCCAUUUAAGUGCAAAGUUUUAUUUCAAUUUCUGACAAUUGAAUCCGACCAGUUAUCCUAAUUAACACGCAUUAAUUUUUUUUCCUAUAUGAUAUUCUAAACAAUAUAUCUUUAAUACGGAAAAGUGAUAUGAACUUGAACGACACUAUGCCUUAACCAAUUAACCUAAUGCAUUUGCAACAUGUUAAUUUUAUUAGUUUUAGUUGGCUAAGUAAAGCCACAUGCCUUAUUUGUCCAACCAGUUGUGCUAGGCCAGAAGAUUUUUCAGAACCACCAAAAUAACUCCAUCACAUGCAGCUUUGACAUGCCUUUUAACUCAUAAUGCCUCCACCUGCUAUCCUCUCAACCACCCUAUGCAACCGCAUAUUUAAUACCCCCCCCCCCCCCCCAAAAAAAAAAAAAAAUUUGUCCUCAAAUUAUCACAAGAAAUUAAAGUAAAGCAAGACCAAAAGGGUCAGUAAUUUAUUAUGUUCAGGCAUUUGAUUGAAUAAAUCAACGAUAUAACGGACAGAAUGUGUGUGAUUGUCAUUUCCUAAUUUUUAGUGUGGGUAAUUAAAUCCAUAAAACCAGUUGAUCUAUCAUUCAAUGCCUACCAGAGACUCCACCUUCCCUCUGCAAGAGGAAACUUCAAAAGGGCCAUUUUCAAAAGCAUUUUAUAAGUUCCAAUUUCACAACACAAAGCACUUCUGUUUUUCACAACAUGGAAAGCCAUUUCUUGAGAGCAGUAGCUUUUGGUUUGGUUUUGGCUUUUGCGUUUGUGAUUGGAGGAAAUUAUGCACAAGAGUCAACCACACUUGUUCCGGCAAUCAUGACGUUUGGAGACUCUGCAGUUGAUGUGGGCAACAAUGACUACCUCCCUACCAUUUUCAAGGCUAAUUACCCACCUUAUGGAAGGGGCUUUGUGAGCCAUCAGCCUACUGGGAGGUUUUGCAAUGGCUGUUGGAGAACAAUUUAGAAAUAAACAAUAUAACAGAAAUAAACAGAACUUGAAAUUCACAAUUUUAUUUCAGAAAAAGUACUUGCUAUACAGAAUGAAAAGUAUACAAUAAAUACAGAAAUUAAUAUAAGAAUAUCAACAGUACUAACUUGAUUACAGAAGGUAGAGGCUAGCGUAAAAGCUAUGUCCUUCGAACAGUAAUUCCGUCCCACUCUUGUGUUUGUGGUUCUAUAACGUCUGCUCGACCAGGAUACAACUACCUAAUCCUACAACCCGCACUGGAUUAUAGAAUUCUAACGAAUUGCUUUGUGUGUUUACUCUUUCUGAAAAGUUUGUACGGAAGAAAAGGAAAAAGAAAAGAUGAAAGAUGAUGAACUGAGGACUCCAGUUAUAUAGGCUCUUUCAUACCUCUUCAAAUACCUUUUGGAUGUAUUUGAAGCUUUACAACUCUCUACAAAAGGUUGUAUCUUUAAUCAAAAUGUUUUUAAUUAAUUUAAUUAAAAACUUAAUUUGAAAUUAAAACUAAUUGAUCAGAUUAAUUUUAAUUCUUAGGCCCCAAGGCCCAAGGCCCUUGUCUUGAUUAAUUAAUAUUAAUUUAUAUUAAUAUUAUGGUAUAAUCAUCAAGCCCAAUCCACAGAAAUGAUGGCCCAAGCCUCAAUUCUCAUUCCAAGUGGUCCAACACAUAACUAAUAUUGUAGAAGACAAAACAUAUAUAAAGGUACUUUGGAAUCUUGUUUUCACCAAUGUGGGACAAGAGUCUCAAAACUUCCAACAAUGGCAAACUGGCAACUGUCAUCACUGGUAAGUUGAAAAUUUAGCUUCCAACAAAAGUGCUUUUGUUAUUAACAAUAUUGAACAGUAAUUAAUUGCUUCUUAAUUAGCAUAAUGGGCAACUUAAUGAUGAUCUGCAUAAGAUUUUUAGUUAACAGAACUGCAAGUUUAAAUUGUUAGUGAAAUUAAUGACUGUUUGACUGUUUUGCUGCUUUUUUUUCUUUUGCAGCUCAGAAUUUAAGUGCUUUAGAUUAAUAAUAUGGUCACUUUAGCUGCAUUUGCGAUUAAUUUCUAUUAGAGCGAGCAUGUUAACUGAUGAUAUGAUAUGGUAGUUGAUGUAUUAAUUAACAGUUGUCGGUAGUAAUUGAUACAUGAUUUGAUGUAAUAAGUGCGCAUCAACUGCCUCGUAGUUCUCCAAUGUGGUUAGAGAAUAUGAUUUUUCUUGCAUUAUUCUUCGUGAUCAGUAGUUAAUUAGAAUAUCCAAGGAAAUUUAAUUGACUGGUAAAAAUCUAAUCUUAUGUCUUUAUAUAUGCAGCCGACACUUUGGGGUUCACUACUUAUCCGCCGGCGUAUCUUAGCCCACAAGCAUCAGGGAAAAAACCUUCUGAUCGGAGCGGGAUCCCUCUUAUACCACAUUAUUCUCAUGGUUUUCCCUUUCAGCUCAGUGUAGUUCAGACAAGCCAUAGCCUUGGAUGCUGACCAAAACAGACCGAAAGCUUGUCAAGAAAUCAAACGUUCUACGAUAAUCAUAAUAUAAUAGAAAUAACACUAAAGGAUAGGUCGAUUACUUGCACCCCAAGUAACUUCGGACUUCUUGUUUAUCAAAGACUGUCGUGGAUGGGUUAAGUCCACAUAAGGUUCUUUUUUUAUGCCUUGAGACCAAGAACUUUUAAAUGAUCAAUCUUACAUGCCCGAGGGCUUAGAACUUAGAUCUGAUUCAAUCUGUGAAGAGAUAUUUAAAUCAGAUUCAAGAACUGAGGAGUCUUUUUAAUCAUCAACUUGCCAGAAAUAACUUGGAUACAACUGGAAGUAUACAACAUAUUGCUAGACUACUGAAUAAAAAGAUAAAAACAAAGAGGGUCGGGCAAGGUUUCAUAUUGUCGGGCAAGGCUGAUCGUCUUGCAACUUCCUAUCUUUGUGGUUUAUCAAGGGGUUUGAGCUUAGAAAGAGGGGUAAGGAGAUGGGUUUACAAAAGGAAAUCGAUACUACAGCAAGUUCUAGACAAGGUAGCAGAACUAUUACAAAGGCUUUGGUGAAGGUUGAUCUCGAAAGGGAUGAAGAAUUGGGCUGACUACAGCUUUGUUGAAGGAAAAUCUGGUUUGAGCUAAGUUUGUGCUUGUAUUUGUUUGUUUGAUUGAGUGUCCUUAUCUCUGAUUUCUCUUUCUUCUAUUAUAGACACUUCAGCUUGGCCUCCUGUAGCAGUAAUCUUGCCCGAAUGCAACUUGAAGGGCAAUGACUCAUCAGCUUUUUACUUGUACUGCCACUGUAAAGUGCUUUUGGGCUGAUUAGCUGGCUGGUCUAUACCACUUGACCUCUAAGUAGGUGAGCAAGUGGUUCAAAUGGUCUGCACCUAGUCAGAAAAGGGUCUCUCCUGCUUUCUGGGCUUUGGCUGGGCUUCGGACUUUUCUCCUUCUAGACCUUUUUCUUUUGGGCCAACUCCUUCUUGAGCCCAAAGUUCAAGUUUUAACCCAAACAGUAAUAAUACAACAAAUGAUCAAUUAUACCGAAAAAGAAAUGAUACGAAUUAUGCUGGAAGACUUUCAGUCAUCAUAAUCAGUAGUGUUAAAUGAGUUGAGCUGCUCAUUGCAAGGAUUUAUCAAACAACAACUUAAGAGGAUCAAUUCUAGAAACUUUGUCACAACUGCCGACGUUAAAUGUCUUGUAAGUUAUUUUGUUAUAUAUGUGUGUGUGUAUUUUGUUAUUGUCUUAUCGCUUAUUUACGCAUUUGAAACUCAAUACGAGUCUUGCACCAUGUAAUUGAAAUUGUGUCACUUAACUUCCUAAAACUCAACUUCUUUUUCACUUUCCCACAUGCUGUCAAAGUCUGUUAGAAACCCCAUUAAAAUUGGUGACAUGAAACAAAUAGGACCCAAAUUCGUAUCAACCUUUUUUAACAUUCCGAAUAACUACCCAACCGAUUGAAAAUGUCACAUAUGUUAAGUCCCAGAUAAUUUUUCCAUUAAAUAUACAUGUGGCCAUAUUGGGUCCAACCUAUUGAAAAUGUUACAUCUGUCAGGCCCCAAUUAAUUUUUCCAUUAAUCCUAAUCUUGUUAUAUAUGUGUCCUCAUUUAGAAAGCAUGCUAACUAUAUAUGUACUGCUUAAUCUUGCAGAAAUUUGGAGAAUAACAACCUCACAGGCUCAAUUCCGAUGGUACUCAUUGACAGAUGGAAGGAUGGUUUACUAUCAUUAAGGUGCGCCACUUUUUGUUUUUUUAUAGCAGAACGAGGAGUUCGUUGAAGGAAAAUAGAAAAAACUACAUAUUAAAAUAGAAAAAAUAAAAUGAAAACUAAUGAAAAGGGUUUGAAAACUUUGAGUUUUAAUGAUAAGAACAAAAUAAAGGGUAAAGUGAAUAGUAUCAGGAUUGACUUUUUAGUGUAAAAAUGUGAUUUUUCGUUAAAAUGAACAGUACCGGAUGUUUUUCGUUAAAAUUCCCAAAAAUAAAUACCCGGACAGCAGUAUGUUUUAUACAAAAGUACUGUUUUUUGUUUGAACAAAAGUACUUUGAUGGCUUAAUUGGAGAGAGAGAGGGAGUGAGAAAAAAUAUAAAAAAUAUAAACAUGUGCGUGGAUGAUUUUGAGCUCAGACCGACUAAAACGUAAUCCACCAGUCUUUCUUGGUUUUUUUUUUUUAACUUCUUUCUUCCUAGAAAUUUUAAAUGAUGUGGCAUUCCGCAGAAACUUGAUUUUUAGAUAUAAGAACAUGUGUUACAAUUUUUAUUUGGGAAUUAUAUUAUCUUUGACCAUAAUUGAUUAAACAAUAGAAUAUCAUUUUCGUAUGUCAGUUUGUGCGAAAUCCAUGUCAAAAAUCCAAACCUAUCCGGAAAUGUUUCUUGCAACAAGAAGAAGAACAGGAAGUAUAAUUUUUUUGUUCCGAUGAUAAUUGUUUCGGUUGAUGCACUAGUGUCAGUCCUCUUACUCAGUGCAGCAGCUAUCUGGUGUCGGGCUGCUUCUAAAAGGAAAAGGCAACUUGGUAAGAUUCCAUAUUUGUUAGUGUCAUCUUCUUCUGCAAUAAAUAAUCACAGACAGAAGGUUUUGAUUGUAUAAGAUGCUUAUGAAAAAUGUUAUGAUUGUAGGAAAUAGCACAGAUGCAAAUGUAACCAUUCAGCAUGGGUCAUUUGAGCCUAAAGGGAGACAGUUUACGUACUCUGAUAUAGCACAGAUUACAAAGGGGUUCAAGAGGGUUCUUGGAAAAGGCGGCUUUGGAACAGUUUAUCACGGCCACAUUGACGACACUCAGGUGGCUGUCAAGAUGCUUUCACCGCCAUCAGUUCAAGGGUUUCAGCAAUUUCUCACAGAGGCAUGUCUGUCAUAUUAAAUAAACUGAUCCCACUGUUUUUCAGAUCAAUAUUAAUCUUAUCAAAUUGCAUGUAGCGUUUCUGACCUACUAAAUUACAGGUUAAUCUUCUUAUGAGAGUUCAUCAUAGAAAUUUGACAAGUCUUGUUGGAUAUUGCAAUGAUGAAACCAACAUAGGGCUGAUCUACGAGUAAAUGGCCAAUGGAAACCUACGAGAACAUCUUUCAGGUUUGGCUGCAAAUGAAAUUACUCAGUACUAAAUUUGCCAUUCAUUUCUUAAUUAACUAGUACUUUUAAAUUCUUUGGUAGUCCUUAAUUUGAUAAUUCUAUUUUCCUGGACCACCUGACUUUAUAAAAUAAGAUAGUUAUAUCUUUUUAUGUACGCAGGUAGCAGAUCAAAUAUCUUGAGUUGGAGAGAUAGACUUCAAAUAGCAAUAGAAGUUGCACAAGGUCUGUAUAACAAACCAAUCAUAUUAUAUAGACACAAAAAUGAUACGCUUAAUAUAGGUGCGUCCAACAUACUGUGGUACGUAGGGCUGACCUUUAUUAGAGAGUAUGUCAGCAACUUUUUGAGACUUUGAGUUUUAGGAGCUUAAAUAGUAAAUACCAAUCGUUAUUGAUAACGAAAUGGUAUCUACUUUUGAAGUUGUGUCUGAAUAAAAACAGGACUGGAGUAUCUGCACUAUGGCUGCAGUCCGCCUAUAAUCCACAGGGAUGUGAAAUCAACAAACAUCUUGCUGAAUGAAAAAUUCGAAGCCAAACUCUCUGAUUUUGGCAUAUCCAGAAGUUUCCCUACAGAGGAUGGAACGCAUAUAACAAAAAAUGUCGCUGGCACUCCCGGGUACCUUGACCCUGAGUAAGAGUUCUUUUCAUUUAUUUGAGGCAUCGUCUGUGUCCUUAUUAUAGAUGCAAACAAUUAUAAAUAUAUAAUUAACAAGGAGAAUGAAGAAAGAAACUAUAAAUCAUUUUGGAAAACAUUUUACAUUGGAUGAUAUGAUUUGAGAAAUAUGGUUUGGCUUGCAGGUAUUACGCAUCAAAGAGAUUGAAUAAAGAAAGUGAUGUUUAUAGCUUUGGGAUUGUACUGUUGGAGAUUAUCACAAGUCGACCUGUUUUUUCUAGAACUCAUGAGCGGAGUUGCAUUAGUGAAUGGUUCAGUUUCAUGCUUCAAAAAUGAGACAUUUACAGUAUUGUUGAUCCGAGGUUAGAAGGAAAAUUCAAUACUAACUCAGUCUGGAAAGCUGUGGAAAUAGCAAAUGCAUGCGUAUCUCCAAUUGCCAUCAAAAGGCUAAGCAUGAGUCAGGUAGUGGUGGAUCUAAAGGAGUGCUUGGCAACAGAACUCGCUCGAACAAACCUGAGGCAUGAAACUGAAUUAAGAAAUUCCAUUGCUAUGCUACAACCCUCAGUUAGGUAGUAAUACUAAAUAUCUCAACCAAAUAAAGAGAUAGUUUGGGAUGCAUUAUUUUCCUCUUUGUAAUAGAUACCAUAGUAUUUCUUAAGGACUGCAACUAUUUUAUAAUCACGUGAAGUGCAUCUUUUCGUGAGAAAGGCGAUAAUGAAGAUGUGAUCUAAACAACUAUUAUGUUGUUUGCCAUUGAAGGUCCUAGCCAUUAAGGAUUAAGUUUAAAUCAACUUCAAGUAGUUAAUGAUUGGUAUCUAGAGAGUUUAUCUAGAUGUUCAUUUUUCUAAUUAAACAAUAAUGUCAAAUCCACUUUAGCAUUGCUAUCAUGAAAAGAUAAUGUUGUGAAUAUAUUGAUACAAAAAUUAUAGGUACAAUAACUUAGGGGUACAGCCUUAUCCUAACACAAUAUCAAUAAGUUCACAGGAGUUUGGUAAUUAUUACUAAGUAGCUCCUAUAAAUACUUAUAAAUAUCGGAUCCACAGCCCGACGGUUGUUAAGAUCUUUAUCCAAUGAUUUGAAAUUCGAACGUGGGGUACAUAGAAGUUCAUGAAACUAUUAAACUUCUCCAGCAUAUGAAAAAAUACAACAGGUUACUAAUUUUGCAUUGAAGCUUCUUAUGUUAGUUUGCAAGAGAAAUCCAAACACAGAACCUAAUACUUUCUUCAAAACUUUCCACUUAAACAGUUAAAUUCUUUCACUUUCGUGACUUUGACAAUUUGAAUGUGAUUUAAAGAUUUCCGAGAGCUCAAGUGCCAGUCCGUGAGUUUGUGGCACAUGCAACUUUGUCAACCUAACUCUUGCCCUUUGUUUCGAUACUGCCCUAAACCUACGGUCCAAGUCUUCAACUACAAAUGUUUUUACUUGUCAACCUAACUCUCCCCCUUUGUUUCAGUACUCCCCUAAACCCACGGUCUCCAAUUCUUCACGUUCAAAUGUUUCUACAUGUCAACCUAACUCUUCCCCUGAAUGCAAACAAGGGUAUGACCACUCCGAUGUAGGUGCCUCAUUAAAAUCUCAUCAAGUUAGCAAAAAUUACCAAAAAUUACUAUUUGCCCUACAAACCAAAAUUCGUCAAGUAAAUGAAUUUUACCCAACAAAAUUUUGGUUGGCAAAAACUGGUCAACAUUUAGGUUUUGUCAGAGACUUUGCGUGACUGAGUGAGUCGGUCGGGCAAGAAAGCUUUUGUCGGGCAAACAUUUUCCGCGAAGGGAAAAAAAUGGCGCGUGGUGUGUGAAAUCUUCCCCGAUGAAUCAUAAAAGGAUCCAUUGCACAAAGGUUUAAUUAGGUUUUGGAGUUUAGGAUUUUGUUUCAUCUCGUAAGUGGUAUACCCGUCGAGCAAAUUGAGUGAUAGGGUUGGUAUUUUAAAUUCCUUCAAUGAUUAACGCAUUCUACGAAACUAGUUUGCACGAUCCAAUUGACAAGUUUGUUUGUAUAUACUUCGAGAUCUGAUAACCUAUAAAGGAACACACAACCAUGGGUAAGCCCAGGACCGGGGGUGUGCCAGUUCAAGGCUCUACAACGAUCAAGUUAGUAAGAAAUAUUAAGACGCAAGCAAUAGGCAAGAUAAUAAGUGAGUAGUGAUUGUGUUACCAGAGAGGAAGCCUAGAAGGGUGCACUUGUAACAGUCAAGGAGAGAACCUUUUAGGAUAAUAGAAUCCAUAUUAAACCGGGAGAACCUAUGAUGAUAUCAAAGUCAAUGGACCUCACCCACUGAUUCCGAAGUAGGACGAUAGUAACAUCGUUGAUCCUUUUAGUCAACUCCGCUGUGGAGGCUAUUGAGUCCAUGACCGGACUUCUGAGGCAGGCGAAUUACUAUCCGUCUUACUCCGAUCUUGGAAAAUCAUGGUCCCACAAAUGCCCCUAACUAGACAUCAGAAAGGAAUUGUUCCCCUUAAUUACAAAGAUCAUGCACUUCGGAAUAAAUCAGAAUACAUACUGCUUUCUUCUUUUCAGCUGUGUGGCGUCUUAACUUCGUUUCUUGUGAACUUUUGUAGCAAUAGAAGCUGCACAAGGUCUACAACUAAACGAUCUUCAUAAUCUUUUUUUAAUUAGCUAGCAUCUCGUCUCUAUGUUCUUCUCAAUCAUCUUUGGCAAGUGAUGUCUUAAUUUAUAAAUGCAGGAUUGGAGUAUCUGCACUAUGGUUUUAAGCCACCUAUAAUCCACAAGGAUGUGAAAUCAUCAAACAUCUUGCUCAAUGAAAGUUUCCAAGCCAAAAUAUCUUAUUUCUACAUGUCCAGAAAUUUUCUUACGGAGGGCGGUACUCAUAUAUCGACUCGUGUUGUUGGAACUCCAGGGCACCUUGCCCCCGAGUAAGUAAUUUUUGUUCUCAGUGCUUGUUUGGGAGUCGCUUCUAAGUGUUUGGCAAAUAUUUAAAAUUUCUUUAAACAAUUCCUAGACAUUAGAUCAUUGUGAACGGUUAAGAUUAAAAGCCUUGUAUUGUCUGCUAAAUAGAAAAUAUGGUAGAGGAUCCAGAUAUAGAGAGAAUGAUAUCUAUAUCUAUAUAUACCUUAUUGGAUUAAGUACCUAAACCCUCCUCCAAACCUUUUAGUGUCAUUCCAAAUUGGAAUUAAUUUUUUUAAACAUUCCAAGCAAAUACCUAACCUAUUAAAAAUGUCACAUCCGUCAAGCCCCAAUUAAUUUCUCAAAAAUAGAUUCUAUUCAACCACCACUUUGGUAUAUCAUGAACAAUAUUAAUAUUAGUUGCCUCAAAAUCUAAAUUUCAAACAUAGAUUAUAUAAUAUGGAACCCAAUGAUCAAAUAGGUAUUGAAUUGAAUUGGAAAUGGACCCAAAUCGAAAUUACAUCAGGAGGACAAUCUCUUAACAAAGAAGAGGGUAAGAAUUCAAAUAGGGUUUCAAGGAGUUUGUUUAUACUCACAUGAUUUCCUCUUUUGCCGAUUCUCGGCUCGUAAAGCUUCUAGUUCUUCUUUGUGGGUGGUAAAAAUCGUGGUGUUGCAUCAUUGCCAUGAUGCAACCUCCAUAACCUUCUUCUCGAGGUUGGCGGCUUGAGUAGCAGGGUGAAGUUGAUGGUUUUGCGAUGGGUGUAGAGGUGAUGGCAUAAUGAGGGUGGUGGUAACCAUUAGUUGGUGGAGGCUAUGCUUCCAUGACCUUCUAUUGAUUUUGGAGACAAAGUAAACCUUGUUAAUUUAACAGAGUUUUAACUGGAACUUAACGGAUGUGACAUUUUCAAUAAGUUGGGUACUUGUUUGGAACGUUUAAAAAGAUUGAGACCAAUUUGGAAUGAUACUAAAAGGUUGGGGGAUUUUAGUACUUAAUCCUAGUUUUUUUCACCUAUCAUUAUAUAUGGCUAUUCAUAAAACAUUCAUAAGAUAAUGACUUGGGUUGCAUGGUCUAUAUUGCAGGUACUACUUAUCAAACAGGUUAAAUGAGAAAAGCAAUAUCUAUAGCUUUGGGGUUGUGCUGUUGGAGAUUAUCACUAGUAAACAUAUUUUUUUAUCAAAAACGCAUUAUCACGUUAGUGAUGAUGUCUAAGGUGAAAUCAAUCUCUAUGGAAUUGGAAAGUCCCUCAGUUAGAUAGUACAAGUAGACCUAUCUUGAUAAAAGAGAAAAUUGUAACAAUGGUCCUUCAACUUUAAUCUGAUUGGAGUAAUGAUCUCUUAACUAAAAUUCGUGAUUAUUUGUCCCUUAACUUGUCAAAAUGUACAACUAUGGUCAUUUUCGUUCACUUUAUCAAAACUUUCAUCAAAAUGAGUCAUAUGUCACACACGUGAGGCUGAAUUAAAGGGGAAAAUAUAGAAAACCAAAUUAGAAAGUACUAAUGGUCCCUCAACUUUAAUCCAAUUGGAGAAAUUGUCUCUCAAGGUUAACCUAAUUGGAGCAAUGGUUCCUUAAUUUUAACUCAUGUAGCAACGGUCCUUCCACCAUGACUCAUUUUGACUAAAGUUUUAACGGAGUUGACGAAAGGACCAUAACUGCACAUUUUGAUAAGUUAAGAGACCAAUAAUCACGGAUUUUUAGUUGAAAGACCAUUACUUUACAUUCUCCAUUUUAUUGCCCGAGUUAGCCCGCCUUUGUGUCACGGGCCUGACCCUAUGUCUAAGUCCAAUAGCGACUAACAUGUUCUGAGCCCAGAGGCCAGCUCGGCCAAUUUGUGACCAUCGAAAUUAUCUUUUUCUUCUUUUAGCUUUAGUGCAAUGUUUUUGGUAUAAAUGUUGCAUUUAUCUAAUAGACUUAAAUGUCAAAAUGGUUCAUGUGUUAUAGUCAUUUGGCUAAUUUAGUCCCCAUGUUUCUAGUUUGGCCAAUUUAGUUCUCGUGUUUAUCUCUGUUAACCCAUUAAGAACAUUCUGCCCAAUCUUUGUUAAAAAUUUAACAAUAUUGUAACCUAUUAUAUAAAAAUAUUCUCAAUUAAAAUAGAAAAAUAUAUAAUUUCAAAAUGAGAAAAAAAAAUUAAACAAACUUACCAUGACAUCCAACUUGUCCUUGACCCGACCCCAACCCUAGCCACACACAUGCGGGCAACUCAAUGAACACGUCUCUAGAUCCACCGUGACUCUACUUGUCACCGCGCAAGUUCCAUCUUCGUAGUCACAAGAAAAUUAACCCCGACUACCUUGCCUCUGACUGUGUAAUCGAGAAAAAUACCGCAAUUUUCCCUUUCUCUUUAUUUAAAUUUAAAUAUAAAGAAAAUGCAAAUCAACGAGAAAUGACACACAUAAGAGAUAAGACUUGUAAUCUAAAAAAUCCUUAGGGUUGUGACAUAGAAAAGAGUGGGGGUGCAAGAAAAUUGGGAGAGUAGAGAACGUUAGGAAGGAGGUCGGAAUUUUUUAAUAGAGAUUGCAUGGAAACUCCUUAAUUGGCUAACGAAGACCAAAUUAUCCAAAUUGAAAACACAGGGACUAAAUUGACCUCAUGACUAUAACGCAUGGACCAUUUUGACAUGUAAACCUAUCCAAUAUAAAUAAAUCAACCUUUAAGUGGUCUACUACAUGUAAGAGGAAUGUAAUAUUGGAGAAUAAUGUAGAUUGUGAUUUGAACUCUUAAGGUAUCAAUCUUAUAUUAAGUGUCUUAUAAUAUAAGUAGGAUUGAUGGAGUCCUUAAUUACUUGUGAUUAUGAUACCUUUCUUGGUAGCUAAGAAAGUGAGAUUAGGUUUCCUUUUUGGACGGAAACCCUAGUUCUUAGCUUGUACAAAUACUAAGGUCCCUGCAAAUCUUAGAUACACAUAACAUAAUACUUCUCAUAAAGUAGUUGUAUCCGGCUAGGUGUUUGUAAGACCUUGGUUACCGCGGCCUCCACCCUCUCCGUUUAGCCUUCAAUGGCUACCGCUUCAUGAUCAGGCAAACCAACUCUUUCAUUUGUGUUUUAUUGUGUAACCAUAUAACUCUAACAGUUGGUUCAGAGCCAUUGAUUAUAUAUAUGAUUAAAACCUAUUAGGUUUAACGUUGGAUUAUAUACAUGAACUGCAUGUUUAAUCCAAGUUGUGAUUGCAUAUGCUUGGCAACACCACCAUAUGCUGUUUAUAUCAGUGGAAAUUGUUGAUUAUGAUCAGGUUGUAUAAUUAUUCUGUUUUAAACAAGAUUAUUUCUUAAUGGUCUUAUGGCACGAAUUUGGACAUAUUAAUAAAAAAAAUAGCUAUAAAUCGUGUAUCAAUCCUAGAAUCAUACAGGAAUUUGGAGAAGCAUAUAUACAUGUGUGUAUCGUGCUAUUAUGUAAGGUUUUACUGUAUUUUGCUGUGGGAUCUAAACAUGGAGUUGAAGUACUAUAGAAUUUAUAUAUAAUAUUUUUCAUAGAAUUCAAGUAUGAAAUUUAAAUAAUGGUGAUGAUUCCUUCGAAAUCCAACAGUUUUCCAAAUUCCAAAUUAUACAUAGAGUAAAUUGCUGAUUUCUCCUCUGAAUUUUCACUUAACUUUUGAUUUUUCCCCUAAACUUUUUAGUUGGAAAAUUAAGAACUUAAUCUUUUUUUUUGGCCAAUUUCCCCUGCUGUUAGUUUUUCAUUCAUUCCAUCCAAAUUUAUGUUAAAUGGAAGCAUGUGCACAACAUGUAAGGUAGUCCGGUCACUUCGUUCUUUAGAAUAAUUAAAAACCCUAGAUUUGUAAAAUGUCGACCUAUGCAAAUAUUUGUGAUUCUAUAGUUUUUUUGUAUGAAAGUCUAGUGAAGUGACGCUUUUAUUCUCAAAUGAGUCACGUGGUUUGCACGUGCAGGGCCGGCCCUGAGAAUUUAGAGGCCCUGUGCAAGAUUAAGAUGGAGGCUCUUCAUUUUUUAAUACUGUAUUUUCUUUGUUAUUUUUUUUUAAAUUUGUAUCUAUAAAAUUUAAAUACUACAAAUUAGAGCACCACUUUGAGUGGACAAGAGUGUUUUCUGUCUUGAAAGGUCUUCAAUUCGAAAUAUGUUGCACGGUUUUUUGUGUAAAACUUAACAACUUUUUAAGUUAAUAAAUUUGCAAAACUUAAAAAUAGCAAAAUAGUUCUACAAGGACUCAAACCCGGGCCAUGUACAAGAAGAUUGAACGCCUACACCACUAGCACUGGUGUGGUGAUUAUUAUUAGGAGUAAUUAGGUUUUCAUCCUUAUUUUUACUACUCUAUUGAUUAAAACCUUAUUACUUUUCAAUUUUUGAUCAAGGUCCUUUGUAUUAAUAAUAUCAUUAAUUAUUUCAAUAAUAAAAUAUUUUUUAUUUCUAAAUAUAUUCAUUUAAUAUUAAAAAUGUUACAAUUAGUAUAUUUAUACUUAUGGCUAAAUUUUUUAUCAUAUAUUUUUAUUUUUAGUUUGUACCCAUUUUUAAUUUGCAACCCUUUUUUAAUUUGUACCAAUUUUCCUUUCAGUUUUAAUUUGUACCCAUAUAUUAAAUUCUUUUUGUGCCCAUAUUUUUUAAAGUUUUAUUUGUAUUGUACCCAUAUUUUUUUAUUUAUUUGUACCCAUUUUUAUUUUUGCUAAAUGUACCCAUUUUGAAGAAUGUACCCAUGUUUUGAUACAAUAAUUUUUUGGUUAUUUUUAUGAAUGUACCCAUGUUUACACACACACACACACACACACACACAAUAGUAUAUUUAUAUUUUAAUAUUUUUAAUCCCACAAAUUAUGGUUUUUUAUUUAAAAUCUCAUUACUAUAAACAACUAUAAAUUUUAAUUUUUAAUUUAAAAAAUAUAGUAACGUACAUAGAAAUAAAUUAUCAAUUAAUUUCAGGGACUUGGAUCAAAAAUUGAAAACCAAUAAGGUUUCAGUCAAAGAUUGUUCAUAACUAGGGACCGCAUCCAAAGUCUCCCUUAUUAUUAUCUUGCACAUUUAAGUAUAUAAUAGUAUAUGUUUACAUGUAAAGAAACUUUGGGGAUCCUUCCGAAUUGGGGGCCUUGUGCAGUGGCACCUUUUGCACACCCUCAGGGCCGGCUCUGUGCACGUGAUAAGAAUUAACGUUAACUUGGAUAGCAUUUUUAUGCUGGUAGUUUACGCUCAUACCUAUUAUAAUUAUAUAAUAAUAUAUGGUUAGGUUGAUGGCAUUUUUAUGCAGGCCUUUUUUAUUGCAUAUAAUAUGUUUUGGUCGAACCACCAAAGUCUGGAGGUUGCUAGUAUUUUGAUCAAGCAAGUACAUGUAAUUUUUUAUAGGCAUUUAUGUAUAUAGGUUGUCCCUACUACAUUUCUUCUCAAAAAAGAUUUAAGUCUGAGUCUCAUUUAAUUUCCAAAAACAUCAAACAAGCACAGAACGCGUCGCAACGUUGAAGCUGGCAAAGCUUGAUGGCAACAAGUAUCCACUCUGAUUUGUUGCAUAUCUUGACCGUAGAUUGUGGCAAAUGUGGGACCUCACUUAAAAUGCCAGGUCCUAAAUCAUCAAUAAUUAUAAGGAACGGUUCCAACUAAUUAUUUCUAAAACAUUAAGAGACCUCAUCCAUUUGUGACUCACAAUGUCUGAGGACUCGAUGCAUGUUUUAGUGUAUUGUGAUCGUCCUUGGGUUAGGUUUAAGAUUAAUUCAAGGUUAGUUAAUCAAAAUUAAUUAUACGUAUUUAUUUUGUUUUAUCAGAACAAAGCAAUUAUAAUUGCAAAUAUGAAUUAAUCAAGUUAGUUAGAGUAAUAUGAAUUUAGUGUAAACUUCAAAAUAAGCUAAUCGCGAUCAUUUCAUUUCCAAUUCUACUGCCCAGGUCUACUGGAGUGAUACCAUGCCCAUGAACCCAUUUAAGUGCAAAGUUUUAUUUCAAUUUCUGACAAUUGAAUCUGACCCACAAUUCCUAAUUAACGCGCAUUAACAAAUUUUUUUUCCUAUACGAUCUUCUAAACAAUGUAUCUUUAAUACAGAAAAGUGAUAUGAACUUGAACGAUACUAUGCCUUAACCAAUUGACCUAAUGCAUUUGCAACAUGUUAAUUUUAUUAGUUUUAGUUGGCCAAGUAAAGCCACCUAUUUCCAUGCCUUAUUUGUCCAACCAGUUGUGCUAGGCCAGAAGAUUUUUCAGAACCACCAAAAUAACUCCAUCACAUGCAGCUUAGACAUGCCUUUUAACUCAUAAUGCCUCCACCUGCUAUCCUCUCAACCACCCUAUGCAACCGCAUAUUUAAUACCCAAAAAAAAAAAAAAACGUUUUGUCUUCAAAUUAUCACAAGAAAUUAAAGUAAAGCAAGACCAAAAGGGUCAGUAAUUUAUUAUGUUUGGGCAUUAGAUUGAAUAAAUCAAUGAUAUAACGGACAAAAUGUGUGUGAUUGUCAUUUCCUAAUUUUUAGUGUGGGUAAUUAAAUCCAUAAAACCAGUUGAUCUAUCAUUCAAUGCGUAACCAGAAACUUCAAAAGGGCCAUUUUCAAAAGCACUUUAUAAGUUCCAAUUUCACAACACAAAGCACUUCUGUUUUUCACAACAUGGAAAGCCAUUUCUUGAGAGCAGCAGCUUUUGGUUUGGUUUUGGCUUUUGCGUUUGUGAUUGGAGGAAAUUAUGCACAAGAGUCAACCACACUUGUUCCGGCAAUCAUGACGUUUGGAGACUCUGCAGUUGAUGUGGGCAACAAUGACUACCUCCCUACCAUUUUCAAGGCUAAUUACCCUCCUUAUGGAAGGGACUUUGUGAGCCAUCAGCCUACUGGGAGGUUUUGCAAUGGCAAACUGGCAACUGACAUCACUGGUAAGUUGAAAAUUUAGCUUCCAACAAAAGUGCUUUUGUUAUUAACAAUAUUAAACAGUAAUUAAUUGCUUCUUAAUUAGCAUAAUGGGCAACUUAAUGUUGAUCUGCAUAAGAUUUUUAGUUAACAGAACUGAAAGUUUAAAUUGUUAGUGAAAUUAAUGACUGUUUAGCCGCUUUUUUUUCUUUUGCAGCUCAGAAUUUAAGUUCUUUAGAUUAAUAAUAUGGUCACUUUAGCUGCAUUUGCGAUUAAUUUCUAUUAGAGCGAGCAUGUUAACUGAUGAUAUGAUAUGGUAGCUGAUGUAUUAAUUAACAGUUGUCAGUAGUAAUUGAUACAUGAUUUGAUGUAAUAAGUGCGCAUCAACUGCCUCGUAGUUCUCUAAUGUGGUUAGAGAAUAUGAUUUUUCUUGCAUUAUUCUUCGUGAUCAGUAGUUAAUUAGAAUAUCCAAGGAAAUUUAAUUGACAGGUAAAAAUCUAAUCUUAUGUCUUUAUAUAUGCAGCCGACACUCUGGGGUUCACUACUUAUCCGCCGGCGUAUCUUAGCCCCCAAGCAU